UAGCUUUGACCCAUGUAGAAUUAGCUUCUCUAAGGAGCAUAAACCUGACAAAGAAAGCAAUUGGCAACAUGUUGAAUUUAAGCCACAAGCACGGAGAUGCUUCAAGCUUUGCAGCCUCCCCAGGUUUUGUGGCAAUUUGUGGAGUUUUGAACAGUAACCGACAUCGAGAACUUCAAGAAAGCAUAAAUCACAAAUGCUUUCUGGAAGAGUCACAAGGUUUUUGCAGCCGUUCAGAUUCAAAACUUCAAGCCUAUUCAAAUGUUUGAUUGAUGAUGGGAGCUCUUUUAUAGCCGUUUUGUUCAAAUGAAGCACCCUUAAGUUUUCCAUAUUCUCCAAGAUUUCUGGAAAGUACUGUAAUUGUGAACAGUGAGAGCAAAAGAGAGAUUUUAGGGAUUUGAACUCCCAAAUGCUUGUUGGCAGACUCUCAAGGUUUUUGCACUCUCGCAAACAUAAGGUAUCAAAUUCAGAGGCACGCUCAAUGGGUAGUAGGCUUAUUGUCUGACCCUUUAAACAAAGCUUUCGGUGUUCCACGUUCCUCUGACAUUCCAAGCAGCUAGCAUCCACAUCCCCAGUCUGUACUAUUGGAUCUUGGGCGUAUAUAGGUUGGAGCCCACACUUAAGCACCUUAAAAUGAUUGCCAGAGUCCUUAAAUAGAGCCCCAAGAAACAUGAAUGGAUUGGUGUGACAGCUCUCCAGAAUAGCAGCCUUGGGAUAGAAUAUCACCCACAUUUGUUCUGAUACACCUCCAUCGUGGUAGCAUUUACAAGUAGUGCGAAAACUGAGAUGUCGCACACACAUGGAAGAAAAUUUAUUUCUAUCAUACAAUGACAAUUGACAUUCUAACUCAGUGGAGAUUGAAGAUUCAGCUUCAAGUAAAUCAUCAGAUUCAUUCAGGGCUUCGUCGCCAGAUUCAUUCUCCGAUGCAUGUGCAAAAUCAUUUUCACAUUCAUCGAGUGGAGCAUAAACGAAGCAUAUAGCAAUUCCCAAGAAGUCAUCAUUUUCAUAACAAUUCUGAGGAAGCUCUAUUGUGAUGUGAUGUCUUUCUCUCUGAUUCCUUAUCCAUUUGGGAAUUCCAUUGCUUCCCGGAACAACAAUACAGACUCCAUCGCCAAUGUAGUUGGAAUUAGCGAGAAAUACUCCAUUUGAACUCUUCUUGUGUUUCAAAUCCUGCACAAAUGGACAAUGUAAAUCUAGUGAGUCUGUGUCAUUAUGUGAGUUUUUAUGAGAGAGUUUGUUAUCAAUUUUCGAUAAAUUGAUUCCCAGUUUUAACUUUCUUUGAUCUAUGCUCCUGAAUCUACUUAAUAUCCCUUUUAGAUGACGGAUAUGUUAGAAUUCAUGAGAGUUUGUCUUUGAAAAUGUCUUAGUUAGACUCAGUCUCUGUUUUGCUCCAUAAUUUUCAGUUUUUCUGUUAGUAGAAGUAGUUAUAGCAGCUGAGAGUUUUUAGCAUUUUCAGUUUGGUUGUAAGCCUAUAAAUAGGCAUUCUCAUUGGUGAAAUAUUGUCUCUUUCUCCAACUCAAUACUCUAAUAUUUUCUGCAAGUUUUAGUUCCUUAUUUUUCUCUAGAUUUUAACCGUGGUAUCAGAGCAUUAUUCCUACGGGCUGUGAGGCAAAGUUUUUUUUAGUAUUAAACACAGUGAGGUUGAGUGCAAACACUAGUGAGGUUGAGUGAUCUAUUUUUUUUUAAGCAACUGUGGUGCAAACAUGUCUCCUUCUAGCAAUACUUCCUCUGUAAUUCUAGUGUUUAAUGGUGAACACUAUCACAUUUGGGCUGUCAAGAUGAGGUUUUAUUUAAGGUCUCAAGGUUUGUGGAAUGUUGUGAUGUUUGAAGCUGAUCCACCACCAUUGGGAGCAAAUCCUAUAGUUGCUCAGAUGAAAGCAUAUGACGAAGAAAAACUAAAGAAAGACAAAGCCAUCACCUGCCUACAUUCAGGACUUGCAGACCACAUCUUCACCAAAAUCAUGAACUUGGAAACACCUAAACUGGUAUGGGACAAGCUCCAAGGUGAAUUUGAGGGCAGUGAAAGAGUCAAAACUGUUAGACUCUUCACAUUGAAGAGAGAGUUUGAGUUGAUGAAGAUGAAAGACGACGAAUCUAUCAAAGAUUAUUCUGGCAGGUUAAUGGAUGUUGUAAACCAAAUGCGGCUUCUUGGUGAGGCAUUUACAGAUCAAAAGGUGGUAGAAAAGAUCAUGGUUUCAAUGCCUCAAAAGUUUGAAGCCAAGAUUUCUGCAAUUGAAGAGUCUUGUGACUUGCAAACUCUCACAAUUGUAGAGUUAACUAGCAAGCUUCAUGCACAGGAGCAAAGGGUCUUAAUGAGAGGUGAUGAAGCUACUGAAGGUGCUUUUCAAGCAAAUCACAAGGGAAAGAAUUCUGGAAACUUGCAAGGAAAGAAGUUCUUCAAGAACAACAAAGGGAAAGCUGAAGGGUCUUCAAGAAAAGGAAAAUUUCCGUCUUGCUCUCAUUGUAGAAGAACCAACCAUGCUAAGAAAGAUUGUUGGCACAAAGGUAAACCUCUCUUUAAUUGUAAUUUCUGCAAUAAACUUGGCCACAGUGAGAAGUAUUGCAGAGCCAAGAAAAAACAAUCUCAACAACAACCAGAACAAAAUGCAAGUGUGACUGAAGAAGACAAAAAUGAUGAUGAGCAUUUAUUUAUGGCAUCACAAGCACUCAGUUCUCAUGAACUGAAUACUUGGCUCAUUGAAAGUGGCUGCACGAGUCACAUGACCAAAUAUCUGUCAAUAUUUACCUCCAUUGAUAGAUCAAUUCAACCAAAGGUCAAGUUGGGAAAUGGUGAAGUUGUGCAGGCCAAAGGAAAAGGGACAAUUGCUAUCAUCACCAAGAGAGGUACAAAAAUUGUCACUAAUGUUCUUUACAUUCCAGAUUUAGAUCAGAAUCUUCUUAGUGUUGCACAAAUGCUAAGAAAUGGAUAUGCAGUCUCUUUCAAAGAAAAUUUUUGUUUUAUCACUAAUGUACACGGAAAAGAGAUAGAAAAAAUUAAAAUGAAUGGAAAUAGCUUUUAUUUGAAGCUUGAUUUAGUUGAAGGUCAUGUCUUUAGUGCCAAGAUUGAUGAGAGUGUUGUUUAGCACAAAAGAUAUGGUCAUUUCAAUUUGAAGUCACUGAGGUUCAUGCAAGAAGCUGGUAUGGUUGAAGACAUGCCUGAAAUCUCAGUUAAUGCUCAAACUUAUGAAAGUUGUGAGCUAGGGAAGCAACAACAACAACCAUUCCCUCAAAAUAUGUCCAAGAGAGCUACUCACAAGCUGGAAUUAAUUCAUUCAGAUAUUUGUGGACCAAUGAGCAUAGCCUCAUUGAGCAACAAUGUGUAUUUUGCAUUAUUUAUUGAUGAUCUCAAUAGAAUGACUUGGGUUUAUUUUCUAAAAACCAAGUCACAAGUGCUCUCUGUGUUCAAAAGCUUCAAGAAAAUGGUUGAAACUCAAAGUGGCCAGAACGUUAAGGUGCUCAGAACUGAUAAUGGAGGUGAGUAUAUCUCAAAAGAGUUCAAUGUCUUUUGUCAAGAAGCUGGAAUUGUACACCAGCUAACAGCUCCAUACUCACCACAGCAGAAUGGAGUCUCUGAGAGGAAGAACAUAACCGUGAUGGAGAUGGCAAGGUGCAUGCUAUUUGAGAAGAAGCUACCAAAACUUCUAUGGGCUGAAGCAAUCAACACCUCAGUAUAUUUGCUUAACAGACUACCAACUAAGUCUGUUCAGAGCAAAACACCAAUAGAGGCAUGGUCUGGUGUAAAACCUUCUGUCAAGCACCUGAAAGUUUUUGGCUCAUUUUGUUAUCUUCAUGUGCCAUUUGUCAAGAGAGGGAAGCUUGAUGAAAGAGCUGAGAAAGGUGUUUUUGUUGGGUAUGUAGUUGAAUCAAAAGGUUACAGAAUUUAUAGCUUGAGUAAAAUGAAAAUUGUGAUAAGUAGAGAUGUGCACUUUGAUGAAAACUCCUACUGGAAUUGGGACUUGAAGAAAGUUCAUAAAUGUGAUCAAACCACUCCAUCUAUUCUUGAACCAGCAAUAGAAAGUACAAUCAUUGAAGGUCCACUUGAUGUUGAAGCAACUUCAGACACACCCGUGCUUAAGAUGAGGCCAUUAUCUGAUGUGUAUGAGAGGUGCAAUCUUGUACAUGCUGAGCUUACAUGUUACAUGGAAGCUGCAAGAUUUCUAUAAGGCUACUACUUGCACUUGCUGGUCAAAUGGGAUGGAAAGUGUACCAUUUAGAUGUCAAGUCAGCUUUUCUAAAUGGUAUACUUCUUGAAGAAAUUUAUGUUCAACAACCAGAAGGCUUUGAGGUUAUUGGCCAUGAACGUAAAGUGUACAAGCUACAUAAGGCUCUCUAUGGUUUGAAGCAAGCACCAAGGGCCUGGUAUAGCAGAAUUGAUUCUCAUCUGAUCCAACUUGGAUUUAGGAGGAGUGAAUAUGAAGCUACUUUGUAUUUGAAACAAAAUGAUGAUGGUUUGCAACUGGUAGUAUCACUUUAUGUUGAUGACAUGCUAGUGAUUGGAAGCAAUGUAAAAUUGCUAGCUGAUUUCAAAAUGGAAAUGCAGGAUGUAUUUGAGAUGUCUGACCUUGGCAUCAUGAACUACUUCCUUGGAAUGGAAAUAUACCAAUGCAGCUGGGGUAUCUUCAUUUCACAAAGAAAAUAUGCUAUGGAUAUUCUCAAGAAAUUCAAGCUAGAAUCAUGCAAAGAAGUAGCAACUCCACUGGCACAAAAUGAGAAAAUUUCAAAGAAUGAUGGUGAGAAACUUGAGGAACCCUCUGCAUAUAGAAGCUUGGUGGGCAGCCUACUAUACUUGAUAGUAACCAGACCUGACUUGAUGUUUCCAGCUAGUUUGCUUUCAAGGUUCUUGAGUUCACCUAGAAAUGUUCACAUGGGAGUUGCAAAGAGGGUGCUAAAGUAUGUUAAAGGUACAACAAACCUUGGCAUUUGGUAUUUAAAGACAGGAGGAGUUAAGCUAGAUGGUUAUGCUGAUAGUGAUUGGGUAGGAAGUGUUGAUUAUAUGAAGAGCACUUCAGGUUAUGUAUUUACAAUCGGUUCAGGUGUCAUAUGCUGGAAUUCAAGAAAGCAAGAAGUAGUGGCACAAUCAACUACAGAAGCUGAGUAUAUCUCCUUAGCAGCUGCUGCAAAUCAAGCAAUAUGGUUGAGAAAAUUGCUUGCUGAUUUAGGCCAGGAACAAAGCUCACCAACUGAGCUUUGCUGUGACAAUAAGUCAGCCAUUUCCAUUACUCAAAAUUCUGUCCAACAUGGCAGAACCAAGCACAUAAAUGUAAAAUUCCACUCCAUUAGGGAAGCUGGAAAGAAUUCACUUGUUAAGCUGCAUUAUUACUCAACUGAUGAGCAACUUGCUGACAUAAUGACUAAAGGACUUCCUAAAUCAAGGCUGGAGUUCCUAAGGUUGAAGCUUGGUAUGCCCAAGGCAAAUCUCAAGGAGGAGUGUUAGAAUUCAUGAGAGUUUGCCUUUGAAAAUGUCUUAGUUAGACUCAGUCUCUGUUUUGCUCCGUAAUUUUCAGUUUUUCUGUUAGUAGAAGUAGUCAUAGCAGUUGAGAGUUUUUAGCAUUUUCAGUUUGGUUGUAAGCCUAUAAAUAGGCAUUCUCAUUGGUGAAAUAUUGUGUGCCUUUCUCCAACUCAAUACUCUAAUAUUUUUUGCAAGUUUUAGUUCCUUAUUUUUCUCCAGAUUUUAACAGGAUAAUCAAUCAACAUGAAAGUGAGUGACAAGAUUAAGUGUGGAAACUGGAAGUGAGUAGAAUAAGCAGAUCUCUUCUUCACUUGCAGUAACUUCUUCUCCAUUCAGAUUCAGAGAUCUUAGAAUUGUAGCUUCAACUUAACUCUCAGAAUCUUAAAGACAAAGUUUGCUCAAGUUUCAAAAACUCACAGAAAAAUUUCUCCACCUGUUUCUCUUAAUCCCAUGAGGCGAGAGACAUGAAGCACACACUUAUUGGCUUUUUUCCAUGCAAGUUUCAAGGUGGAGCAUCAAAUGAACUAAAACAUUCCCUCAAAUCCUAGUGGAAAUUCACACUAGAAAUUUCAGAAUUUGCUAAAGAAAAGUUUAAUUCAUUUUCUCCAUGAAUAAAAAAGCAUGUGAGGGCAUUUUAACUUCCUAAUAAUUAUUAUAGUAAACUAUAAUUCUCAUUAUUUAAACUCAUGAUCCUUAAUUUUAUCAUCACAUUUUGAAAAGACUUUCGUCAUCCCUUCCAUGAAUUAAUUGAUGUUUAAGGAGGUAUAAUAAACUUUUAAUUGAAUUUAACAUUAUUUCUAUUCUUAGACUCAUCUUAAACUCUUAUUUUUUUAUACUCUUAUCAAAACAAAAAAAAACUUAACAAAAAAAAAAAGAUUUCAAUUACUCCGUGUUCAUAAGGAAAAAUGGCUGAAUGUUAUGAAAAUCAUACCUCAAUUGUUGAUUUAAAGCAUUUGAACAGAGAAACACCAAGUAGACUCGAUGGACUUGAUAAAGAUUCCAAACAUGUGCAACUGUGGACAUCUAGAACUCGUAAACUUGGUGGAAGCUCUGGAACUUGUAGAAGCCCCUGGCAGUGACUCAAUUCAAGGACUCUCAGUUUAGAAAGUUGAAUGAUGCCUGCAAGUAUGCUACUAAAACAGUCCAUGCUUAGAUUUAGACCUGAAGCGUGCAAACCCUCUAAACAUUGCAAACUCCUCAGGUUCUCGGGAAAUUUCUCAAGUUUUGUACAGAAACUGACAUUUAGAAUUUUGAGAGAACUCAAAUUACAAAUGCUUUCUGGAAGACUCACAAGGUUGGUGCAUUCUGCAAGAUUCAAAUAUUGAAGCCCUCUUAAAUAUUGAAUUGAUGUUGGUAGUUCUUCUAUAGCAGUUCCAUCUAAAUGAAGCUCUCUUAAAUUUUCCACAUCCUCAAUGAUUUCCGGAAAGCUCCUUAAUCGUAAACAGCCUGAGCAGAAGAGAGUUGUAAGGGAUUUCAACUCACAAAUGCUACUGGGAAGACGCUCAAGGUUUUUGCAUUCUCGCAAACAUAAGCUAUUAAGUUUAGGGGGACACUCAAUAGUGGGCAGUUCAUUGAUGGCAUUUCCCUUUAAACAAAGCUUCCGUCGGGAUUGCACAUCCUCUUGACAUUCCCGGCAAAUGGUGGGUAUCAUUGCUUUACCAUUGUUCUUUUCAUGAUCAUGGGCAUAUAUAAGAUGGAUCCCACACUCUUCCACUUUCAUUGCUUUACCACGUGAGAAGCCACAAAAUGAAGCUGUCAACUGCCUCCAUUUAUUUGAGGGGUACUUCUUCACAAUCUCCACCUUCGGAUAAUAAGUCAUCCACAUUUUUCGUAGAACAUCAUAGCAUUGACACGAGGGAUAAAACGAGAGUUUAUCCACAAACUGAAUUUUAUGACCACACAAAGUCAAACCAUACUCGAAGUAAGUUGCUUCAUUCUCCAGUGUCUCCUCAGAUUCAUUAUCAAGUGGAUCAUAGAGAGAGUACAAAACAAAACCCAACAAGUCGUUAUUUUUAUACCAAUUUUGAGGAAGCUUUGCUACUACUUUAGCUCCCUUUUUGCGAUGGCUUAUCCAUUUUGGCAUUCCACAACUUACUGAAAUAAUAAGAUUUACUCGGGUAAAACGUUUUUCUCUAGGAUAAAUCUCGCAUUCAAAAUCCUGCACGAAAUUUAAUCAACACGUAAAUCCCUAUGUCUCCACAAAAAAAGUUUUGUUCUAUGAAUAUCAUACCUGAAUCACUGAUUUGAAGCAGUUGAAUAGAGAAGACCAGAGUAGACCUGAAGAAGUUUCCAGCCGUGUGCACUCAUGUACAUCUAAGACACGCAAACUGGAUGGAAGCGCUGGAAUUUGUCGAAGCUCUUGACAGUGACCCAAGUCAAGGAGUCUCAGCAUAGAAAGUUGAUUGACCCCAGCAGGUAUGCUCCUAAAAAGAUUCCCGAAUAGCAGUAAUUGUCGCAGAGACGAUAGGUGGCAAAUUUCGGUGGGGAUUCCUCCUUCAUCUAUACUGCAGAAAGAUAGAUCUAACGCUUUCAACGAGUACAAGCAGCAAAUAUCACUCAGGAUUUCUCCUUGCAUUAGCUUUGACCCAUGUAGAAUUAACUUCUCUAAGGAGCAUAAACCUGACAAAGAAAGCAAUUGGCAACAUGUUGAAUUUAAGCCACAAGCAUGGAGAUGCUUCAAGCUUUGCAGCCUCCCCAGGUUUUGUGGCAAUUUGUGGAGUUUUGAACAGUAACUGACAUCGAGAACUUCAAGAAAGCAUAAAUUAGAAAUGCUUUCUGGAAGAGUCACAAGGUUUUUGCAGCCAUCCAGAUUCAAAACUUCAAGCCUAUUCAAAUGUUCGAUUGAUGAUGGUAGCUCUUUUAUAGCCGUUUCAUUCAAGUGAAGCUCCCUUAAGUUUUCUAUAUUCUCCAAGACUUCUGGAAAGUAUUGUAAUUGUGAACAGUGAGAGCAAAAGAGAGAUUUAAGGGAUUUGAACUCCCAAAUGCUUGUUGGCAGACUCUCAAGGUUUUUGCACUCUCGCAAACAUAAGGUAUCAAAUUCAGAGGCACGCUCAAUGGGUAGUAGGCUGAUUGUCUGACCCUUUAAACAAAGCCGUCGGUGUUCCACGUUCCUCUGACAUUCCAAGCAGCUAGCAUCCACAUCCCCAGUCUGUACUAUUGGAUCUUGGGCGUAUAUAGGUUGGAGCCCACACUUGACCACCUUAAAAUGAUUGCGAGAGCCCAUAAAUAGAGCCUCAAGACACAUGAAUCGAUUGGUGUGACAGCUCUCCAGAAUAGCAGCCUUGGGAUAGAAUAUCACCCACAUUUGUUCUGAUACACCUCCAUUAUGGUAGCAUUUACAAGCAGUGCGAAAACUGAGAUGUCGCACACGUAGGGAAGAAAAUCCAUGUACUUCACUCAAUGACAAUUGACAUUUUAACUCAGUGGAGAUUGAAGAUUCAGCUUCAAGUAAAUCAUCAUAUUCAUUUAGGGCUUCGUCACCAGAUUCAUUCUCGGAUGUAUGUGCCAAAUCAUUUUCUGGUAUGUCCUCACAUUCAUCAAGUGGAGCAUAAACAAAGCAUAUAGCAAUUCCCAAGAAGUCAUCAUUUUCAUUACAAUUCAGAGGAAGCUCCAUUGUGGUCUGAUAUCCCUCUCUCUGAUUCCUUAUCCACUUGGGAAUUCCACUGCUUCCCGGAACAACAAUACAGAUUCCAUGGUCAUUGUAGUGAGAAUCAGCGAGAAAUACUCCAUUUGAAUUGCUCUCGUGUUUCAAAUCCUGCACAAAAGGUCAAUGAAAAUCCAGUGGGUCUGCCAUUAUGUGAGUUUUUAUGAGAGAGUUUGUUAUCAGUUUUCGAUAAAUUGAUUCCCAGUAUUAACUUUCUUUGAUCUAUGCUCCUGAAUCUACUUAAUAUCCCUUUUAGAUGACGGAUAAUCAAUCAACAUGAAAGUGAAUGCCAAGAUUAAGUCUGGAAACUGGAAGUGAGUGGAAACUGAAACCGAAAGUGAGUAGAAUAAGCAGAUCUCUUCUUCACUUGCAGUAGCUUCUUCUCCAUACAGAUUCAUAGAUCUUAGAAUUGUAGCUUCAACUUAACUCUCAAAAUCUUGAAGACAAAGUUCGCUCAAGUUUUAAAAACUCACAGAAAAAUUUCUCCUCAUGUUUCUCUUAAUCCCAUGAGGUGAGAUACAUGUAGCACACACUUAUUGGCUUUUUUCCAUGCAAGUUUCAAGGUGGAGCGUCUAAUGAACUAAAACAUUCCCUCAAAUCCUAGUGGAAAUUCACACUAGAAAUUUCAGAAUUUGCUAAAGAAAGGUUAAUUCAUUUUAUCCAUGAAUAAAAAAAGCAUGUGAGGACAUUUUAACUUCCUAAUAAUUAUUAUAUUAAACUAUAAUUCUCAUUAUUUAAACUUAUGAUCCUUAACUUUAUCAUCACAAUUUGAAGAGACAUUCGUCAUCUCUUCCAUGAAUUAAUUGAUGUUUAAGGAGGUAUAAUAAACUUUUAAUUGAAUUUAUAAACUAUUAUUAUUUUUUUAUACUCUUAUCAAAAUAAAUAAAAACUUAACAAAAAAAAAAAAAAUCAAAACAAACUUUGUAAAGUUAUCAACACUUAUUUACAUCCUUCUUUUUUUUUAAAAAAAAAUUAUAAUUAAAAAAAAUGUAAUUUAAAAAUUAUAAAGAAUAAAAUAUUUAGAAAAAUGUACUAGUUAUUUGAAAUAAAAUAUAAGGGAAAUCAAAAUUCUUAGUAAAUGAAUCGUCAAAACAACUAUAAUAGCUAUACAAAUGAGAAAAAAAAAUUAAAAGUAAAAAAAAAUUAUGAAUGUCAAGAAUGAGAAACAAUUUUUUUCUUUUUUUUUUUUGUAAAUUAUUUUUAUUCUUAUUUUAUGUAUUCAUUACAAUUUUUAAAUUAAUAAAUAAAGUUUUUAUCACAAAAUUUUAAAAUGGUAUGUAUGCUUUAAAAUUUAUAUGUUGUUCUUAGAUUUUUAUAAAUUUCGUUUAUAUCUUUCAAAUUAGAAUUAUUAAACUCACAUUUUAAAAUAAGAUAUCAAAUAGUUAUUUUUUCAUCCUUUAGCAAUAUCAAAUGUUUUUUGUACUUUAAUAAAAAAAAACUAUUUUUCUCUAAUUAAUGACUAUUUUGUAUAGUAUUUGGAUAAAUUAUUUAAUAUAUAAGUAUUACUUAUUUAAUAGUUUAUUUUUUUAAUUUAUUAGAGAAAGAGUGGUGCAUAUAUAAUUCAAAUAAAAGGUAAUUUCGUAUUGCAAGAAAGUUUGUGGAAAAAGGAAAUUUGAACAAGGAUUGAAAUUUAUAGGAACCAUAUUGGACACCUAGUUUUAGGUUUGUUCCAUUCGAACAAUCAUGACUUGAUAGUAGCCUAAUCUCAAAUCUAACUUUGUCAAGCCCUUCCUUUACUAAGUUGAUCAAACAAGUUGUUAACAAGCAGAAUAAGAUAUUUUUCACUUUCACCUUGUUGAGUCUUCAAUAAUCGAUACACAUUCAGAGGGAUCCAUUAUGUUUCUUUUAGAAUAAUAUUGGUGUGACAUGUGAAGCUUUAGUUUGUUGGAUGUAUCCCAUGUUAAGCAACUCUGUAAGUUGUUUCCUUAGUUCUUCUAAAUUAGGCAGUGCCAUCCUAUGGGACCCCUAUGGCAAGGGGCUUAGCUUCUGGCUCUAAGUCAAUUUUGUGCUCCCAUUCCCUUAUUUAUGUGAGUUUCUUAUGUAACUUUAAUAGCAUCUAAGGAUGGCAAAGUUUGAUACAAUUUGUCAACCAGACUUGAACCUGAGGCAUUUUUAGUGGGUUUGGGUUGAGUAUAAUCAUGUUUAGGUCAAAUUUGUGUAAACCUAAAUAACUUGUUUAAUAAAUAGGUUGUUUUUUUUAGUCAAACUACAUAAUACAAAUUUCACCUAAAUUGAGUUGUGUAAUAAUGAUGUUAAUUAACUAGAUUAUAACCAUAACCUAUUUAACCCACAUUUGACUCAUUUAAAACUUGAUUUUGAAUAAGUAGGUUAAUUAAGUCAUAAACAUGUCAGAUUGGGAAGUUAAUCAUAUUAACUUAAACAAGAUCUAACUUGACAUUAUUAUUAAAUAGGACAUUAUUAUUAAAUGGACUAUAUGACAUGUUACUUAUUUAAUAAUUAGGUUAUGCCCGAGUUCAUUCUUUUAACCUAAUUAUUAUUUUUGUGUCAUGUUUGAAUUGAUUUAUUUAAUCAAGUGUCUUUGCUUUGACACAUUGUGAACAUGAUCCACCAACAUGAAUUGUCACUUCUAGUGGCAUCACAUACUAGAACUCUUCAAGUACCACCUCAAUUACCUUGUGAAUGAGUUCCCUUAUUGUAUCAUUCUUUUCCUCCUUUAAUAUAGCCAAGUAGGUCAUUUGCUUAUUCUUCAAUACCUUCUUUACUUGCAUAGUUGAUAGCAAGAGGAUCUCAAGUGUACCUCAAUAGCUAAUGUCAUGAUUCAUUGUAAAUUUUGUCUAAUGUGUAAUCAUAUAUACAAAUGCACUCACCUUAAAAACCUCAUCCCAAUGACUAAGACAAGUCAUCCCUCCAAUUAGAAGGUAGUGUAUUAUAAUCUCAAAUGGAUUGUCUAAAUCCAUCAACCAACCAUGAACAAAUCAUAAAUCUUGCAAGGAACCCAUGACUUAAAUCUUCCGCGUAACUCCUAAUGCAUUUUAGUCAUGUACAAUACCACUAAUGCAUGCAUGCAUACUCAAAUCAAUAUCAAUGUGAACAAAGAUAAAUUAGUGGAAACUCAAGCCUAAAUUUGUUACAUCAUGUCUUGCUUGCAAGGGCUAUAUUUUAACACAAAUAACCAAAUAGGUUCUUGAAAUACAAUAUAAUAUGUGCUAUCUCUCAGAGCACUUUAUUUUUUGUUUCAAUAACUUCAUUUUUCUAUGAAGUUUUAGAUGUUGAAAGCUCUUCUUUAAUUUCCUUCUCCUCACAAAAACUCUAGAAGUCAGAAUUAUAAACUCCUUUCCUCUAUUAUUUCUUAUUGAAAAUCCAUUUUUAUUCAUCAUUUGAAAGCAUAACACUUUGAAUCUUAGGAUGUACUUCUUUCUUCCUAGGCAUUGCACUCUCAUAGGACCCAUUAAAUCCACAUGCAACAUCUUUAAGAUCCUAGAAGAAGAGAAAAUCGUCUUUUUCUCUCACUCAUCUGAAUUCAUUUUCCUAGAUAGAAUAAAUAGGAUUUUUAGGCUUUCCUAAAUGGGACUUGCUUUAAUUAGUUCUUUAUUUGUAAUCCUAGACAAAUCAUUAGAGUUUAAAUGCACUAUCAUAUAAUGCUAUAUGUCUUUGGAUGUAAAUUUCACAUUUUACAACUAUGUGCACUAGAUGAUGAGGAAGAAGUAGAGAGGCGUACAAAGGCAUAACAAACAAUAUAAAAAAUUCUAUUUCUUACCAACACACAUCCUUGAAUAGACACUAAUUUUGAGUAAAAUGAACAAAGCACAUACAAUCACAAAUUUAACUUGCGUUAAUUAAGUUUGCUUUCAAUCCCUCAAUAUAUAGUAACUCCUUGAGCAUAGGUAAAUUUGGACCUUCUAUGGUACCUUUUGGUUUCAAGUUGGUUAUAUGUAAUCCAACCAUCCCCAAAUACAACCAAACUUCCCUUUAUAGGUUCAAACGUGGAGAAAGACUCUAAGUUCAUUGUUGCUUUUACCUUUCCCAAAUACAACCAACUCCUUCUAUGAGUCCAAAAGUCAAGGAAGAUCUAAGUUCUAUGUCAUACAACUAGAGUAGCCACUCUCAAAAUCCAAAACGUGUUUUUCUCUAGCUCUUAGGCCCUAUGGUUAACUAAGGCUUUUUGGUUCUCCUUCUUUACCCAAUUUAUCUUUCCAAUGGGAAAUUUAAAGCCUAUUUAAGAAUUAUUUUUAAAAUUAAUUUUCCAGUUCUUAAAAAUAGAAACCUAUUUUCUAGACUAAAGCCAUGUUUGGUAACUUUUUGACAUAUUAUAGUUUUUUGAGAACUUGUUAUGAAAAUAAGGUAUCUCCUAAUAACAUAUUUUAAUUGCUUUCAAGUGUUUUCAUUUAUUUUGUAGGGUUGUUUUAAGAAAAUAAUGGUAAAAAUAUAAAGAAUGAUGAAAAAUAAAGAACUAAAAAUAAAAGUUAUUUUUAAGAAAUAUUUGGAAAUACAAAAAAUAUAUUAAAAACGUUCUAAGUUUCUAAAUAGACUUUUAUUUUAGAAAACAUUAGACCAACUAUUUUUGAAAACUUUUUUCAAUAAUGGUUUUGUAAGAAUUAUUUUUUAAAAAAAAAAAAAUCCUAAACAAAGCCUUAACCUUUGAGGAUCUAAAACUUUGCACUAAGUUUGGUGUUUUAUUGUUGGAUUUUCUUAGUCUUGCAAGCUUUAUGAUGAUCUUGCAAUAUUUUCUUUAAUUUACAUUUCAUGUUACCUGAGCAUUCAGUUUGGCUAAGUAUUGAAGAAUAACUUUGGCUUACAUUCAACUUUUUUUAUGGACAAAGGAAUGGAGCUAGAUCAGAUUUCUUUCAAUUUAGUCAAUUUUGAUUUACAUGGCUCAUAAUCAGAUUGUAAGACAUUCAAAUUUUUUAACAAGGUACCGUGCUCAUUUUCAAGGUAAGAGAUUUUUUUAAAGCAAGGAAGUCUUCUCUCAUACUUCUUUUAUUCUCAUCCAACUUUCACAAUUUUCAUCUUAAGGCACUGAUCAUACAAGGCUUCCUUGGCAAUCUCAAAUGACAACUUUUCUUCCAAAUAUGUUGUAUCAUGAGACGAACCUUCAAAAUUUUCAUAUUCAAGAUCAAUUUCAAAUUUAACAUUUUUCUUUUCAUUGAAAAGUGAUAUAGAAGGUAGCAAGUAUAUCAACAAUUUCCUCAGGCUUAUCAUGCUCAAAAGACACAAAUAUCAUCAACGUCAUGUGAUAAUAAAUCAUAAUUAUGUUUAUGCAUGUUUCCAGCAAAUUAAUGCAAUAAAAUUUCUACAUUCUUCAUCAAAAUCAUACCAAAUUACUUCUAUGACCUUAUCCUUUUGACAUUCAAGAAAGUGACCUUUCUUGACAUAGUAGAAGAAACUUUGAAUCAACUAGAUCUUUUUAGUGCUUUUUAUCUUUUUAUCACAUUUCUUUUCCCUUGUUUAUGGUCUCGAAGAGGUUAUCCUUUGUUUCUUGAAGCUUUUUGAACUUUUUGAAAGGUUAUCAAACCUAUAAAUUUCAAAUAUUGCUCAUUUUUUAUUCCUAUUCUGAUUCAGAUGCAUGUUUAAUUUUUUUGAUAGAUAACACAAAUAUAUUAAAGGGCAAAGGCCACCAAGCAUACAGGAAGUAUAGAAAUCAGCCUCAAAACGAGAGCACAAAAAAACAAGCACCCUUACCCUCCUUUAAGUGGCCGCUAGCCACUUCAAAAAACCUAAGAGUGAAGAGGACUCCUCUCCAAUAUACACCCUAGCCCAACUCCACAAGGUACAAACAAAAGAAUUUUUGAGUUUUUUUAUAUUUAACACCCCUCCCUUAAAAGCUAAUCUAUUCAUUUCCUUCCAUAUCAUUCAAAAAAUACACAACGGGAUAGAAUUCCAAAUUUUUUUCCUUUUUUUCCCCACAAAGGGACCCCUCCAACUGAAUAACACCUCCUUCACUAACUCUGGGAACACCCACUGAACCCCCACAUGGGCAAAAACGAUUUCCCAUAAGGCCCUUACCACUAUACAAUGUAAUAGAAUGUGAUUUACACUUUCCUCUUCACAGCCACACAAAAAACAACAGUUAGGAAACUGCCAACCCCUUUUUUGAAGCCUAUCCAAGGUGAGAAUCUUCCCUCACGCCACUUCCCAAGCAAAAAAUGCCGCUUUGGUUGGGACCUUGUCCACCCAAACGCAUCUAUACGGAAAGUCGCAAGCAUUGAUAACAACCAGCCCGUUGUAGGCACCCUUCACCCCAUACUUACCAUGGCCUCCCCUUUCCAAAGCACCACGUCCUCCUUUGAAGAUAUCUUGAAGUCCCUGAGCAUAUUAAGCAAUCCUCUAAUCAAGUCCAGCUCCCAAUCAUUGAAGUCUCUAUGAAAUCUAAGAUUCCAACCUCCUUGACCACUGCUAUGAUCCCACAUCUCAUUAACCGUUGCAUUCUUAUUGACCACCAUCUCAAAAAGCUGGGGAAAAGAAUGGGACAACAUCUCAUUCCCACACCACUGGUCAGUCCAGAAUUUUACUCUAGUCCCUUUCCCUACCUUAAACUUUAUGUUAUCCCAACACCACUUAGCUUCCUUCAUAAUCUCCUUCCAAACCCCCACUCCAUAAGUACCACGGGCUUCUUUAGUUCUCCACCCAAACUCUUCCUGACCAUAUUUCACCCUAAUCAUUAACCUCCAGAGGUUAUCCUUUUCAACGGCAAAUCUUCAUAACCAUUUACCCAACAAAGCUUUGUUUAGAGAGUCAAUCUUCCGAAUGCCAAGGCCACCUUUCUCCCUUUAAGUGCACACCACCUCCCAUUUAAUUAAGUGGACUUUCCUCUCCAAGCUACCCCUUCCCCAAAGAAAGUCUCUUUGUAAUUUUUCGAGUUUAUUUACAACACUCUUCGGCAUUCGAAAAAGGGACAUAUUGUAAAUAGGAAGGCUGGCCAUAGUAUUCUUGAUUAAGGUGAUACGCCCUCCCUUCGAAAUAUAGUCUUUUCCACUAGGCUAAUCUUUUCCUCAUUCUCUCUUCCACCCCAUCCCAAAUAGAGACAGCUUUGUGGUGAGCUCCAAGGGGCAGCCCCAAGUAAACAGUGGGCAGCAAUCCCACUUUACAACCAAGCUCCACAGCCAUCUCCUCAAUAUCUUCCACCUCACCAACCGGAAUUAAAACGCUUUUAUCUAGAUUAAUUCUGAGACCGGAAGCCGCCUCAAACCAAGCCAAAAUCCAACUUAGAGCGGACAGUUGCUCUUUGCUAGCUUCACAAAAGAUGAUCGUGUCAUCAGCAAAGAGAAGAUGGGAAACUAUCAUCUCCUCUUCCUCUCUCCCCCAAAUUCUACAACCUGACAAGAAGCCCCCAUCAACCGCCCUUCUAAUAAGAUUACUAAGUACUUCUAUACCCAACACAAAAAGAUACGGGGAGAGGGGAUCUCCUUGUCUUAGCCCCUUGGAAUUCGAGAAGAAACCAACCGGCACCCCAUUGAUCAUGACUGAAAAUUUGGCGGUUGAGAUGCACCACCAAAUCCACUCCAUCCACCGCGACCCAAAGCCCAUUUUAAGUAGAACUUUUAUGAGAAAGUUCCAAUUAAUUCUGUCAUAGGCUUUCUCAAUGUCCAAUUUACAGAUCAGCCCUUUCUCGUUCCUCUUGUGCCAAAAAUCGAUCACCUCAUUGGCAAUAAGAGACGCAUCCAAGAUCUGUUUGCCCCUCACAAAGGCGUUUUGGUCCCCGGACACCACCUUAUCUAACACCUUCUUUAGCCUAUUUGCCAACACCUUAGCCAAAAGCUUGUACAAACCCCCUAACAAGCUAAUUGGCUGGAAAUCACCCAAGUCUUCAGUCCCUCAUUUCUUAGGAAUGAGGACUAUAAAAGUGGAAUUAAGGCUUUUGGCAAAAGAACACUGGUCAUAGAAUUCUCUAAACAAUUCCAUAAUCUCCUCCUUCACUAGCUCCCAGCUUGAUUGCCAAAAAGCAAUUGUGAAACCAUCUGGGCCCAGAGCUUUAUCCCCAUUCAUACCUAUUAGGGCAGCAAAAAUUUCCUCUUCAGUAAACUGCACCUCCAAGGCUUCAGCUUCACAUGAAUUUAGACGCUUAAGGUGCAGUCCCUCAAUAUCCGCCCUCCAGUCUGGUUCUUUUGAAGGCACCUGCUGAAAAGCACUCACUAUUCCCUCUCUCAUCUCCUGUUCCUCAGUCAUCCAAACUCCAUUAAUUUUUAUUCUAGCCAGAGAGUUAUUCCUUCGGUGAGCAUUAGCCAUCCUAUGGAAGAAUCCAGUGUUUCUAUCUCCCUCCUUAAGCCACAAUUCCCUUGACAAUUAUCUCCAGUGGGUCUCCUCCAAUAAGACCCAUUUUUUAAAGGAAUCCUUGGCUUCUUUUUUCAGUUCAGUUUCACCUUCAGACAAGCUCCUUUCCCUUUCCACCCUGUCCCAAAACUCCACUUGUUGAAGGGUUGAGUUCUUAUUGGCUUCCAGUCUACCAAACACCUCCCUAUUCCACACUUUAAUCUUUUGUUUCAGCACCUUCAUUUUAGUGGCUAGUCUGACACUGACCCUCCUUCUUACCUCAACUUCCUGCCACCAACCCCUAAAAAGAUCCGUGAAGCCAUCAACUUUAAGCCACAUAUUUUUAAACCUAAACGGGGACGGACCUCUCCUUAACCCACCCCCCAUCAACACGAUAGGAAAGUGAUAUGAGGUAGGUCUGGGCAGCCUACAUUGCAUGACCUCAUUGAAAUGGUCAAGCCAACUCUGGGUCACCAGGAACCUAUCCAACCUGGCCCAAGCCUGAUUAUUUCUCCCCCUACUCCAAGAAAGCACCCCUCCUUGCAAUGGAAGAUCAAUGAGUUCUAGCUUAUCAGCAACCUGAGCAAACCUUCUCAUUGCACUCGUUAGUCUUCCCUGAUUGCUUCUUUCCCUCAGUGACAGGAUAACAUUGAAGUCACCCCUUAGACACCAAGGAUCCUCCCAAAUGCCUCUAAUUGCUCCUAUCUCCUCCCACAUCCACUCCCUUUCCUCUCUAGAGAAGGGCCCAUACACCCCAGUAAACAUCCAAACUAGCCCAUCUUCCACGUUCCUCAUCCUACAAGAAAUUGAGAAGUUUUCCACUUCCAUUUCCAUUACUUCCAAGGUCCUCUUAUCCUAGCAAAUCAGUAUCCCUCCCGCAGACCCAUGGGCAUCCAGAGUACCCCAAUUAAGAAACCUACCAAUGCCUAAGCUUCUCACCAGGCCCUCUGUCAUUGCCUGAAUCUUGGUCUCCUGGAGACAGAACAGAUCCACUCUUUGACUCUUGAUCAUGACCUUAAUCACCUUUCUUUUUGAGCUAUCGUUAGCUCCCUGAACAUUCCAACUCAAGAUUCUUAGCUUCAUUUAACCACCAUAAUCUGACACCCUCUUACUAGCAUUCCACUCUUCUGCUUCUUCCCCCCCUCGUAGUUAAUAGAGCAUUCCAACCUUUUCAAUUCCCUUUCAAACUUGGAUUUUUUUAGAAGGUUUUUGUUGUGGACUUUUUCCCUUCUUUUUUGGAUUUUAAUCAGAAAAUCCAAAAUUUCUUUCUCCAAACCUUCUGUUGAAAAUCCCAAGAACUUACUGAAUUUGGCCAACUCACUCUCCUCCCAACUUUCCUUCUCCCAUCCCUUUCCAUCUCGUGGCAUAGAUUGGGCUAACCUCAAUUCCUUUCCACAGCUAUCCUUGCAGUCGCUUGGGCCCUCCAUCAAAUCCUAGCGGCUUGCAUUCUCCUCUUCUUGGGAUCCCAGGGGAAGAAGCAUGCGUAAGGGGGUUUAUCUCAGGUGAGUCACCCUAUCAUCCCCAGAAAGGUCGCAAAACUCCCCCAAAGGAGUCCGACCAAAAAAGAAAAGAGAAGAAGGAGAGGGUCCAGACGCCAUCAAACCACAAGGGAUAGGAGCACACCCGUACCUCGACGCUUCUUCAAUUAGGGCACAGUCGGUCCUUAACUUCUCCGCGAGAAAGAGCUCCACCUCAACUUGCCUCCGCCUGCCAUCAUAAUCCCAGAAAGGGAAGCAUUCAACAUCUGGCUCCCUCAGAUGACUUGGACCAGCCCACACAAGAGGCAAAGCCACUCCAGAGCAGCCCACCAAGGACUGGGCUGGAUCACGACAAUCUUCCCUCCCCGUCAGCCCGCACAUNNNNNNNNNNNNNNNNNNNNNNNNNNNNNNNNNNNNNNNNNNNNNNNNNNNNNNNNNNNNNNNNNNNNNNNNNNNNNNNNNNNNNNNNNNNNNNNNNNNNAAAGGGAAGCCUUCAGCAUAUGGCUCCUUCAGAUGACUUGGACCAGCCCACACAAGAGGCAAAGCCACUCCCAGAGUAGCCCACCAAGGACUGGGCUGGAUCACGGUAGUCUUUCCUCCCAGUUAGCCCACACGUCCUAGUGGACUCCACUGGUCUAAGGCCCUCUAAUGACGAAGGCCCUACAGAUGACGAAGGCCCAAUAGGAUGCGGCCCGGUCUUAGGUGAAGAAUCGAGCCCAUCGGACCCAACACCCAAGGCCCUAUGCAAGCCUUCUAGGUCCCCUAGUAAUGACCCAAUUGGGCCUCGAGACCGAGCCUAAAGGGACCCCGACCCACCUGUUUGCUCCCUUGUCCCAUCAGCAAACUGCAGGUGGGUCUCGAGCCUCGCGCCGUCCACCACUUCCAUCACGCGCUUGCCCGCGCAUGUAGAGACAUCACCUUCAACCUCUCCUUCAACACCGCUGUUCUUUCCCCUCCUUUCUGCCGGCAGCACUCUCAUUACCGGCCUUAACUCCCACCAUAGGACAAGCAAAUAACACACCCCUUUGACCCCAAUUUCUAUCAUGCUAGGGAUCUCCUCGCCGGAUAAUUUCACCAAGAUUCUUGCCCACUGCAACUCUUCCAACCUCUCCGUCUGAGUAUCAAUCGCUAAGAGCCCCCCGCAUUUCUCCCUUACCUUUCUNNNNNNNNNNNNNNNNNNNNNNNNNNNNNNNNNNNNNNNNNNNNNNNNNNNNNNNNNNNNNNNNNNNNNNNNNNNNNNNNNNNNNNNNNNNNNNNNNNNNNNNNNNNNNNNNNNNNNNNNNNNNNNNNNNNNNNNNNNNNNNNNNNNNNNNNNNNNNNNNNNNNNNNNNNNNNNNNNNNNNNNNNNNNNNNNNNNNNNNNNNNNNNNNNNNNNNNNNNNNNNNNNNNNNNNNNNNNNNNNNNNNNNNNNNNNNNNNNNNNNNNNNNNNNNNNNNNNNNNNNNNNNNNNNNNNNNNNNNNNNNNNNNNNNNNNNNNNNNNNNNNNNNNNNNNNNNNNNNNNNNNNNNNNNNNNNNNNNNNNNNNNNNNNNNNNNNNNNNNNNNNNNNNNNNNNNNNNNNNNNNNNNNNNNNNNNNNNNNNNNNNNNNNNNNNNNNNNNNNNNNNNNNNNNNNNNNNNNNNNNNNNNNNNNNNNNNNNNNNNNNNNNNNNNNNNNNNNNNNNNNNNNNNNNNNNNNNNNNNNNNNNNNNNNNNNNNNNNNNNNNNNNNNNNNNNNNNNNNNNNNNNNNNNUAUCCUGAUUCAGAUGCAUGUUCAUCUACUUUUAGUGCAAUGUUAAUGUUUCUUCUUCUUAGGAACACUUAGGGUCAUCUCCAAUUGAAGGGAGCCAACUAUCUCAUCUAGCUUAAUUGAAUCAACAGUGUUCCAUUCCUCUAGUGUUAUGACCUCAGGUCUAAAACGAUCAGAGGGGAUCUUAACAGUUUUCAGGUAACCUUGGAAUCAAGUAUAUUCAGGGAUCUUACAUAGAUUGAAAAUCAGCAUUCACAAUGUCUAUGAUUUCAAUAAUAUAUUCAGAAAAUGUUUUUGUUGUGAUCAUUUGAAAUUCAUUCCUUCACCUAUCCCAACUAUACAUAGUUUUUCCUACCCUAGUGGAUAUAUAUCCCAUCUCUAUCUAGCACCAUAUCAGGAUAUCAACCAAAUUGAACAGAACUCCAAUCUCUAUCAGACUUCAUUUUCAGGAAGUACAUCUGUUUUACCUUGGAAUGAGCAUAAUUAUCUCCUUUGAAGUAUGGAGGUCUACCUAUAGAGGUUCCUUCUCGGUGAAUUUCCAUCUUAAGAGAAUAUAGUUUAUCCAUAUUGAGAGCAUGAGUAAACAUGUUUUGAUAUGAUUUAUGAGUUUUUAAGAGAGUAUGCUAUGAACUUGAGAUCUUUUUUAGAUGAUCAAAUAACAUAUGCACAUGAAUGUGAUUAAGUGAUUAGCACAAGGUCAUACGCUAAAAUGUCUCUAAUGAAAUCUCAGCAAACAAGCACACAAAUAUUGCACAAGAUAUAACAUAAAAAAUCUCUAAGGGGAGAAAGGAAAUAAAUAAAUAAAUAACAAUGGGUGCCUUUGUUGUUGCAAAUCCACUAUGAAUAUAAAUCCAGUUUUGCCUACAAGUCCUCCCAGAUCAAUCACCAAUCCCCUUAAGGAAUCCUCAGAGUGAUUAUUUCUUCAAUCCACACCUCUUUUUUAUAUGCUUCAAUAUGGCUCAUCAUGUGCUCACCACCAAUCUCUCGACAUAGCCUCCUUCAACUAUCUUCAAUUACCACGAUUUCUCUUCUCCUCCACUAAUUACAUUACAACAGAAUCACCUUCACUAUCUCAUUGAAGUGAUCUCCAAAAACUAUAAAACAAAAAUUCUAUUUGCAAAGCAACUUCUUCUUCAUAUAGAUUCAGAGAACCAAAAUAAGAAGAUGUUUUCACCUGUAGCAAAAUCUUCAUGUAGAUUUAGAGAACUGAAAUUGUAACUUCAAAUUCACUCUUAGAAUCUCAAUUAAGGUAAAGCUCUCUCACAUUUCAAAAUCCCCCACCAAGAGUUUCGCUUACUCUUCAUUUUGGAAAUGAGAGUAGAACCAACUUAGUGCCGAGGGACAUAAGGCACACCCUUAUGGGCCUAUUGUCAUGCAAAUUUUAAGGUGGAGCAUCCAACUAACUCAACAAAUGUUUUUUUGCUUCCAGCCAUUUGUUUCCAUGGUCUAGAAAAAUAUGUCCUAGAUGAUUCCCAUUGUUUCAACUCUUUCAUGAAAAAUGCUUCUCAAAUCACUCCGGUCUUUCACUCACAUUACAUGUGAACUCCAAUCUACAGUAGUGAAAUCCUAUUAACGAGCAACCUGGAACAAUUAGCUUAUCCUUUCAAUCCCAUUUUCAAGCUCAAUUCCCUCCACCAGUGAAAACAAAUGGUCUUAUAUGAUCAACUCCAUUCACUCCAGGGCUAUAAAGGAAACACUUGUGAGCUGGCAGGCAGUAGCUCCUCCCGACUCACCAUNNNNNNNNNNNNNNNNNNNNNNNNNNNNNNNNNNNNNNNNNNNNNNNNNNNNNNNNNNNNNNNNNNNNNNNNNNNNNNNNNNNNNNNNNGCAAUUCACCAAAGAAUGCAUAGGUGGCAAUGAGGUCCCAAUGGAGCUGUGCAUAUCUAACAGUCGCAGACUUGAAGGAAGCUCUGGAAUUUGUGAAAGCUUCAUGCAGUGACUCAAGUCAAGGGCUCUAAGGUUAGAGAGUUGACUGAUACCCACAAGUAUGUCACUGAGGGUUCCUCCUUCCUCUGGAUUGGACCGACUUAGAUCUAAUACUUCCAGUGAGGAUAGAUGGAAAAUACAAUGGAAGACUCCUCCAUUUAGAUUGCAGUUUCUUAGCCUUAAUUCUUUCAAUGCGUUCAAGCAGUUAUCACUCUUUAUUACUCCUGGUGUUAGAUUGCAUUGAUCUAAAUAUAGUUCCCUUAAGAGAGAUAAACCUGACAAAGAAGGCAAUUGACAACUGAGCGAAUUUAAAGAAAGAACCUCUAGACAUGGCAUUCUCUCCAGGUCCUCUGGCAAUCUGUCAAGUUUUGAGCAGCCUUCAAGACUUAGAACUUCAAGAAAUCUCAAAUUACAAAUGCUGUUCGGGAGACCCUCAAGGUUUUUACAAUUGUCCAAAUACAAGUUGCGAAGACCUUCUAGAAGUUCAAUCGAUGAUGGUAGCUCUUUAAUAGCUGUUUCAUCUAAACUAAGCACCUCUAGUUUUCCAAUGUUGCACUUGAUUUUUGGAAAACUAGUUAGUUUUGAACAGCCACUGCAAUGAAGAGUUAAAAGGUGCUUCAACUUAUGAAUGUCCCCAGGAAGACUCUCGAGGCUUACACACCCUAUAAAAUUCAAGGAAAAAAAAAGUUAGUUUUAUGACACUCUUAUAUGUGUGUGAACCUUAAGUAAAAUUAUACAACCUGAAAGAAUAAGUUCCUCCAAAUUUGGCACGUUUGAGAAAUUUGGUAAUUCAAUAAGCUGUUGUGAAUGACUGAGAUCGAUGUACCUUAAAUUUCUAAGACACUGGAACAAAAUAGAAUUUCUAUUAAUAAAUCAAUUUUAAAAAAUUUAAAAAUAUUAUGAAACAAAAGCAUAAAUAAAUAAUAAUCAUACCAUGUUUCCUUUCCAAAGUAGUUUUAUGUUACUAUUGCUCAAUUUGAGGAGAGCAAGAUCAUUUGGAUGAAAGUUUGAUGGUAGAGAUUCUAAAGAAUAUCCAUCCCAACUGAGACAUGUCAAGUCAUCAGACGAAAAUACAAAAUCUUCAGGAAGUUGUAUGCGAUUGUGGGAGACGACAAGCAAUCUAAGUCUAUUCAUCCUUUCGAAAGCUUUGCAUGUAAACUGUAUCUGUUCUGAUUUGUCCACAUCAAGGAAUAUCCCUUCAAUUUUUUCAGUCCCCUAGAUAAUAAGAGUAUAAAAUUAGAAAAGCACAAUACAUAUAAAUCCUUACUAAGGUGAUAAAGAUAAAUAACUUCUUGAACAAAACAUAUUUUCUAUAUAUAUAUAUCUUACCGUAUUUCUUUUUAAUACUCGAUAAAUAUCUGUAUGCCUCCAUAAUCUGCUCCUCUCUCCUGGCUCAUUAGGACAUUCUUCAUCAACAAUGCCCUUGCCCAUUUGGGCUAACAAAUCAUGCAUCUCUAUUGUCUUGUCCUUUGAAAUGGUUAUGAAACACCUAUCAACGAGAGCAUUUAUUCCACUUUCCGCAUUGAAUUCGGAACCAUCCAAUAUUCUUGAAACUAUUUCCACAUCACCUCCUUUAAAGAAACAUGCAAUGUCGAGAAAUAUCAUCCUUUGUGUAUAAUCCAAUCCAUCAAAACUUAUUUUAAGCACAUUUACAAUUUCCAUGUUAGGCACCUUUUCCAGCUUCCGCAAUUCGCUUUUCCAAUUUGGUAGUCUCUUUCCAAAUAAUAGAGAACCCAAAACUUUAAGUGCUAAUGGAAGACCAUCAGCAUAUCGUACUACUUGAUGAGAGAGAUCUGCAUAACCUUCCUUCAGAUGAUGUUGUUUAAAGGCAUAACGACAAAAAAGUUGAAGAGCUUCGUGAAAAUUUAAUUUCUUAACUUCAUAUAUAUCAUUCACUUCAUGCCUAGUUAGCAAAUCUUUUUUCCUAGUAGUAAUGAUGAUUCUACUUCCUGGACCAAACCAAUUAUGCUUUCCAAUCAAGUGUUCUAAUUGUGUCAGCUCAUCUACAUCAUCCAAAAAAACAAGAACCUUUUUUGAGGAAAGCUUAUCCCUUAUUAUUUUGAUACCUUCAUAAACAUUCUUUAAAACUAUUUGCCCCUUUGUCCUUAGAGUAUCAUCAAGAAGCUUUUGUUGUAACUUAAGAAGACCAGAAUUUUUUGUGGAUUCUUUCCUGACAUUUGUGAGCAAGCUAACACUUUCGAAUUGAUGUGAGAUUUGGUUAUAAAGAGCAUUGAUGAUGGUAGUCUUACCGAUUCCACCAAGACCAUAAACCCCGACCAUGCGAACAUCAUUCGACUCAAUCUUUAACAAUGAUAUUAGUUUUUCCAAACGAGAAUCCAUUCCAACAAUGUUCUCGUUAACACCUAAAAUCUUAGGUAAGUUUCCAUGAACGUUCUCAAUAAUUUCAUCAAUAAGCGUUGACUCAUACCUGCCAAUUGCAAAGCAUAAUAGAUCAUGUACUCAUGCAAUAGAAUGAGUAGCAAAAGACAAUAAAUUAUAUGAAAUAAAUUUAAUGAUGCCUACUUUUCCAACUAUAACUUAGCAGGGCUAAAAAUAAUUUAAAUUAAAAUAAAAUAAACCACAUCUAUCAAACUACUUAUGGGUACGAUUGCAUUAUUCUAUACAGUUGCUCGUGUGAUAGAAAUGAGGGAAGAAAAUGCAGAAUAUGAUUUGCAUUAUCAAAAGUGGAAAAAAGAAAUUGAAAUAUUUUUGUGUUAACUUGUCUACUCAAUCUUUUGGAAGGCUCAAAAUGAAGUUGACUUGUUUGGAAUAUUACUACCCUAUUUUGAUAAGGGAUUCCAUCACAGAAUCAACCACUAUUCUGCAUCCAAGCUUUUACGAUCAACGUUACCAUCUUUUGUACUUGCAUAACUUUCUCUCACCAUUCAUUUAGAUAAUGGUUCCCCUAGCUGUUCUUUAUUAUUAUUAUUAUUAUUUAUAAAUUUUUAUAAAAUUUUUUGAAAACCCUUUAAUCAAAAUAUAACUUUUAUAAAUUAAUUGAACAUAUUUUAUUUAUAAUUUUAAUUAUUUUGUCCGAAGGAAUUAAAAAAAUAUAUUUUAAAAGAAUAUCAAUUUUAACUUAAAAUAAUUUAGUAUAUUCUUUAUCAAGUGUAAAAUUUUAAUGAACAGAUUUUUAUUUUAUAAAAAAUAAAAAAUUUUAAAAUUUUAAAACUCACAUAGCUUUAAAUAUUUUUUAUAUCAGCAGACAGAGAAAAGGAGAGUACUUCAAGUGAAAAAUGAAAAGAAGUUACAAUUACCUGUUCUCCGCAACAUGUCCGGCUAGAUUGCCUGCUUGCUCCAUGGCAGUCCUCCAUUUCCUUAUCUUUUCCUUUCUCUCCUCGUCUGCAUUUUCCUCAUGACGGGUAAAUGCUUCUCCACAAAUCCCAGUUUGCUUCCGAACUUCAGACGGAUCCACAUUAUAGAAAAUUGGGAUAACUAUUUGUCCCCUUUCCUCUUUGCAUUCCAUGAUCUUGACAAGCUCGUCCAGACACCAUUUGGAAUGAGCAUAGGUUUUUGAGAAAACAAUAAUGGCAAUCCUUGAUUCUUCAAUAGCUUUUAAGAGCUCUGGUGCAAUCUCUUCUCCCCUUGGAAGCUCUUCAUCAUCUCUGAAGGUAUGAAUAUUGUUACGAAUCAAAGCCGAGUAGAGGUGAUCAGUAAAGCUUUUGCGAGUAUCUUCACCUCUAAAACUCAAAAACACAUCGUAGCUCCACUGAGAGUGAGAAGUGGAAGAAGAAGAGGGUCUCUGGAUGCUGGGGGAAGCCAUGGUUGAACAGAAAUUGGAGGAAAAAUAAGGGUCUUCGGGUACUGAGUAACUCAUUCCCCUAGCCUUACGUGAAGUUUGGAUGUUGGUGGUGGGAUGCGCUUUUUCUUUCUUAAUUAUUUCUCCCUAGCUGUAUCCCUCUAGCUUUGAAUGAUAGUGUGGUUCACAUGGUCAAGACCGCACUUCAAUCAUUUCCCUUCACUCUUUUCUUUUACAUUUUACUCACUUUUCUGAGUUUUCUCUUUUUGUCAGUCAACAAUGGCCGACAGUCUUGUCUCUGCCGUUUACAGCUGCUCUUUUCUUUUAUUCUAAAAUAAAAAAAAUAAAAAAUGAUCAAAUGGUCUUUGCUUAGCUCAUAAGAUCGUGUGAACGCACAUUAAAUUAAAGUUAUUCAAUUAAGUUUUGUCUUUUCCAUAGUGAGCAAUAUUAUAGUAGAAAAUAAAGGUUUAUUAAGUUGAUAUGUCAAGUAAAGCUAACAACUUUGGUAUUAUAAGCUUCAUUUUUGUAGAUAAAAAAUAUGAUAAUUCAUAUGACAAAAGGUAAAGAAAAUUUUGAUCUUGAAGAGUAGAAAGAAGCACAAAACCUUCAUGAAAUUUUAGGGAAGAAAGACCAUGCCCAAAACUCGAAAUUUAAAUUUUCACAGCCUUUUCACAUUUUGUAGUUGGCUUUAUUAUUAAUAGAAGCACAUAAAUAAAUAUUGUACUUAACCAUGUUACUUCUAAAAUUAAAUCCCAUUAAUUUAUAGGUCAUAAUGGCUUGUAUAGGUCAUCAUAGUAAUGAGUGUGAAGGUGGGUACUUCUAUAAAUAAUAGAUGAGAUUAAACCAAUUACCCUAAAAUUCAAAAGCACCUUUAUCAUAAAAGUCAUUGUCGUCGUAAUGGUAAUGAGGUUGGAGUAUUGGAUUAAAAUAACUUAUUUAUUAAAAAAAAUAUAAUAUUUAACAAAUUUUCGAAACUUAUGUUCAAAUUGAUUUUUUUUUUUAUACCAUGUAGGUGUCAUGUCAUUAAAAUUUAUUUAUUUUUAAUCAUUUUAGUUAAAAUCUCAGUUAGUAAAUCAUUUUAAUUAAAAUCUCAAUUAGUAACUAAGGCUUCAAUUUUUAACUAAAGUCGGUAAUUGUCAAUUAAGGCUUCAUUUUUUAAAUUGAAGCCUCAAUUGACAACUAAAGUUUCAUUUUUGAAUUAAAACCUCAAUUGGCAACUGAAUCUUCAAUUUUGAACUAAAACCACAGUUCCCAACUGAAGCUUUAAUUAUUUUUUUUAAAUAAAAUUUAUUAAAUUAUAAUUUAUGAUUGAAAUUUUAAAAAUAUACUUAAAUAAUAAAUUAUUUAUAUUUAAACUUAAGAAUCUAGUAUUACUUCAACAAACAUAAAUUGAUAAAUAGAAGAUAUUAUAAAUGAAUAUUUUAUUUAUUAAUAAAUUAAUAAUCUUAAAAUAAUAAAUUUACAUAACAUAUAAAUAAUAUAUAAAAUUGUAUAAUUUAUUAAUUUAAGAUAUUUAAUUUGUCGUUUUUUAAGAUAUUAAUUUAUUUGUAUUAUGACAAAUUUAUUUUUAUCGAAAUAAUAAUAUACUUUUAAGUCAUAGUUGCUAACUGAGAUUUCAAUUAUAAUUUUUUUUUUACUUUCAAAUUUAAUUAAAAACUAUUAAAUUAUAAUUUAUUAUUGAAAUUAAAAAUAUAUACUUUAAUAAUAAAUUAUUUAUAUUUAAACUUAAAAAUAUAGUAUUACUUCAACAAACAUAAAUUGAUAAAUAAAAUAUAUUAUAAAUAAAUAUUUUAUUUAUUAAUAAAUUAAUAAUCUUAAAAUAAUAAAUUUAUAUAACAUAUAAAUAAUAUAUAAAAUUGUAUAAUUUAUUAAUUUAAGAUAUUAAUUUAUUUUUAUAAUUUAAUAAUUUUUAAUUUAAAAAAAAUUAACUAGGACCUCAGUUGGAAAUUGAGACUUCAAUUUUAAAAUUUUAGUUUAAAAAUGAAACCUCAAUUGAUAACUGAGGUUUUAGUUCAAAAAUGAAGUCUCAGUUAUCAAUUGAGACUUUAACUAAAAUUAUGAAGAAAAAAAAAUUUAAUGAUAUGACACCUACAUGACACAAAGAGACCAAUUUGAACAUAAAUUUCAAAAAGUAAUUAAAUGUUUUUUUUUUUUUAAUAAAUUGACCAUUUUGACCCGAUACUCAAUGAGGUUAGGUAUAUUUUGAAAGAAUAGAAAACCCUAAAUUUCAAAAGAAUGUUUGAUUCUUGACAAUUUAUCCCCAAGAGCCUUAUUUUUUUACUUUUUAUCUUUUUAUUAUUAUUAUUAUCGUGAGGAUGGUUAAAGAUGAUAUAGAAGUCUUUCAAUGGUUUAAAAAAGAAAAAUGUGAGUGUUAAGUUGACAUUUUUGCCAUUUUAGAAAAUACUUAAUUUUAAGAUCAUUAAUAGGAAGAAAUAAAGAGUUCACAAAAAAUAAAGACAUUUUUAUUGAUUGAUCUAGGUAAUUGUGGACCCCGCAUUUCGGCUCAAUACGUUUUCCACUAGAUGGCGAGCUCGAUUUUGAUUUGAAAAAUGAUUUUUAUUGGUUAAAAGAAUGACUUGGAGUCGCCACUUAUUUUUGUUUUAUUUUUAAAGGGUAAACAAAAUAAGAAAGAAAAACCCUAAGUGUGACUCCUUGUUUUGGAAAAGGUGGUCUGUGAAAAACCGGAUCGGGUUCGGGGGUCAGGUUACUUAUUGGGAAGGUACGGUAGAGACCGUAGCACCCCUCUAAGUCCCUAAAGUCGGGUCUCUACUAAUAAAGUGAAACUGACGUGACAAUCGAAUAAGAAAGUCAAUGGAUACUCACAUCAAUCAUGCAUAUAUGAGAAUCAGAAUAUGUAUAGUGAAUGAUCAGAAUGAGUGAAUGCAUACCUGGGCAGCAAACAGCAACGCGCUAUCAAGAAACGGGAUUAGUGCACAAUUAAUGAAUACAAAACAUAGCUCAUACAUAUCGGAGUGCAAAGCGAAGCUCAAACAAAAUACAGUAAGCACGAAAAUUGACAGUCAAAAGGGGUCAAACAUAGGGCCCCCAACAAAGCCCGAUUUAUUGUUCAUGAGCUAAUCCCACAAAUCCCCUGUUUUGGAAUUAUGAAGGAAUCACUGUUGUUUAUGUAAAAUCAAGAAGAUCAGAAGAUUAUUUAGGAACUGAAAUGUGAUUAAGAACUAUUCGAGUGAAAACUGAAUUAUUGGAGCUUAUUUGAAAAUUGAAGUAUUUGGAAUUAAAUUUUGAAGAUUAGAGCUCUGGUGAUUAAAUCGAAAUUUUUAAAGAAAAUGAGAAACGGACUUUAGGAAAUUGAACUGCGAGACCAUAGACUUUUGAAAGUUGAAUUUAUAAUAAUGAUAGUAAUGAGGUCUUGAGAGGUUGAAUUAAUAAUAAUAAUAAUUAUAAGAUUUCGAAAGUUGAAUUUAUAAUAAUGAUAGUAAUGAGGUCUUGAGAGGUUGAAUUAAUAAUAAUAAUAAUUAUAAGAUUUCGAAAGUCUGAAUUGACGAUAAUAAUAACAAUAAUAAGAUUUUGAAGGUGUGAAUUAAUAAUAAUAAUAAUAAUAAGAUUUUGAGAAUUUGGAUUAAUGAUAAUAAUAAUAAUAAUAAAUAGAUUUUGAAAGUUGAGUUAACAAUAAUGAUAAUAAGAGAGUUUGGAUUAAUGAUGAUAAUAAUAAUAAUAAAUAGAUGUUGAAAGUGCGAAUUAAUGAUAACGAUAAUGAUGAGAUUUUGAAAGUUGGGAUUAAUGAUAAUAAUAAAUAAUAAUAAAUGGAUGUUGAAAAUGUGAAUUAAUGAUAAUGAUAAUGAUGAGAUUUUGGAGGUUUGGAUUAGUGAUAAUAAUAAGUUAUAAUAAAUAGAUUUUGAAAGUUGAGUUAAUAAUAAUAUUAAUAAUGAGAUUUUUGGAAGUUUGGGUUGAUGAUGAUAAUAAUAAUAAUAAAUAGACUUUGAAAGUUGGGUUUAUAAUAAUAAUAAUGAGGGUUUUGAAAGUUUGGAUUAAUGAUAGUAAUAAUAGUACUAAAUAGAUUUUGAAAGUUGAAGUAAUAAUAAUAAUAAUAAUGAGAUUUUUGAAAGUUUGGAUUAAUGAUGAUAAUAAUAAUAAUAAUAAAUAGAUGUUGAAAGUGUGAAAUAAUAAUGAUGAUAAUAAUGAGAUUUUGAAAGUUGGGAUUAAUGAUGAUAAUAAUAAUAGUAAUAAAUAGAUUUUGAAAUUUGUGAAAUAAUAAUGAUGAUAAUAAUGAGAUUUUGAAAGUUGGGUUAAUAAUAAUAAUAGUAAUGAAAUUUGUGAAUGUUGAGUUAGUAAUAAUAAUAGUAGGAUUUUGAAAGUUUGGAUUAAUGAUAAUAAUAAUAAGAAUAAAUAGAUUUUGAAAGUUGAGGUAAUAAUAAUAGUAAUAAGAUUUUGAGAGUUGAAUUAAUAAUAAUCAUAGUGAUAAUAAUAAUAAUAAUGACAAGAACAAUGAUAAUAAUAAUAAUAAUAAUAAUGACAAUAAUAAUAAUAAUAAUAAUAAUAAUAACAAUAAUAAUAACCAUAAUAAUAAUAAUAAUAACAAUGAUAACAAUAAUUAAUAAUAAUAAUAAUAAUAAAUGAUAACAUGCAUCCAUCAAACCCAAAGCCCAUAAGCAUGGAUCCACUAACAAGCCUCAUCUUCAACAAGCCCAGUCCAUAAGCCUAAACCCAUAAGCCUAAGCCCACAAGCCUAAGCCUAAGCCUCCAAAGCCCAUCAGCAAAGCUCAAGCCCAAAUCAAUGAGUAAGCCCAAGCCCUUUAUCACAUGCUCUUCUUCCUCAUCUCCGGAGACAGUGACGGAGAAAAAUGGAGGUGAGAGAGACAUCGUCGGAGGUCCUCGGAGUUGGUCCAAGCUGCCAUCCUCCCGCGCCACCUCGGACAUGCCCAACUGCAGCAGCCUAGUGUCGGUGUGGAGCCUGCUGCUGCAGCCUUCAUAGGAGCGUGGAGCUUCGUCGGCCGGAAUCUGGUCGUUGAGGAAGAGCUCAUGUGCUGACAGCAUCCUCGACGUCGUCGUCGCGGAGCUCCCAUAGUAGGCGAGCCAUGUGGAAGAUUCGAACCCGGCGCCGGUGGACGAUGAGGCUACGGUUAAAGUGGACGGCGUCGGCAUUACGCAAGGUGCGAAGUGCAUGGGGCUCACCGGAGUGCUGUAGAAGAAAAACACCGCUUCCGGAGCCGCGUCCUAGGCUGGAGGGAGCAUUGACGUGGGGGGUGGAGCUAGAGAGAGAAAAUGUGGUGGAAAUGAUAAUGGGUGAGUGUGGCGAGGGUUGACGGAGUUGGGGAUGUGCAUGAGAGAUGAUGGGCAUGAAGAGAUCCAAAAAAAAAAAAAAAAGAUGGGUAUGGUGAUCUCGGAUGUGAGUGGUUAAAUGGGGGUUUGUGAACAAAGCAUGAAUCAAUAAUGUCAAAGCACACUUAUAACUCAAACCUCAUCCAACAAUACAUCAACUACUAGCUAUCCAUAUCUGGAUCAAAGGGAAAAUGACCAGAAAAUAACUCAAGAAAGAAAGAAAAAAAUGGGACAAUCAGAUGCUAAGUAGGAGCAAGGAGUCAUCAAUGGCAUACCUGGGGACGCUCCCUUCUUCUUCAAGCUUCACUUUCCAAGAUCCCUCGAACCAGCCCGCUCUCCCCCUCCUCCUUCCUGUUGCCCUGGUCCCGCUUGCCUUUUCUUCUUUCCCCCGUUCUUUUUUUUCUCUUCGUGUCUUCUUCAGCAAGCCCGCCGUAUCCCGUCCCAUCUGCAGCCCAAAAGCUCUGCCUUCUUCCUGCUUUUCUUCCAACCGUCCUCGGGUGGAUAAAGAAAGUAGAAAAGAAGAAGAAAAAAAAAAGAAAAUGCAUGAAAAUAAAAAAAACCUGCCCCCAGUUGAGGGGGUCUACAGUAAUCCUUUCAUAGCUUUUAACUAUAACUUUGUUGAAAAUCUUACUCCUUCCUCCUUGUCUUCCUCUUAUAAUUUCUAAGUUUCAACUUUUUUUUUUUUCUUUUUAAUAAUAAUAUUGGUUUUAUGUUUUAAUGAAAUAGGUUGCAAAUUUGAAGAAAACAUAUUCUAAUGUAUUUAUUGAUUAUAGCUCUUUCUUCAAAAGGGUUAUCGUUAUUUACAUUCUCAAACUAAUCAAAUUUACAUCUCUAGAUAUGUAAUCAUUGAUGAGUUUGAGUUUUCCUUUACUAACAAAACUUCUACCAUAUCUUUCUUAUAGGAACAAAGUCAAAUGACCAUAUUUUGAGAUUUCGAUCAGCAGUCACAACCAUUCAAUCCAAACACCAACUCAACCCACAACUUCACUCCCACCAAACAACCUUUCAAACCAUCGUAAUAGUGUAGAUCUUCUAUUUUGUCUUUUUAACACAUCUCAUCUAAAUUUGUCUUUCUUACAUACUUUAACACCUUAUUAUGCACUUAUGGUCAUUUUUCUAAGCUGUUUUUUUUAAAUUAUCUUUUAUUCUUUGUGAUUAUGUUGAUUACUAAUUAUUUUAUUUUAUUUUAUUUUAUGCAAGAGUCAUUCUAAAGGGAUUAAAUGCAUUCCAAUAUUGAUUUUAAUGAUUUUUAAAUCUUAAUUCAGGACUUUAUUUUUUAUUGAUGUAUAACAUAUUUAGGUUUGUUUAAAAUUUUCAAACUUUAAUUUUAUAAAAUAGAUUCAAGUUUUGAAUUAAUUAAUAAUUGAUUUCAUUCUCUUUAAAAUGUAGAAUAUGAUAAAAGGCCUGCAACAAAUUCAAACAAAUCUUUAUACAAGUGAGAAUUUAUGUCAUCCAAUCAUUUUAUUAAAAAUCACUCUAUAAAUUAUAAAAAUAAAGAUAUUAAUCACAUCUAUUAAUAUGUUUUUUUUUUAAAUUGACAAAUCAUGAUGAAAUUAUAAUCUUUUUAAUAUUUUAUUAAUUAUAAAUUAAAACAUCACUAUAAUUAUUCAAUCCCCACAGAAUAUAAAAUGAGUUAUUUUCAGUAAUAAUAAUAAUAAUAACUAAUCAUAUUUGAAUAACAUUUCAUCAAUUAUAUAUCAAAAUAAAGUUUUAUGUUUAUCAUAACCUAUGUUUUAAAACAAAAUAAUAAAAGUUAUAUUUCCAUUUAAAUGUAUUUAGAUAUCUACCUCCAUAGCCCAUGGUAUUAAAAUAAUCUAAUAAAACACAGUAUCCCAUAACCGGUCAACAGCACAGCUGCUCCUAGCCUUAGCCUCUUGCAGCUGCAAUCAGCUGUUCCACUCUCUGUUACAGGAGUUUAAGACCAAAAUAAUAUAUUUGUAAAAAAAAAUGAUAAGAAUAGUAUCCAUUUGAAAAUAUUUGCCAAAGUAGUCUUCUUUAUCCACGUAAGCAUCCACAUGGAUUUUAAGUGUAAAGAACCACCGUUGGUGACUGUGGUUUUAGAACUUACAAAAAUUUCCUUAAAACCACAGUUACAAACUGUGGUUUUACAAUUUCUCUUAGAACCACAGUUACUAACUGCGGUUUUAAAAGAAGUUUCCUUAAUACCACAGUUACAAACUGUGGUUUUACAAUUUCCUAACUUUACAAUUAUUUUUAAAAUAUUUUUUUUAUUAAAACAACCAUAAAACCACAGUUAGUAACUGUGGUUUUACUAAUGGUGUUGUAAUUCAAAUUAGUGAUGUUAUGUUAUUCACAUGUUUCCUUGAUAAUUUAAACAAAUAAAACUCAAAUGCAUCCUAAAGUCUAAAUGAAAGAAAUUAUAACUAAAUAAAUUAUUACAACCAUUACCUAUUUUUCUUUCAUAUAAUUAAAAAAUUAUACAUUUUAACCAAGACAUAAGUUCAAAUCAUACUUAAUAAUAAAUAACCUAAAAUCAUAAUCACUAACAUUAAUUUUCAUAUGAAAAGAUAAAAUUUUAAAAUAAUAUAAACAAUUUCUUUAGUUAUUUUAAAAUUUAAAAAUAAUAUGAAUAAAUAAUUUUCUUUAGUUCAUAUGUGAAAAUAUUUGUAAAACAAAUAAAUAUUUUAUUUACUAUAAAUAUAUAAAUUUUUAUGGGAAUGCAUGUAGACCAAAUUAUUUUCUCAAAUUUUCAAGGAAAAUAUGAAAAAAUAAAGAUAAAAUAUAUAUAUAUAUAUUUUUAAAUAGUCGUAACAAAAAAAUUUGUGAAAAGCAAAGUUCUAAAAUCCCAUACUUUUUUAUACAUGAGUCCCCUUAAAAAUAUUUGUGAAAAUUACAACAUAAUUGUAAUUUUGAUAAAAAAAUAUUUUAAAAAUAAUAUUAAAAUUACAACACCAUUAAAAUAGAUGUGGAUUAAAAAUAAUUGUAAAACCACAGUUACUAACUGUGGUUUUAUAGUUAUUUUGAUAAAAAUUAUUUUAAAAAUAAUAUUAAAAUUACAACACCAUUAGUAAAACCACAGUUACUAACUGUGGUUUUAUGGUUGUUUUGAUAAAAAAAAAUAUUUUAAAAAUAAUAUUAAAAUUAUAACACCAUUAAAAUGAGGACGGAUUAAAAAUAAUUGUAAAACCACAGUUACUAACUGUGGUUUUAAGGGAAAUUGUAAAACCACAGUUUGUAACUGUGGUUUUAAGGAAACUUCUUUUAAAACCGCAGUUAGUAACCGUGGUUCUAAGAGAAAUUGUAAAACCACAGUUUGUAACUGUGGUUUUAAGGAAAUUUUUGUAAGUACUAAAACCACAGUCACCAACGGUGGUUCUUUACACUAAAAAUCCAUGUGGAUGCUUACGUGGAUAAAAAAGAUUACUUUGACAAAUAUUUUCAAAUGGAUACUAUUCUUAUCAUUUUUUUUUACAAAUAUAUUAUUUUGGUCUUAAACUCCUGUUACAGUCCAGCUUUGGCCGCCCAAGACAUACAUCUUUUCACCCAUCAGCCAUUACCCCUGCCACAGCUCAUACUAAAGCUGCCAUAACCUAUACCCCAUAACCUAAUAUACGACUCUCACAACCGCCCUUUGUAAGAGUCACACAAAAGCCAAAUUUUUAUUAUUAUUAUUUUUAAUCAACUCCAGCACAGCCUCGUCAGACGCCGAGCCUCCUGAUCUCAUCUCCAAACACGUUCUGCAGCUGAAUCCUUUGCCUUUAUGAAGUUUGGAUGUUGGUGGUGGGAUGUGCUUUUCCUUUCUCAAUUAUUUCUGCUUAGCUGUAUCCCUCUAGCUUUGAACUUUCACUUUUGUCCCUUUUGGCAGUCAACAAUGGCCGACAGUCUUGCCUCUGCGAUUUACAGCUGAUCUUUUCUUUUAGGGAGAGUUGGGAUUACUGGCUGUUAUACGAGAAAUACAUGGUUUUCAAAACCAUAUAACUGAAAUAUGAUUUACCUGAGAAAAAUUGUGAGAGUUGAGUUGUCAUUUUCGCCAUUUUAGAAAAGACUUAAUUUUAAGACCGUUAGUAGGUAGAAAUAACAAGUUCACAAGAACGAAAGAGACCUUUGUUGACUGACCUAAGUAACCCCUUUCAUGGCUUUUUCACUUGUUUGUUUUUGGGUUUUCUUUAAUGAGGCUAGGUGAUUGUUGUUUAUUUUGACUUAUAUUUUAGAUGGAUUUCAUUUUUAAUAAGAGUUUUUCAUGGUAAAAAUUGAUGUGAUACAAAUUUUUAUUGAUAUUAAUAUCAUUUUAUCAUAAAUUAUUUAGAGUAUAGAUAUAAAUAAAAUAUCAAUACCAUAGGAAAUGUUAAAAUAAAGUUAGGUGCAUAUGCAAAAAAUAAAAUUUGAAAAAUAGAAUAGUCCAGUCCAACCAUAUCCACACAUCCAUCUUCCUAUAAAUGAAACUAAUGAUAGAUACAUAAGUCAAAAAUAAGAUUUGAAAAAGAGUAUAAUCCAAUUCAACUACCUAUCUUCCAAUAAAUUAAACUCAAAAUGGGCACAUAUUCCAAAAAUAAAUUUUGAAAAAUAAAAUAUUCCAAACCAACUUUAUCAACAUGUCCAUCUUCCAAUAAAUUAAAUUGGAAAUGAGUCGGCAUGUGAUAAAAUAAAUGUCAAUUUCCAUUUUACUUAUAUUAAAUUCACUUAUAUAUUUAUAUCGAAAAUUAUCCUUUGAAUAUUUCUAGAAACAUUAGUGUGGACUCCGCAUUUUGAUUGCUCAAUGCGUUUCCCACUCGAUGGCGAACUCGACUUUUAUUUGAAAAAUUGAUUUUUAUUGAUUAUUUGAAAAUGACUUGGAGUCGCCACUUAUUUUUGUUUUAUUUUUAAAGGGUAAACAAAAUAAGAAAGAAAAACCCUAAGUGUGACUCCUUAUUUUGGAAAAGGCGGUCUGUGAAAACCGGAUCGAGUUCGGGGGUCAGGUUACUUAUCGGGAAGGUACGGUAAAGACCGUAGCACCCCUCUAAGUCCCUAAAGUCGGGUCUCUACUAAUGAGAUGAAGCUGACAUGGCAAUCAAUGAGAAAAUCAAUGAAUACUCGAAUCAAUCAUGCACAUAUGAGAAACAAAGCAUGUAUAAAGAAUGAGCAAAAUAUGAAUAGAUGCGUACCUGGGCGGCAAUCACGAAUGCGCUAUCAUGAAACAUGGUUAGUGAACAAUGAACAUAUAUAAUUAAGCGCAUAUCAAGGAAUAGAGUAAAUCAAUCAUGCAUGACAAAUAAAUCAAUCAAGCAAUCAAUCAGUCAUGAAUUCACAUAUGUGGGCCCCCCAUCAAAGCCCGUUUAUUUUGCAUGAAUUAAUCUCAUAAAUCUCAUCAUUUGAGAAUUACGAAGAUUGAUUUCUUGCUUGUUUAAAAACAUUUUGAAAUUCAUAGGAGUUGUGAAAAUUAUUGGCCAGAAGGAAGAAUGGCAGUGAAUUUUAUUUGAAAUGAGAUUUUUGAGUGAUCCUAAAAAUUCUAAAGAUGAAAAUUUGAAAAAUAAAUAAAUAAAUAAGAAUAAAAUAAAAUUAUUUGAAAAUCUAGAAAUUGGAAACUAUUUGAAAACGGGAAAUUUGGAAAUUACUUUUAAAUUGAAGAUAAAGAAAUAAAUAGAUAAAUAAAAAAAUAAAUAAAAGACACGUGGCCCAAAAGGUGGUCAUGCAUAGCUGCUUGUAAAUUGGGCAGCCAGUGCUUCUCAUACUCUCAGCUUCGGGAUGUUCCUUGAUGUAGUUGCCCCCAUGUGUCAUCCUUAGCCGUGACAAUGCAUGUGUCUUCAUCCCAAUUAAAGUCACUUUGAUCAAGAAGCGUCUUGACAGUGACAUAUUACAUCCUUAAGACAUCAUACCGAUUCUGCAGUUGCUCCUUCAAUUUUGGGUACUGAGCCCUGGCCCACUUUAACACAAAAUUAUACACUGCAUCCUCUGACGCAACCUGGAGUUCAUCACUAGACAAAAAUGCUUCAGUCUUGACAAGGGGUAAGGCCAUCGCCUCUUCUUGAAACUUGGUUGUGUCUUUGUAACGACUAGCAAGAUAUUGAUUGGUUGCAUCUGUCAAAGGCUGAACUGUCUCAACCAUUAGGGCACUAGAAGGAGGCUCUAGACAGAGCAAUGCAGAUUUCAGGUAUCAUGGAUAAGUUCCUUAAGAGUCUGCUGCAGCUGCGAUUCGGAGACUCUCCACCGUUGAUUUCAUCAUCAUGCUUCGCUUCAGAAUUCUGGACGCCAUGGAUUCAAACCGCGACUGGUUUGGCUUCCUUCAUUGCUUGUCACAACAGACUGCAUGCACCAUUCGUCGCGUACCUCACGACAAAUGUGAGUCUGGUUAAUCCCGUAGGAGGACUCCAAGCAGCAUGCAUAACGUACCUCUUCGGAACAUCACAACGAGACCCACUGGUGCCCUCGUCUGAAUACACCUCCGCAUCUCAUUCAAGUAAUGGGUAUUGGACCCAUGCAUGCAUGCAAAGAUGGAGGAGUGAAGUGGUGAGAGAAAGGAUGUACGGAUUUAGCUGCGAGUAAAGUCACGGGUAUGGGAGGAUGGAUGCGGUGAAGACCUUUGAGGGUGAUGAAAAAUGGUGCAUGGAGUAAGAUAGGCUAAAGUGGAAAUGCGUGGUAGAAUGGGCAAGGAUCUCAUGGGGAGAGUGCAGUCACGCAUAGGGUUAUGGGUAUGAUGGUAUGGGGGAUGGGAUGAUGUAGUUAUGGAGUGGUGUAGUGAGAGGAAAGGUGGUGAAGGGUAUGUGAGGAGGAUGAUGGGUAUGAGAGAAGGGUAUGAUGGGUACCAUGCAUGGGGAUGAAUGGUAUGAAGGAAGAUGGGUAUGGAGGAACAUGAAGGAUGGGUAUUGGAGGAUAUGGGUGAUGAGAAUGAAGUAGGAAACGUGGGUAUUAUGGGUGUGGGAAUUAAGGACGAUGGUGAAUGCGCUUAAUGGGAGAAUAUAGGAUGGAGAACGGGAAAUGGAAGAUGGAGAAUGGAUGAUGAGUGAUGGAGAGCUUGAGGUGGGUUGGAUGGAUGCAUGCAUCGGGCAUGAAGGACGGGUGAGUGGGAUGUGGGUAGUGGGCUUGGAAAAUAGGAACGUGGGUAAGGUGGUGUGGGACCAUGCAUGACUAAAUGGGUUAUCUUUUCCCGGUUUUUUUUAUUUUCCAGAGAUUUGCAGCCAAUUCCUUACUGUCAACAUGAUUACUGCCAACAUCUCAUCUCAGUGCCUUUCAUUAUUCUCACAGUCGCGACCAAAGAACAGUUCACUGUAGGAAACCAUAAAGAAAGACUAUGCUUCGUUGCUACUGACAAGGCAUUAUUUCACUUACCCUGAUUCCAUUUUAAGGCGGGAUAAAACCCGCAACCUGCACCAUCUGCGGAUAUGGUGGAACAAGUCAUCCACCAGAGAAGAAAUGCCUCUCACUGACAGGGUCUGAUGAUGGAGUUGAAAAAUUACGUCUAAAUAAGAAACUGGAAGGAGAGCCUCAAUUUCAUUCUUGGAUUUAACUGCUCAAUCCUUAACAUUCUCACAGCUGUCACCUUCCCCAUCAUAGUCACUUCCACUAACCAUCUUUUCCGGAGGAACACCAUUUUCAUAAAUCCACCAUUACUACCAGCCUCAGGUAGUAAUACGAGAAUCGAAACUCUCCACGACUAGUUCUAGGGAGCAGAGAUGGUAUGGGGGACAAAAUCGUUAAAAAAAAAAAAAAAAAAAGAACAAAAAUCAAAAGAUCCCGGAAUCGUAUAUAUAAAGCUGCGUUCCAUGAAAAACGAACGAGCUCAAAAAUGGUGGAACAAACAGGGGGUCCUCAACACGAGCUGGUAAACAUCAUACUCAAAUCUAGGUAAAGAGUAAUACCCCCAUUGCAAUGAAAAAAAAAAGAUUGAGAGCAUGAGAAGAGAAUAAAACAUAACAUAUAGGAGCAGAUAAUCACAUUUAAACGAAGCAAACCUGUGGCCCUUGAUCGUCCACAGCAAAUCACAAAUAGAUAUUCAUCAGAUUAGCAGAGAAUGAAGUGAGAUUUUAAGAGAUGAAAACGCACCAGAUUCAAAGUGAUGCUACUAAUGGCUCCACAAUGCAACCUUCUCCUCCUCGGCUUGCAAGCUUUCUCUUAGAAAACUCUCCGUGUAGCUUGCUUUCCCCCCAACUCAACCUCUCUGUCAAAAACUCCUCCUGUAGCCCUUCUCUCCCCAACUCUCAAAUAGCUGGCCACCUCUCUCUGCCCUCUCUCUCUACCCUGCAGCAGCUUCUGAAAAGCACCCUACCUCUGGCCAGCUGACCCCCCUGCAAAAAUCCCCUCUAACAGAAAAUAUGCGCUCCUCCUAACGGCCAGAAUAUCUCCAUGCCACGUGUCAAACUCUCACUCGCUCCUCAAUUCCACCAUCUGUUUCUAUGACCACCAACCACAAGACGACACGUGGCCCUAUGGGACUGCGGCACUUGGCAAAAAUGGCUGUAGAAAAUGACACCCAAAUGGGGGUCUACAAAUAUGCCCCUCUUCGGUAGAGUUCACGAGUGUAAGAGAUAUGAACACUGAAGUGAAAAGUAAGUGUGAAUAGUGAGUGGAAUGAAGUGAACUCUACCGAAGAAUCAAAGAGACCCCCAUAGGGACACUGGUGAAACGCAAAGUCACCCAGGCUAGUAGAUGAACACAAAGGCUCUAAUCCUAAAAGAGAAAUGAUGUCACAAAAUGCCUCUGCGGCCAUACUAAGGAUCCAAGCUCCCUCUAAGAUGUCUCCCACCCAUUUACUGCUAAAACAGUGGCAGACAAAUUUGUAUAGGAAUUAUCAAGCUCCACGGGAUGCCCCAGUUCGUCAUUAGUGACCGAGAUCCAAUUUUCAUUAGCAAGUUCUGGCAAGAAUUCUUCAAGAUGUCGGGCACCAAAUUGCAACUCAGUUCCGCAUACCACCCACAGACCGUCGGACAGACGGAAGUUGUCAAUCACUGCCUCAAGCAAUACCUUCGUUGUUUCGUGCACUAGUGGCCACGCAAAUGGAGUUCUUAUUUACCUUGAGCAGAAUAUUGGUAUAAUACCAACUAUCAUAUUUCUACAGGGAUGACCGCAUUCCAGGCACUGUAUGGAAGGCCGCUUCUUGGCAUUCCAUCGUACAUAGGUCUUUCGCUAGUACACGAGGUGGAUCAACAGUUAAUGACUCGCGAUGAACUACUUUAGCAAUUGAAGAUUAACUUAGCAAGCUCAGUUAAUCGAAUGAAACAAAUGGCAGACCACAAGCAGAGGGAUAUUUCGUUGACAUUGGCGAAUGGGUGUUGUUGAAGCUGCAUCCUUACGGCCAACAAACAGCCUUCAAACGGGUCCAACAAACGGCCUUCAAACGGGUCCAUCAGAAAUUGGUUAGUCGUUUUUACGGAUCCUAUGUGAUCUUGAAGAAAUGCGGACCAAUCGCGUACAAAUUAGACUUACCAAAAGGCACGCGCAUCCACCCAGUGUUUCAUGUGUCACUACUUAAAUGAUACCAAGAAAAUGAUGGACUUACGGAGCCACAGUAGACAACGUUGCCACCUAUCUCCGAUGAAGGAGUGGUCGCACUUGAACCGCAAAAGAUUCUGGACACCCGCUUGGUCAAACAGAGAGGCCAACUUGUUGAAGAAAGCCUAGUGCAACGGAAACAUCUACUCUCGAAGGACGCCACUUGGGAACCAACGAAGAAAUUGCUCAACGAAUUCUCACCAACGAUCCUUGAGGACGAGGAUCCACUACACGGGGGAAGUAUUGAUAGGCCACGUCAGUCAACGAGGCCCCGUAAUCCAAAUCCCAAAUACUUGGGAUAAGCUGGACGUGAUCAACAUGAAGUUUGGGUCGUGGGGAACGUUGGAAGUUUACGUUGGAAGUUUACAUAGGAAUGGGUCUUCAGGAGUUACGCAUUUUAUGUCAUUUUCUUUCCGUUAGUGUUGUCUGUUAUAUGCUAUGUUUUAUGUGUUUAAGUUCCGGUUAUUAAGCUACUAGUUUCCCUUCAUUUUUGACAUUAUUGUAAUUGGCUUUGCUUAUUUAAAGCAGCCCAGAAAUUAUCAAGAAGCAGGAGAAAAAUUAUUCAACUAUUAUGGUUCAUUUCUCACCCGAAGAGAAAGUCAUUUACGUUAACAUCUAUCGCAUUUGUUGGGACCUAACAGGGCGCAACUGCUAUCACUACAGCUGGUGAUGUGUUGCUAGUUGCUACAGGGAAUGUGCUGUUGUGGCUGUUGAUGUUGUUGCUUCCUCUUCAAGAAUAUCAACACAAGGUGAGACGAGGGCUUACCCAAAUGAAACCAGAGCAAUCCAAGAAACAAAACUAUCGUGUGGCAUUUCAUCAACCAGGUGGUGGGCAUUAUCAACUGAAAAAAUAUCUCUACUGGAGUUUAUUAUUUUCUAUACAUUGCAUAAACUUUAAAGAUAUUAUGAUCCAUUAACUUUGAACCUUAUUUACACUUGCAUAUGUCUGGGAUUGUGUGUAACAAUUGAUUAACAUUGACUUUUGGGUGUAAAUGUUGUCUAAUUCGUCACUCAGAUAUCAGGUGUGAUUAACCAUGCAUGUCAGAAAUUCUGAAGACUUGAUUGGAUUGAUUUGCUCGUCUGAAAUGUCCAAUCGGCUUGGUCUGUCCAUUCCGUUUGACAUUAUGGAAGAAGGAAAACUUCUCACUUUUGGUGCUAGACGGAGCUUAUCUUUAUCCAGACGGGUUAUAUGUUUGUCCUAAUAAGCCAAAGGGUUUUGAAUUUGAGAAGGACAUGUGGAGGGAAGCUCCCCACAGACAUUAUCAACUGAAAAAGUAUAUCAACUGGAGUUUAUUAUUUUCUAUACAUUGCAUAAGCUUUAAAGAUGUUAUGGUCCAAUAACUUUGAACCUUAUUUUGAAAAUUAAUUUAUAUUCAUUAUUUUUAUAAAUAUAAUAUCAAAUAUAAAUCGAAAAAGUAUAAGUUACAAAUUUCAAAGGGUGUUUAUGAGUGGAUCAAUUUUUGGUCUCAAUUAAAAAAACUAAUUUAAAAUAAUAUAAAUAUAAUAUGUUUUUAGUUUAUUUAUUUAUGGUUAGGGUUAUAAAAUAAAUUGAUAUUUUUUAAUUUUAAAUAAGAAAAACAAAUAAGAUAAAAAAGAAAAAAAAUUAAAGAUCGAACAAUAUAAAAUAUUGAAAGUGAAUGAAUAAAAAUGAAAAAGUUUACAACUCAAAUAAGACCAAUCUAAAAAAUGCAUUACAUAUUAAAAUAUCAUCAUUUUUUUUAUUAAAAUAUACCUAAUGGCAUUUCAUAUUGUUAGAUGGUAAAGGAGAAACUAAAAAAAAUCAUAGAACUAUAGAAUGUAGCACAUGAACUUAGUUUGAUGACCUGAAGUGCACAAGUUGCUUUCAAACCACUGGGACUUGCUUAGGGUUAAAAGUUAAAAAUAGGACCGAUAAUAUUUAAUCAGUAAUAUCAUCUCAAGCCUAUUCCAAAAUAUGGCAACCGGGUAAAAUUAAAAAUUAACUUAAUGCUUAAUAAUUUUUUUUUUAAAAAAAAGAACUUGUUAAAUUUUUUUCUAAAAUCAUUAGAUGUUGUAUAAUUUUUCUAAAAUGAAUGAGAAAAGUUAUAAUGGUGAAGCUCUUGAAAAAGAAGCUUUCAAUUAUGAUCGCACUCCUUCAAAAAAAAAAUCGUUAAAUAUAGAAUAGAAGCAAACUCGUCAAUCAUCACAUAAAAAAACAAUUUCUCCAAAGAGUGCUGACCCUUCAACCCCCAUGAGCUAACCAAGCAGCUCGACCCUAACAUCCUAAGCGAAGCGCAACAGUAGUGAUUCAAGUUUCACAAUCAACACCAAUAAAGACAAGAACAAUUGGCACUCAAAAAAUUUAUUUCCUUUAACUUUUUCCCUUUAAGUUGAAUUUGAUUUUUAAAUGGUGUUAUUUGAUUAAUUAUUUUACAAUAUAUAUAUAUAUAUAUGUUAUAUCUUAAAAAAGGUUAGUAAAUUAUAUUACAAUUAUCAAAUAUAUUACCAUAUAUAAAAUACAACUUAAGAAAUCUUAAGCAUAACACAAAGCACAAGAGCAAGAUAUGUUAAUUUAAGUUACUAAGAGCUUAUUUAGUUGUGUGAUUUAAAAAUAGUUUUCUUAUUUUAAAAAUAAAAAAUUAUUUUAAAAUUUUUUUAACACUAUUUUAAUGUUGUUCUUUGGAAAUAAUUUUUUAAAAUAAAGUAAAAUAGAGAACAAUUUUUAAAGAACAAGUAGGAGUUGUUUCAUCAGUUUUUAAAAAACAAAAAAAUAUAUAAACUCAUUUGAUCAUGUUUUUUUAAAUUUGUUUUUAAAAAUUGUUUUUAAAUUAAAAAAUAAAAAAUAAUUUUUAAAAAUAAGUUUCAGAAAAUAUGACCAAACGAACCCUAAAUGAUUGGAGUUUAUAAUAUUAAAGAGAAAAAAAAGUUAAUUUAAGAGUUUGCAUGUAGGUAGACAUCUAGCUGUAAAACUGGUUUAUUUGAGACACCCAUUUUAUUUAGGGAGAAUUGUGUUUUGGGCCCAACUGGGUCCAAAAAUUAAGAUGUGGUCCAUAUAUUUUACAUAAUUAAGCGCAACACCCAAAGAAAGUCUGAAAAUUGAAAAGAAGGAUAUUGUCCUUCAUUAAUCCCUAAAAUACCCUUAACCCUUACGUAGACAUUUAGUGAGUGUGAAUUUUAAUUUUUUUUGUAUUUUUUUCCCUUUUCUAUUCUCUAUUAAGUAUUACUCAUUUCUAACUUUUUUUUUCUUCCAAUCUAUAUUUCUAUUUUAUGUCAAAUAAAAAGCAAUAAGGUUUUUUUUUUUUUUUUUUUUUUUUCAUUUUUAAAGAUAUUGAAUCUUUUUACUCUUAUUAUAAGCAAGAAUAAAAAUUUUGGGAUUUUUCAUCCAAUUUUUUUAUUUUUUUUAUUUUUUAUCUUUUUGUAUUUAUCUUUUAGUUUAAUUUUCAUUUUUUAUUUUAAAUUUAUAUUACCCUUUCAUUUAUACUUUUCUCUUAUUUUUAAUUAUUUUUUAUUUUCUACAUUAACCAUAUUUUAAAAAAUUUUAAAAUAUACUAUCACUUCACUCUUAUUAUAUAUAUAUAUCCUCCUUUUAGUUUUUAAAUUUUUAAUGUUUUUAUUUUAAAAUUUUUUAAAAGAUAAAUUUAUUGAAAAAAAUAACUAAGAUAUGAAGUUCUAAUAUUAUAUUAAUAAUUUUUCUUAUCCAGAUAGACUAAUGCAAAGUAUUUUGACUCACAACAAGAAAAUUGUUAAUACAAUUUUUUAGUGAAACUUUAAAAAUUAAAUUUCAAAUAAAAUAUAUUAUAUAAAAUUUUAUCUAAAAAUUAUUGAAAGUGGUAUUUAAUUUUUUUUUAUUAACUUUCAAACUUAUCUAAUUUUUUACUUGAAAUGUAAUAGAACAUGUUUACAAAAAAAAUUAGUUUUUCAUUUUUUAAAUAAAUGACUAUAAAUAUAUUAAAAGAAUUAAAGAUAAUUUUAGUAAAAAAUUUAAUAAAUAUGAUUAUAAUUUUAAAUAUAGAUUCAUUUGGAUAAAAUUUCACAAAAAAAAAAAUAGUGAAAAGAAAGAACAUUGCUAAAACUACAAAAACAAAAUAUGAAAUUACAAAAUUUUGAUGAUGAAAUUUAAAAAUAAAAUUUGAAACAAUUCUUGAGUGAGAGAAUUUGAGUGCGGAAAAAUCCUUGAGUGGAAAAAAAUAGAAAAGUUUUUCAAAAUCACUUGAAAUUCUUAACAAAAAGUAGUCUUGUACAGCUGGUGUAAUACCUUUGUACAAUAACUCAAACUUCAUAUAUCAUCUCAUUAAUAUCUAACAAUAAGUCGGUUAACCAUGUUUGCAUUGGUUUUGUUUUAAAAAAGAAGAAAAUUGUUGUAUAAUUUUAUUUUACAAUCAUCAUAAGUGAGGUACCUAUUUAAAUGACCAUAUACAAGUUAGAUAAAGUGUAUGAGAUGAAUAUGUGCUUAAUCAAUGUGUGUAAGGAAUGUCAUCUAUCCUCAGUUAGGGGAAAUAAACAAACAGGUUUUUUAGAAUCACUUAAAAUCCUUUACAAAUAAUAGUCUUGUACCCUUGUACAGUUAGUAUAUUUAUCAUGUACACUUAGUGUAAAUACCUUGUACAGUGACUCAAAUUCCAUAUACCCCCUACUCAAUGUGUAACCAUAGGUAGAUUAACCAUAUUUUCAUUGGUUUGGUUCAAAAAAUAGUGGAAGAUGGAAAAAUAAAAUUUUCUCUCAAACAUCAUUCGUGGGAUAAGUAUUCGAAUUGUCAUAUGCGAGUUAAAUAAAGUGCAUAAGAUGAGUGUGUGAUAGAGGAAUGUGUACCUUGAGAGUGUGCAAUCCUUAGAUGACAAGACAAAAAAAAAAAAGUUGUCCAAAAUUGAUUGAAAUCUUUCACAAAGGAUAGUCUUGUAUACCCCUUGUAUAGUUAGAACAUUUACCAGUAUAGUUAGUAUAACACCCUUGUACAAUGGUGCAAAUUUCAUCCAUAUGCAUACAUUAUGUGCUACAUAUGAUGUGUGAACCAUGUUUCCAAUGGUUUGAUUUAAAAAAUGAUAUAAAACAUAAAAACAAAAUUUUUCCCUAAAUAUAAUUAUUAAGGUAAAUAUUUGAAUUGUUAUAUGCGAGUUAAAUAAAGUACAUGAAUUAAAAGAAUUUGUGGUAGAAGAGCGUACAAUCCAUAGAUGACAAGAAAAAAAAAAGUUGUUCAAAAUGUACAGUCUUGUACACCUCUUGUACAAUUAGUGUAAUAACCUUGUAUAAUGAUAUAGAUUUCACAUAUAUGCAUAAAUUAUAUCCACAUGAGUGUGUAAACUAUGUUCCCAAUAGUUUGACAUUUAAAAUAAUUAAAACAAAUAAAAUGUUAUUUUAUUUUAUUUUCAAAACUAUGUUAGCUAAUUGUUCUUUUAAAAUAACAAGAUCAUAAUCUAUAUUAUAUAUACCAUGAGGAUAAGGAAUAAAAGACAUUAAUUCAUAUCAAAUAAGCAGAGUAAAUAAAGAUUUAGAAUAAAUUAAGCAAAAUUAAUCAGGCUUUAAAUGGGGUAAGAUAAAUUUUGGUACUCUGAAAAUUAAUUUGAAUCUACAGUCUCAUUUCCUAAUUAAUAUACUGCAAUACACAGAGAGACUUUGACACCAACUUUUCCCAUCAGCAGUUUCAACAACAGUUUGUUAGUCAAAGUAAUGGUAGGGGUUUUUGAAAUCUCCGUUAGCAAUGAAAGUUUAAUGAAAAUUUUAUAUUGAAUUAAAGUGUGAACGCAUUUAUUGCUAACAUUAAAAUAAUAUAGACAUUUCCAAAUACUUAAUAUUUUAAUAUAAAAUUUUCAAACACUCAUUAAAAUAAUAUAAAAGGUUUCAGACAAUUAUUAUUUUAAUAUAUAUUUAACUUAAGGUUCUGUGCUUAUAGUGUGAAACCAUUUAAUGUAUAAAAAUUAAGUUUUUGAAAUCGGAUAUCUCAAAAAUUCAGGUAAUAAAAUUCAAAAAUUUUUAAAACGUCACUUCGUGUCAAGGUAAUACCCCCCUUCUGACCAGACAGAGUCUCCCUAACAUGCCAAUUUUCAGGCAAAAACGGGUUUAAGGUUAAGGGUUAAGACUAAAGACUCUAGUUUUAAAACAUGAUUUUACACCCAAAAUUUUCUAAAUAACCCGAUUUUUUUUUUUUAUGUUGAUGAGAACAUUAUAUAAAAAGGAUCCACAUAUAUUACAUAUAUUAAAUAGUAAAGAAAACUUAAAAAUAAUUCAAAUAAUUUUCUUUUCCAUACUUUACCUUUUUACCCCUUUUACCCCUUAAGGGUAAGAAAAAUACAUAAUAAAAUAAAUUCUAAAUGAAAGCAAAAAUUUAACAGAAAAUUAAUUCUUACUUUCUUAUUGAUUGCUGAUAAAUGUACAAAACACAAAUUAUUAAAAAAUAAAACCGAUAAAUAUAUGCACUUAGGAAUAAUUUUAAUAGGAAUAAUAGGACUUCAUCGUAAAGAAAUUGGAGCACUUAUAAAUAUUAACCUUUUAGAUACUAGAAACAAUAUAGUAAGACGAGCUCUUUUAGCUAGUGCAGAAGUUAAUAUGAACCAAAAUUAUGCAGUUAUUGAUUGUAUACCUCAAUUUUGUAUAGAUCUUAAGGAAUUCACAGAAAAAAUAAAAAUAACUGUAAAUACUAAAGGUUAUGAUAUGGAAUUAGGAAGUAAAAACCUUAGCAUAGCUAUAGGAUUUAUAGGAAAAACUACUAACGCUUUAAGUUUAAAAUGUAUAAUGGAAUUCGAUGAUAUAGUAAAAACCUUUGGAAGUAAGACAGUAAAUAUGAUAGAAGCAAAACCUGUAAAUAUAGACUAUUUACUAGGACGAGAGUGGGAAUUACCUUAAAUAAAUAAACCAAUAAUAAAAUAUCCAACAUCCAGUAGCUUAUAUGAAAACCAAGAUGGAAGUGCAAGUAUAACCUUUGGAAAUUAUAAAACUGUAAAUGUAGAGGUAGAGUCAGAUAGUGAGAUAGAAACUGUGAAUGUUAUAUAAGAAGAUAUUUUACUAAACAUUGAGACAGUAGAAAACCUAUACAAAAUCUUAGAGUUAGUAAAUAUAAUGUUAGAGGAAUUUAGUAAUCCAACAUUACUAGACGAACAAGUGGAUCAAGAAAACUUUGUUAAUAUAAUGUGUAAAAACUAUACAAAUGACCAAAUAAUAGAACAACUCUAUAAAACCAAUUUAAUCAAAAAAACUUAUAGAUAUAGAAAUGAUAAAUCAAUUUACUAUUCAACCAAAAGUUAACAUCUCAAACGAAUCAAUAAAUACAAUAAAUGAAGAAAAGGAAUUUGUAAAUGUAAGAAGUGAAAUAGUAAAAUAUAAUAAGCCGUAUAGCAAGCCAAAAGGACCUCAAUGGAAAACUAAAACAGAACCUUAUAGUUUUUUGCAACCAGUAUAUAAUUCUUUGCAACCUGUAUUAUUAGAUAUAGAUAGUGCGCAAGAUCUUAGAAAAACCAUAGAAAAUUGGAAGCAAUCUUUAAAUUCAGCAGGUGUGGUAGUAUCCUUUGAAAACCAACAAGAAAUUUACGAAUUUUGUAAAAACACCCUUAGAGGAACUGUACUACAAUUUUUUAGAAACAUGGAACAAGAAAACAACAGUUAUUUUCAAGAAGUUAGAAAUAAUUUUAGCAUAUCUGUAUUUACAAAUCUAAUAAAACUUUAUUUUUUGGGAACAACACAAGAAGAUGUAAAAGAACCUGCAAUAUACUUUCAUAAGUUAGAACAAUUGAAAUUAUGUAACCUUUCAUAUAUAAGGGAAUAUGAACAAAAAUUUAGGAAAUAUGCAAUCCUUGCUAGAGUAGACAGAACCCCUGAAUAUUUAAAUAAAUAUAUAUUAAAAAUACAAGGAUCUGUAGGACUUAGACUAUGGAAUGAAUUUACAACUUCCGAGUAUAAAAAUUCUCCUUAUAUAGGUGCUAGAAUAGAAUUUGUAAAAAAUUGGUUAGAAAGAGAAUGUGUAAGCAUAGGAGAAAGAAGUCAAAUAAAGAAACAAGACAUAAAUCAACAACUUUGUAGAAAAUUACAUAUAGGAGAAAACCUAGAUAUAGGAUGUAGAGAAUAUAAGUUUAGAAAACCUAAGAGAUAUAAUAAAUUUUUAAGAAGAAAGUCAAGAACCUUUUAUAAAAAAACGACCAUAUUAGACAAAAUAUAAAAAACCUGGAAAGUUUUGGAUAAAAAGAAAAAGAACCUCAGAAAGAAAAAGACAGUGUAAAUGUUAUUUGUGUGGUCAGGAAGGCCAUAUAAGACUUGAAUGUCCUGAACUUAAAAAACUAUUAAAUGAACGAAAUAUAAAAACCCAAGUAAAAAUAAACCUAAUAAAUGAGUAUCAGCUAGAUAGUGAAGAAGAAGAACUUAUCAAUGAAUUAGACUUUGAAAGUGAAAAUUCAAGUGUAUAUAGUAUAGAAGAUAGUGAAAAUGAAAAAGAAGAAAUUUGUAUGAUUAUUGAAAAAGAGGAAAAUCAAGCUAAGAAAACCCCUUUAAAUUUAGAAAACCUUGUACAACCUUUAGAAAGUAAAAUAAAACCUUAUAAUAUAUGGAAAGAUUUACAAAUAAUAAUCAAAGGAAAAUUUUCAAAAGAAGAAGAAGAUAGUUGUUCAAAACCUAAGGACACAGAAGAACCAAAAAGUCCUGUAAAAGAACCAAUGAAUCCUGAAAAAAUAACCAUACAAACAAUAGAACAAGUAAAUAUGGCAAAUAAAGUUAAAUCUAUUAUUUUUCCAACAACAAUUAAAUUAAAAACCAUAGAAUUAAAGGUAGACGCAAUGUUAGAUACUGGAGCCAGUAAAAACCUUUUAUUUGAAACCCUAGUCCCUCAAGAAGAUCAACAAACAUUAGUUCAACCAGUAGAGUUAAUCCAAUACAAUCAACAAAAACUAAUACUAACCAAGUAUAUUUCAAACGUACCAAUCAUAAUUAAUAACAUAACCUUAGUAUUGCCCCAAACUUAUCUUGUACCUACUAUAAGUUUAUAUCCUUUUAUUUUAGGUUUAAAUUUUGUACAUUCUUUACAAGGAGGGAUAACAAUACAAAAUAACCAAGUUAGUUUUCAUCCUAAAACCACAACAAUUGUUUAUACAAACAUGGAAAAUGUAUUAAAUAAAAAUCAGAAUGUAACAUCUCAUCAAAUUAGCAAAAUGGAGGCACAAAAGGAUAACAUAAUUAAUGACUACUCAGAACAAUUAAGAAAUGCAAAUAGAUUAAAAAACCUUAUAUUAGAAGCAGAAAAAAUAGGAAUUAUAGGGGAAGACCCACAAAAACAUUGGAAUAAAAAUAAGAAAACCUGUAAAAUACCAAUUUAAAACCCAGAUUUAACAAUAAAAACGGCAGAUAUAGCAUGUAAUCUUAAGAUACAAAGGAAUUCAAAAUUCAAAUAGAAGAACUAUUACAUAAUAAGCUCAUAAAACCAAGUUUCAGUCCCCAUAGAUCCUCAGCUUUUUUAGUUAGAAACCAUAAUGAAGAAAAACGAGAAAAAGUUAGGAUGGUUAUUAAUUAUAAAAGAUUGAAUGAUAAUACAUAUGAUGAUGCCUAUAAAAUUCAAAAUAAAGAUUCUUUAAUUAAUUCUAUUCAAGGAUGUAAAUAUUUUUCUCAAUUAGACUGUAAAAGUGGAUUUUGGCAAAUUAGAUUAGAAGAAGAUAGUAAACCAUGGACAACGUUUUCAUGUCCUUGUGGAUUAUAUGAAUGGAAUGUAAUGUCAUUUGAACUAAAAAAUGUUCCACAGAUAUUCCGACGAAUGAUGAAUAAUAUUUUUGAAAAAUAUUCUUUUGUUCUUGUAUAUAUUGAUGAUAUUCUUGUCUUUUCAUAUACUCUUCAGGAACACAUAAAGCAUUUAGAAUUGAUUUUUGAAAAACUAGUUAGUCAUGGAUUAAUAGUAAGUAAAAAGAAAUUGAAAUUAUUUAAGACUCAAAUAGAAUUUUUAGGAUUAGAAUUAGAGGAUGGACAAAUAAAAUUACAAGAACAUAUAGUACAAAAAAUAAAUAAUUUUCCAGACAAACUCGAAGACUUAAAAACCUUUCAAAGUUUUUUAGGAUUAUUAAAUUAUGCUAGGCCAUAUAUUAAAAACCUUAGUAGAUUAGUUGGACCCCUUUAUAGUAAAACAAAAAACACAGGGUAGAGAUAUUUUAACUAAGAAGAUAUUAAACUUAUACAGAAAAUAAAAGAACUUGUGAAACAUCUCCCAACCUUACAUUUACCCUUAGAAAAUGAAUAUAAAAUAGUUCAAACUGAUGCUAGUCAAACAGGAUGGGGAGGUAUACUUUUAGCAAUAACUAAUAUAGGAGAAGAAAAACUUUGUAGAUAUUGUAGUGGAACUUUUAAUGAUUAUCAAAAGAACCUUAGUUCUACAUACUUAGAAAUUAAAGCAAUAAUAUUAGUCUUAGAAAAAUUUCAAUUAUUUUUGAACCAAGAACAAUUUACUUUAAGAACCGAUUGUGAGAAUAUUAAAAAAUUCUUUGAAAACAAAAAUUCUUCAAAACUGUCCACCAAAAGAUGGAUAAAGUUUCAAAACUCUUUAAUUGAUUUCAAACCUAAAUUUGAACAUAUUAAAGGAAAAGAUAAUAUACUAGCAGACUAGUUAAGUAGACAAAUAAUUAAUAAUGUUGAUGAUACUAAUGAUUGAUUUCAUGAUUACAAGAACAUGGCUCAAAGAAAACCUACGAAAGCUAGAACCUUUCAAUAUGGAACCAUUUGUCUGAACGAAGUGUUAAAUCCAAAUAUGAGGUUUAACUCUUUAUUUUCUCAAAACCUUUUUGAAGAACAUAAGGUUAUUGUAGAUAAUUUUUUGUCUCUAAAACCACAAAGUUUUUCGAACCAAAAUUUAGAAUACGCUUAUGGAAAAACAGUGUUAGCUUUAGCCCAACAUUUACAAAACCUUCAAAACCAACUGAUUGCUUUAGAAACCCAAAAAUUCCAAAACCUCAAAAUCCAAGAAAAUCAAGAAAAACUGAUAGAAUAUUUGAAAACCAGUACAGUGUCAACCAAUCAAACCAGUUGUUCGAACAAUCAACUUGAAGUAAUUAGUUUAAUUAAGAAAUCAACUCUUCUGAUUGAACAAUAUGAAAAGCUUGUUGUUAAAAACAUAAUUGGAGUUGAUAACUACUCUUUCGUCAAAACCUUUUUCCUACAAAAUCAAUAUAACAAAGUAUUUAAAAAUCAAGAACUUUUGUAUAAACAUUUUAGAACCAAAAAUGCCGGGAUAAAAACAGGGUAUAUGGCAUAUCACGACCCUGAAUUUUUCUUUGUUAUAUAUUUAGCUUAUGUAAAUAUGUCUGUUAUAAAUAUAGAAAAUUUUGAUUUAGUACCACAACUCAUGGAUCAGGGAAUUUUAAAAAAUGUUUUUAUAAACCAUAUAUCUCAAAUCCCUAAAAAUUUCCUAGAAAAAUUGAAAGAUAUUUUAACUUAUUUUUUUAAAACCGAAAAAUAUAUAGAUAUUUCUUUUGAAACCAUUUCACCUUUAUUUCAACCCGAUGGAUCAGUAGUACCAGCCUAUCAUCAUGUAUAUAUAAAACAUAAUAAAGAACAACUCAUCCCUCGAUAAGAACCAGAAUGGGAAAUGAUCCGUUUAGAUGAAUUUCCAGAAUUUUUUACUCACUUUAGAGCUUUUCAAAUCUAUGAUCUUAGACCAACCCGGAAUAAAUUAUUUCAUCUCAUUGGUUAAACAAAAACCAUGUCUAUAUGGAGAGUAAAACCUUUAGAACACAUUAUUGUUCCAAAACCUUUUAUUACUUUUGAAGAACAAGAUUUUAUAACCAAACUCAGUGUAGAUAUACCGGAACCAUCUUCCUACCUCAGCGAUGACGCAUUAUUUUGGGACAACCUGGACGAUGAAAGUUAUCAUAAUUUACAAAAUGCAAUGGAAGGGUGAUGUUAGCAAUGACGACAUUGAGGCAGUAAAUGCGUCUUCAACUACAAAAAUUCAAUGUGGCAGUACAAGUUCAGAAGCAGUAAAGACAUCUACAGGCCACGUAUUAUGCAUGUGAUAAAAAGAGAGAAGAAAAGGACAAGAAAAAAAGACAAGAAGGAAGAGAAGAACAGGUGAAUAAACAAAAGUCAAAAGUCUCAGAAGUCUUUUAUCAUCUUUGUAUUUAUUUUAUACCAAACCUCUAAACACCGUAAAUAUUUUUCCUACCGUCCAACCACUUGAAUUUAAUUCUCACCUGUAUUGUCACCUGUCACUUGUAAAUACUUUGCCUAUAAAUUAGUGGUAGUAAAAGAAAAGAAGUGUGCUCGAGAAAGUGUGUCCGAAGGUGUGUGCAACAUAGUGUAAAGUUGUCUGUGAAAGAAAACUGUAUCUUCAACCUUGUACAUUUAUCAUCAAUCAAUAAGAAAGUAAGAAUUAAUUUUCUGUUAAAUUUUUGCUUUCAUUUAGAAUAUAUUUUAUUAUGUAUUUUUCUUACCCUUAGAAAGUAUUUUUUUAAAUAGUUUUUUAACAAUAUUUUUCUUUAGUUAUAAUUUAAAAUAGAAAAUAAUGCUAAUUUUCAAUUAGUUAUAAAUAAAAUAAAAUUUAAAAACAAUGAAAAAUCUAAAUUAUUAAAAUAGAAUUAUUAUAGUUGCAUGAAUAGUGGUGCAAUAAAGACCAAAAAAGCUUAUGUGAAAGAUCAUUGGGUGUUUUAGUCCAUUAUUAUUUUAUAUCCUUAAAAGGUAAUAUAUGGAAAUUUAAAGGGCAUAUUGGUCUCUUAACAUCUUAUAUCAUUUCCAUUAAUUAUGUAAGUUAUAUGGACCAAAUGUUAAUUUUUGAACUCAAUUGGACUCAAAACACAAUUGUCCCUUUUAUUUAUACAUUCUUCUGGCAUUGACCACGUGUUUAGGAUGUGUUGCACUAAAAUCUCAUGAUAAACUUGCAGUUCAAAAUCACAAACUAGAUGUAUGUAUUAGAAACAGACCAUAUUGGGUCAUGCACAUUCUUCGUCAUUUUCUAUUUCUUAGCAACAUAUAUGACCAAAUGAAAUUAUUAUACCCUAAUUAUAUUUUUUUAACUAGGUGAUAAAGAUAAUUAAAAUAUUAUUAGAAAAAACAAUCAUAUAGGUUUAAAUAGAAUUUCACACUUAGCCGUAUGAUAACAAAUUUUGUCAAUUAAAUAAAUACAACUUAAAAUAACAAAUUAAAUAAAAAAAAUGAAUAGUUCAAUUUUAAAAUUUUUACUCCUACAAAUUCACUAAUGAUUAAAAAUAUUGCAUUUAAAAAAAAAAAAACAAAUCACUUUUUGCUUUCACAGUCUAUAUGACAUUCCAACCUUAGAUCCCAUAGUUUGAGUAAGUUUGAGGCUAGAUUUGAGACAACCCAGUGAUACUACUUCGGUUAGUUCACACAAAUUCAAUAGAUUAUCACAUAACUAGUGCAUGCAUUAUCUUGCCUAGAAUAAUAUCUUAAUAUAACUUGGGCAAAAUCAGAGAGAAGUGGUGUUUAUUGUAGUGAGAAAUCAGAGGGAAAUCAUUGAAUGAUUUAUAGGUUGUGAAAUUAGAGAGAAAAAGAUGAGCUUUGCUGGUUUGAAAUCUAGAGUCUCUGAAGACAAGCAAAGAGCAAGAUUAUGAGAAAGGGUAACUUGAGCCUCAAAAAUAUGUAAAUAUAUAAAUUUGGCAUCUAUGAAAUCGGUCAGGCCAUAAUCAACAUGUACAGUCACAACUUUUUGUUGAGACAUGUGCCUCUCAGAACAUUUGAAGUUAAGAUGUUUGUCUUCAAUUUGAUUGCUCUUUGUGACUUUGAGAUUCUCAUUCCUUUUGAUGUAAAAAAAAGAAAAAAAAAAAAAAAGAAUUAAAAGAUGUAGGGUAAAAUGUUAAAUAGUGUGAGUUUGAAUUAAUAAAGUUUUAAUCAAAAUUGGAAAUUAAGGUGAAGUAUCUAAUUUGCCUUGAUCACAAAGGAAGCAAAGAUUGACCAAUCAGAGCUUUGAGUCUUUCACUAAUCAUAUGAUGGUUUCACUUUUAAUUGUUUGAGAUAUUCCAUAUAGAUAUCCAUCAAACCUAAGGAUAAGACAUUAAAUUGUGUAAUUUUUGUAUAAUGAACUAGUUCACAAAAUGUUUAAUACUUCAAAAGUGAUAACUUACGAAGUAAAGAAUCAAUCCCAACAACUUUAGUUAGCAAAAUAAUGUCGUAAUUCUAUUUUUAACUCAUUUGAAAUACUUCUCAAAACAAUAUUCCGAAGGACAAAAAAAAUUGAAUUUAUAAUGUAGUUUCCUACAUAAUUUGAUUUCUUAUUCUUGCUUCGAGAAUCUAUCUCUUUUUUACACCAACAAAUAUGUAUAGUACAAAAUAAAAUAAAGUGUGAGGCACCGCUUUAAUCAGAAUAAUUAAUUGAAAUGAAAUGUUUGACUUGCCUUGAUUAAUAAGGACUUUCAUGGCUGACCUGAUAGAGGUUGGGCUCUUAAUGUCAUCCAUUCAGCAAUGUAUCAUACCCUACCAAAGCUUGAUCAAGUCUAAGGCUAAGCUGUAAUUGGUUUAGCUAGGAAAAAAAAAGAGAAGAAAAACGAGAUCAUUAGAAAGAAUUUUCAGUCCCUUUAAAUCACUUAGCCAUAUAAUAAAGGAUCGUAGCUCACAAAAAACUUGAGAUAAAUGUUUAGUAUCUUCUCCAGCAUAUCCAUUCAACAAAUUUGCAAAAAAGCUCCAACCGGUUGUGCAUAUGGUCCUCUUCAUCAUCUUGGGCAUCAACAACAUUACUGUCAAUAUUCUGUGUCCAUUGGAGAAUCGCUAUGCUCAGUGCACUGUGUACAGUCAUAGCUUGUUUGUGCAUUAGAAUUAGCAUCUUCUGCUGCUGAUCUGGUAUCACAACUUCUCUGCUCAUCAUUGUACUCUAUCAUUGUCUGAUGGUCGCGCUUGGUCGCUUCUGGGUUGUCACAGCUUCUCUGAGCAUCAGUACUGGUAUCUUCUGGGAUGUUUCUGUUGAUAACAUCACCUGUAUAUAUAAGAUGGAACCCCCACUCUUUCACUUCGACUGGUGUACCGUCAAAGCUACGAAAUGAAGCCUUCAAACGUCUCCAUUCGUUUGACCAAUACUGGUUGUUAAUAGCAACCUUGGGAUAACAAGUCACACACAUUUGACUUGAUUCACCACAAAUUCGGCAGCUAUAAAACAGGACAUCAUCCACGUCACAGCAUUCAGAUUGAUCACCACAGAUAUUGAGUUCGCAAUUCAACCCAUCACAAGCAAUAGGAGUAAAAACAGAGUAGAAAGCAAAUCCUAAGAAGUCAUUAUUUCUGUACCAAUCCAUAGGAAGCUCUAUUGUUAUUUGAGACCCUUUUUUUUGCUGGCUUGUCCACUCUGGAAUUCCAUUAUUUCCCGAAAUUACAACUCUGAUUGCCUUAAUCCAAUAGAAGCCGCAUUCAAAUUCCUGCACAGAAGUACAGUGUUAAUACUCUGUGUUCAUAAGGAAAAAGGGCUGAAUGUUAUGAAAAUCAUACCUCAAUUGUUGAUUUAAAGCAUUUGAACAGAGAAAAACCAAGUAGACUUGAUGGACUUGAUAAAGUUUCUAAGCAUGUGCAACUGUGGACUUCUAGAACUCGUAAACUUGGCAGAAGCUCUGGAACUUGUAGAAGCCUCUGGCAGUGACUCAAGUCAAGGACUCUCAGUUUGGAAAGUUGAAUGAUGCCUGCAAGUAUGCUACUAAAACAGUCCAUGCUUAGAUUUAGACCUGAAGCGUGCAAACACUCUAAACAUUGCAAACUCCUCACGUUCUCGGGAAAUUCCUCAAGUUUUGUACAGAAACUGACAUCUAGAAUUUUGAGAGAACUCAAAUUACAAAUGGUCUCUGGAAGACUCACAAGGUUGGUGCAAUCUGCAAGAUUCAAACAUUGAAGCCCUCUUAAAUAUUGAAUUGACGCUGGUAGUUCUUCUAUAGCAGUUCCAUCUAAAUGAAGCUUUCUUAAAUUUUCCACAUCCUCAAGGAUUUCUGGAAAGCUCCUUAAUCAUGAACAGCCUGAGCAGUCGAGAGUUGUAAGGGAUUUCAACUCACAUAUGCUACUGGGAAGAUGCUCAAGGUUUUUGCAUUCUCGCAAGCACAAGCUAUCAAGUUCUAAGGGACACUCAAUAGUGGGUAGUUCAUUGAUGGCAUUUCCCUUUAAACAAAGCUUCCGUCUGGAUUGCACAUCCUCUUAACAUUCCUGGCAAAUGGUGGGUAUCAUUGCUUUACCAUUGUUCUUUUCAUGAUCAUGGGCAUAUAUAAGAUGGAUCCCACACUCUUCCACUUUCAUUGCUUUACCACAUAAGAAGCCACAAAAUGAAGCGGUCAACUGCCUCCACCUCCGUUUAUUUGAGUGAUACUUCUCAAUCUCCACCUUGGGAUAAUAAAUCAUCCACAUAUUUGGUACAACAUCAUAGCAGUGAAACGUGGGAUAAAACCGGAGUUCAUCCACAAACUGAGAUUCAUGAGCACGCAAAGUCAAACCACACUUGAGGGAAGUUGCAUAAUUCUCCAGUGUCUCCUCAGAUUCAUUAUCAAGUGGAUCAUAGAGAGAGUACAAAACAAAACCCAACAAGUCGUUAUUUUUAUACCAAUUUUCAGGAAGCUCUGCUACCACUUUAGCUCCCUUUUUGUGAUGGCUUAUCCAUUUUGGAAUUCCACAACUUCCUGAAAUAAUAAGAUGUACUCGGGCAAAACGGUUUUCUCUAGGAUAAAUCCUGCAUUCAAAAUCCUGCACAAAAUUUAAUUAACGCGUAAAUCCCCAUGUCUCCAUAGAAAAAGUUUUGUUCUAUGAAUAUCAUACCUGAAUCAAUGAUUUGAAGCAGUUGAAUAGAGAAGACCAGAGUAGACCGGAAGAAGUUUCCAGCCGUGUGCACUCAUGUACAUCUAAGACACGCAAACUGGAUGGAAGCGCUGGAAUUUGUCGAAGCUCUUGACAGUGACCCAAGUCAAGGAGUCUCAGCAUAGAAAGUUGAUUGACCCCAGAAGGUAUGCUCCUAAAAAGAUUCCCGGUUAGAAGUAAUUGUCGCAGAGAUGAUAGGUGGCAAAUUUCAGUGGGGAUUCCUCCUUCAUCUAUACUGCAGAAAGAUAGAUCUAACACUUCCAACGAGUACAAGCAGCAAAUAUCACUCAGGAUUUCUCCUUGUAUUAGCUUUGACCCAGUUAGAAUUAAAUUCUUUAAGGAGCAUAAACCCGACAAAGAAAGCAAUUGGCAACAUGUUGAAUUUAAGCCACAAGCACGGAGAUGCUUCAAGCUUUGCAGCCUCCCUAGGUUUUGUGGCAAUUUGUGGAGUUUUGAACAGUAACUGACAUUGAGAACUUCAAGAAAGCAUAAAUUACAAAUGCUUUCUGGAAGAGUCACAAGGUUUUCGCAGCGGUCCAGAUUCAAAACUUCAAGCCUAUUCAAAUGUUCGAUUGAUGAUGGUAGCUCUUUUAUAGCCGUUUCGUUCAAGUGAAGCUCCCUUAAGUUUUCCAUAUUCUCCAAGAUUUCUGGAAAGUACUGUAAUUGUGAACAGUGAGAGCAAAAGAGAGAUUUUAGGGAUUUGAACUCCCAAAUGCUUGUUGGCAGACUCUCAAGGUUUUUGCACUCUCGCAAACAUAAGGUAUCAAAUUCAGAGGCAUGCUCAAUGGGUAGUAGGCUGAUUGUCUGACCCUUUAAACAAAGCUUUCGGUGUUCCACGUUCCUCUGACAAUCCAAGCAUCUAGCAUCCACAUCCUCAGUCUGUACUACUAUUGGAUCUUGGGAGUAUAUAGGUUGGAGCCCACACUUGAGCACCUUAAAAUGACUCUGAGGGUCCUUAAAUGUAGCCGCAAGAUACAUGAAUGGAUUGGUGGGACCGCUCUCCAGAAUAGCAGCCUUGGGAUAGAAUAUCACCCACAUUUGUUCUGAUACACCUCCAUUAUGGUAGCAUUUACAAGUAGAGCGAAAACUGAGAUGUCGCACACACAGGGAAGAAGAUCCAUAUCCUUCACUCAAUGACAGUUGACAUUGUAACUCAGUGGAGAUUGAAGAUUCAGCUUCAAGUAAAUCAUCAGAUUCAUUCUCCAAUGUAUGUGCAAAAUCAUUUUCUGGUAUAUCCUCACAUUCAUCGAGUGGAGCAUAAACACAGCAUAUAGCAAUCCCCAAGAAGUCAUCAUUUUCAUAACAAUUCUGAGGAAGCUCCAUUGUGAUUCGAUAUCCCUCUCUCUGAUUCCUUAUCCACUUGGGAAUUCCACUGCUUCCCGGAACAACAAUACAGAUUCCAUCGCCAAUGUAGUCGGAAUUAGGGAGAAAUACUCCAUUUGAACUCUUCUCGUGUUUCAAAUCCUGCACAAAUGGACAAUGUAAAUCUAGUGGGUCUGUGUCAUUAUGUGAGUUUUUAUGAGAGAGUUUGUUAUCAGUUUUCGAUAAAUUGAUUCCCAGUUUUAACUUUCUUUGAUCUAUGCUCCUGAAUCUACUUAAUAUCCCUUUUAGAUGAUGGAUAAUCAAUGAACAUGAAAGUGAGUGACAAGAUUAAGUGUGAAAACUGGAAGUGAGGGGAAACUGAAACUGGAAAGUGAGUAGAAUAAGCAGAUCUCUUCUUCACUUGCAGUAGCUCCUUCUCCAUUCAGAUUCAGAGAUCUUAGAAUUGUAGCUUCAACUUAACUCUCAGAAUCUUAAAGACAAAGUUCGCUCAAGUUUCAAAAACUCAUAGAAAAAUUUCGCCUCAUGUUUCUCUUAAUCCCAUGAGGCGAGAGACAUGCAGCACAUGCUUAUUGGCUUUUUUCCAUGCAAGUUUCAAGGUGGAGCAUCUAAUGAACUAAAACAUUCCUUCAAAUCCUAGUGGAAAUUCACACUAGAAAUUUCAGAAUUUGCUAAAGAAAGGUUUAAUUCAUUUUAUCCAUGAAUAAAAAAUCAUGUGAGGGCAUUUUAACUUCCUAAUAAUUAUUAUAUUAAACUAUAAUUCUCAUUAUUUAAACUCGUGAUCUGUAACUUUAUCAUCACAUUUUGAAGAGACUUUCGUCAUCUCUUCCAUGAAUUAAUUGAUGUUUAAGGAGGUAUAAUAAACUUUUAAUUGAAUUUAACAUUAUUUCUAUCCUUAUACUCAUCUUAAACUCUAAUUUUUUUUUUUUACUCUUAUCAAAAAAAAUAAAAACUUAACAGAAAAAAAAAAUUUCAAUUACUCCGUGUUCACGAGGAAAAAUGGCUGAAUGUUAUGAAAAUCAUACCUCAAUUGUUGAUUUAAAGCAUUUGAACAGAGAAACACCAAGUAGACUUGAUGGACUUGAUAAAGUUUCCAAGCAUGUGCAACUGUGGACAUCUAGAACUCGUAAACUUGGCGUAAGCUCUGGAACUUGUAGAGGCCCCUGGCAGUGACUCAAUUCAACGACUCUCAGUUUAGAAAGUUGAAUGAUGCCUGCAAGUAUGCUACUAAAACAGUCCAUGCUUAGAUUUAGACCUGAAGCAUGCAAACACUCUAAACAUUGCAAACUCCUCAGGUUCUUGGGAAAUUCCUCAAGUUUUGUACAGAAACUGACAUCUAGAAUUUUAAGAGAACUCAAAUUACAAAUGGUCUCUGGAAGACUCACAAGGUUGGUGCAAUCUGCAAGAUUCAAACAUUGAAGCCCUCUUAAAUAUUGAAUUGAUGCUGGUAGUUCUUUUAUAGCAGUUCCAUCUAAAUGAAGAUUUCUUAAAUUUUCCACAUCCUCAAGGAUUUCUGGAAAGCUCCUUAAUCGUGAACAGCCUGAGCAGUUGAGAGUUGUAAGGGAUUUCAACUCACAAAUGCUACUGGGAAGACGCUCAAGGUUUUUGCAUUCUCGCAAACAUAAGCUAUCAAAUUCUAAGGGACACUCAAUAGUGGGUAGUUCAUUGAUGGCACUUCCCUUUAAACAAAGCUUCCGUCGGGAUUGCACAUCCGCUUGACAUUUCCGGCAAAUGGUGGGUAUCAUUGCUUUACCAUUGUUCUUUUCAUGAUCAUGGGCAUAUAUAAGAUGGAUCCCACACUCUUCCACUUUCAUUGCUUUACCAUGUGAGAAGCCACAAAAUGAAGCCGUCAACUGCCUCCAUUUAUUUGAGUGAUACUUCUUCUCAAUCACCACCUUUGCAUAAUAAAUCAUCCACAUUUUUGGUACAACAUCAUAGCAGCGAAACGAUGGAUAAAACUGGAGUUCAUCCACAAACUGAGAUUCAUGAGCACGCAAAGUCAAAGAACACUUGAGGUAAGCUGCAUCAUUCUCCAGUGUCUCCUCAGAUUCAUUAUCAAGUGGAUCAUAAAGAGAGUACAAAACAAAACCCAACAAGUCGUUAUUUUUAUACCAAUUUUCAGGAAGCUUUGCUACCACUUUAGCUCCCUUUUUGUGAUGGCUUAUCCAUUUUGGAAUUCCACAACUUCCUGAAAUAAUAAGAUUUACUCGGGCAAAAAGGCUGUCUCUAGGAUAAAUCCUGCAUUCAAAAUCCUGCACAAAAUUUAAUUAACACGUAAAUCCCCAUGUCUCCAUAGAAAAAGUUUUGUUCUAUGAAUAUCAUACCUGAAUCAAUGAUUUGAAGCAGUUGAAUAGAGAAGACCAGAGUAGACCCGAAGAAGUUUCCAGCCAUGGGCACUCAUGUACAUCUAAGACACGCAAACUGGAUGGAAGCGCUGGAAUUUGUCGAAGCUCUUGACAGUGACCCAAGUUAAGGAUUCUCAGCAUAGAAAGUUGAUUGACCCCAGAAGGUAUGCUCCUAAAAAGAUUCCCACUUAGAUGUAAAUGUUGCAGAGAUGAUAGGUGGCAAAUUUCAGUGGGGAUUCCUCCUUCAUCUAUUCUGCAGAAAGAUAGAUCUAACACUUCCAACGAGUACAAGCAGCAAAUAUCACUCAGGACUACUCCUUGCAUUAGCUUUGACCCAGGUAGAAUUAAAUUCUUUAAGGAGCAUAAACCCAACAAAGAAACCAAUUGGCAACAUGUUGAAUUUAAGCCACAAGCACAGAGAUGCUUCAAGCUUUGCAGCCUCCCCAGGUUUUGUGGCAAUUUGUGGAGUUUUGAACAGUAACUGACAUCGAGAACUUCAAGAAAGCAUAAAUUACAAAUGCUUUCUGGAAGAGUCACAAGUUUUUUGCAGCCCUCCAGAUUCAAAACUUCAAGCCUAUUCAAAUGUUCGAUUGAUGAUGGUAGCUCUUUUAUAGCCGUUUCAUUCAAGUGAAGCUCCCUUAAGUUUUCCAUAUUCUCCAAGAUUUCUGGAAAGUACUGUAAUUGUGAACAGUGAGAGCAAAAGAGAGAUUUUAGGGAUUUGAACUCCCAAAUGCUUGUUGGCAGACUCUCAAGGUUUUUGCACUCUCGCAAACAUAAGGUAUCAAAUUCAGAGGCAUGCUCAAUGGGUAGUAGGCUGAUUGGCUGACCCUUUAAACAAAGCUUUCGGUGUUCCACGUUCCUCUGACAUUCCAAGCAGCUAGCAUCCACAUCCUCAGUCUGUACUAUUGGGUCUUGGGAGUAUAUAGGUUGGAGCCCACACUUGAGCACCUUAAAAUGAUUGCGAGAGUCUAUAAAUACAGCAUUAAGAUGCAUGAAUCGAUUGGUGUGACAGCUCUCCAGAAUAGCAGCCUUGGGAUAGAAUAUCACCCACAUUUGUCCUGAUACACCUCCAUUAUGGUAGCAUUUACAAGUAGAGCAAAAACUGAGAUGUCGCACACACAGGGAAGAAGAUCCAUAUCCUUCACUCAAUGACAGUUGACAUUGUAACUUAGUGGAGAUUGAAGAUUCAGCUUCAAGUAAAUCAUCAUCUUCAUUUAGGACUUCGUCACCAGAUGGAUUCUCCAAUGUAUGUGCAAAAUAAUUUUCAGGUGUGUCCUCACAUUCAUAGAUUGGAGCAUAAACAGAGCAUAUAGCAAUUCCCAAGAAGUCAUCAUUUUCAUAACAAUUCUGAGGAAGGCCCAUUGUGAUAUGAUAUCCCUCUGUCUGAUUCCUUAUCCACUUGGGAAUUCCACUGCUUCCCGGAACAACAAUACAGAUUCCAUCGCUAAUGUAGUCGGAAUUAGGGAGAAAUACUCCAUUUGAACUCUUCUCGUGUUUCAAAUCCUGCACAAAUGGACAAUGUAAAUCUAGUGGGUCUGUGUCAUUAUGUGAGUUUUUAUGAGAGAGUUUGUUAUCGGUUUUUGAUAAAUUGAUUCCCAGUUUUAACUUUCUUUGAUCUAUGCUCCUGAAUCUACUUAAUAUCCCUUUUAGAUGACGGAUAAUCAAUGAACAUGAAAGUGAGUGACAAGAUUAAGUGUGAAAACUGGAAGUGAGGGGAAACUGAAACUGAAAGUGAGUAGAAUAAGCAGAUCUCUUCUUCACUUGCAGUAGCUUCUUCUCCAUUCAGAUUCAGAGAUCUUAGAAUUGUAGCUUCAACUUAACUCUCAGAAUCUUAAAGACAAAGUUCGCUCAAGUUUCAAAAACUCACAGAAAAAUUUCGCCUCUUGUUUCUCUUAAUCCCAUGAGGCGAGAGACAUGUAGCACACGCUUAUUGGCUUUUUUCCAUGCAAGUUUCAAGGUGGAGCAUCUAAUGAACUAAAACAUUCCUUCAAAUCCUAGUGGAAAUUCACACUAGAAAUUUCAGAAUUUGCUAAAGAAAGGUUGAAUUCAUUUUAUCCAUGAAUAAAAAAGCAUGUGAGGGCAUUUUAACUUCCUAAUAAUUAUUAUAUUAAACUAUAAUUCUCAUUAUUUAAACUGAUGAUCUUUCACUUCAUCACGACAUUUUGACGAGACUUUUGUCAUCUCUUCCAUGAAUUAAUUGAUGUUUAAGGAGGUACAAUAUUUUUUAAUUGAAUUUAACAUUAUUUCUAUCCUUAUACUCAUUUUAAACUAUUAUAUUUUUUUUUUAUAGUUUUAUCAAAAUAAAUAAAAACUUAACAAAAAAUAAAUAAAGAUUUCAAAACAAACUUUAUAGAGUUAUCAACACUUAUUUACAUCAUUCUUUAAAAAAAAUUAUAAUUAACAAAAAUGUGAUAUAAAAAUUAUAAAGAAUAAAAUUUUUUGAAAAAUGUACUAGUUAUUUGAAAUCAAAAUUCCUAGUCAAUGAAUCGUCAAAAAACUGCAAUAGCUAUGCAAAUGAGAAAAAUAAAUAAAUUAAAAGUAAAAAAAGAAAUUAUCAAUGUCAAGAAUGAGAAACCAUUUAUUUCCUUUUUUUUUUGUAAACUUUUUUUUAUUCUGAUUGUAUGUAUUCAUUACAAUUUUUAAAUUAAUAAAUAAUGUUUUUAUCACAAAAUUUAAAAAUGGCAUCUAUCAAAAUUUAUAUAUUGUUAUUAGAUUUUUAUAAAUUUCAUUUAUAUCUUCAAAAUUACAAACUCCUUUCCAUUAUUAUUUCUUAUUUUUCUUAUUGAAAAUGCAUCUUUAUUCAUCAUUUGAAAGCAUAACACUUUGAAUCUUAGGAUGUACUUCUUUCUUCCUAGGCAUUGCACUCUCAUAGGACCCAUUAAAUCCAUAUGCAACAUCUCUAAGAUCCUAGAAGAAGAGAGAAUCAGUUUUCUCUCUCAUUCAUGCGAAUUCAUUUUCUUAGAUGGGACAGAUUUUAGGAUUUUUAGGUUUUCCUAAAUGGGAAGUGCUUUAACUAGUUCUUUAAUUGUAAUCCUAGACAAAUCAUUAGAGUUUAAAUGCGCUACCAUACAAUGCUACUGUCUUUGGAUGUAAAUUUCACAUUUUACAACUAUGUGCACUAGAUGAUAAGGAAGAAGUAGAGAGGUGCACAAAGGCAUAACAAAAAUUACCAAAAAUUUGAUUUCAUACCAACACACAUCCUUGAAUAGACACUGAUUUGGAGUAAAAUGAACAAAGCAUAUACAAUCACAAAUUUAAGUUGCAUUAAUUAAGUUUGCUUUCAAUCCAAUAUAUAGUAACUCCUCGAGUAUAGGUAAAUUUGGACCUUCUAUGGUACCUUUCACUUUCGAGUUGGUUAUAUGUAAUACAACCAUCCCUAAAUACAACCAAGCUUCCCUUUAAGGUUCAAACGUGGAGAAAAACCAUAAGUUCAUUAUUUCUUUAACCAUUCCCAAAUACAACCAAACUCCUUUUAUGAGUUCAAAAGUCGAGAGAGAUCCAAGUUCUCUGUCAUACAACUAGAGUAGCCACUCUCAAAAUCCACAACGUGUUUUUCUCUAGCUCUUAGACCCUAUGGUCAACUAAGGCUUUUUGGUUCUCCUUAACCUAGAUUUUCUUUCCAACAGACAAUUUAAAUCCUAUUUAAGAAUUGUUUUUAAAAUUAAUUUCUCAGUUCUUAAAAAUAGAAACCUAUUUUGUAGACUAAAACCAUGUUUGGCAACUUUUUGACAUAUUAUAGUUUUUUGAGAACUUGUUCUGAAAAUAAGGUUUCUCCUAAUAACAUAUUUUAAUUGCUUUCAAUUGUUUUCAUUUAUUUUGUAAGGUUGUUUUAAAAAAAUAAUGGUACAUAUAUAAAGAAUGAUGAAAAAUAAAGAACUAAAAGUAAAAGUUAUUUUUAAUAAAUAUUUGGAAAUACAAAAAAUAUAUUAAAAACAUUCUAAGUUUGUAAAUAGACUUUUAUUCUAGAAAACAUCAGACCAACUAUUUUUGAAUCAUGCAAAUUGGGCACACAUUUUCUAUGCCUAGUUUUCUGCCCAAGGCCCUGUAAAUGAACACAACCUCAAUUUUAAGGAGUUUCAAAACGAUGGUUGCUUUCUCGAAGGGGAGAGGAGUUUCGAAGGGUGGUAAGAGUUUGUUUGCAAUGGAAUCAAAGACAUUCGAAAUCCCCAUUGAAGGGAUUCGAGGCAACAGAUGGGAUUAUUCCGAAAAGGAACAAAGGCUUCUCCUCAUAGAUAAAAUUUGGUGAAAAGAGCUUCAGUUUUCUGUUGGAAGGGGUGGAAGACUAGUGCAGAGGAGAGUCAAGCUCGAGGCACCUUAAAGUUUAGGAAGAAGAAGGAAGAAAAUAUAGGUUGGAGUGUCGUUCAAAUGAAGCCGAUAGGUAUCUACUAUGCUCGAUGAGGGAUUUGGAAGCUAAGAGGUUUUGUCUAGUGUUUCCAGAAGGUAAAGGCUUAGUAGGAGGGUGGUUUCUGUUGGCUUAGAAGUUAAGGGCCCUUGGAGUUUCUACUCCAGCCUUGAGUAAAGGUGAUCUGGGUACUUCCAACUCUGAAAAGAAUGGUUAUAUGGCCAAAGGAAAAGAUAAAGGGAAAGGAGUGUAUGCAGAAGUCGUGAGAAAGGAGGUAGGGGAAUUAGGGGAUGCAUUGUGAGUGCAUGUUGGGGAUCGUGACCUGCUCAGUAGGGAAGAACAGCUUAGCCAUUGUUUAGUAGGAUGUUUUGGUGAUAGUGUAGAGGUCGUCCCUUCUUUGUCCUUAUUGAAGGAGUGGGCGUGUGAAAAGUGGUAUCUCAAGGGAGGUUUAUAAAUCUCCAAUUUGGGUGGAGCCCUUGUGUUGUUCGAAGUUGAAGAUAAAAGUUGAAGUGGAUUUGGUGCUUUUAAGGGGUAGUAGAUGUCUUAAGAAGAGAGAGUUUUUCCUGCAGAAAUGGGGACUUGAAGUUGGGUGUUUUAGAAAUGGGAGCCACCCUAAGGAAGUGUGGGUGAAAGUUGUCGGACUUCCACUUCACCUUUGGAGUAGAGAGGUGUUCAAGAGUAUUGGAGAAAGAUGUGGUGUUUCAUAGCUGUGGAUAAGGAAACUGCUUUCUCCUCCGAGUUGAUGUGGGCUCGUAUCUUGCUGAGAGCCUUUGGGAAGUUUAGACCAGGAACUUCACAAGUGGCAGUCGGGAAUUUUUGUUGGACGGUGAGUCUAUGGUGGAAAACUCCCCCAUGGUUCUCAAAGGUAGUGGCAAGGUUCGCCUAGUUUGAAAAUGAGAGACGAGAGAUCAGGGAUGAGGUUGGGGGUGAAACACGUGCCGAAGUUAGCGUGCAAUAUGUUCAAAAUUUUCAAAUUGAUAUGCAGUCUUGGGGGACAGGGGCGCAGGUUGUGUGUGGCAGAAGGAAAAGAAAGGAAGUAGUUGUAAUGGUUGCAAAGGGUAAGCUGCCUAGUGUAGCUGAUAUGGACUCUUCUUGCAGUGGGUCUGGGCCCAUAAAAGAAAAUGGGAAGGCUUUCAAAGGGAAUGGUUGUUUGGGCUUUAGUGGUGAAGUGGUUUGGGCCAAAGGCCCAUUGUCCGUUAGCCUUGAAGAGGCGAGCUUAGGUAAGUCUCCUAAGCCCACUUUUAAUAAGGCUGGCACAAGCUUUUUGGAGCGUCCCUCCUCAGCUAGGGCUCCAUCUAUUCCCGCAGGGGGUGUUGGGGGACGGAUGCGAAGCUCUUGGCUGUUGAAGUUGCAGUCACCGCGGAGUUGCUGCCACAUCGUCGGAGCGUCACUGACAAGGCUCUGAUGGAGGAGGCUUCCAGGUAUUAAGCUAUUCCCAAUUUUUCUUUGUUUUUAGGGCUUCGGGAAUCCUCUUCUUCUUCUCUCUGGGGCCACACCGAAGUUGUAGGGGUGUCGAAGGGGUUUGCUUAUGGAACGGAAUGGGAGUUGGGUCGGUUUCCACCGAGUGUGGUGCGGAAUAGAGCUGAGUCGACUUUAUGAGGCUGGAGUGAGCCUUCUUGGGACUCGGUUGACGCUAAGAGAGUGAAUGGGUUAGCACUUGUCCCGAUGAGGUCGGACUUUACGCGCCUUUUUGAGAAAAGGAGUGUCUGUCACCUAGAAGAAGGGGGAUGUGAUGAAGGGUAAGGGGGAUGUGAUGAAGGGUGGAGUUCAAGCCGUCUUGCGGUGUUCAGUCGCUGCUUGGGUAUGCCAACGAAAGGCUUCGAAAAGGAAAUUUUGUACUUCUUAAGGAGAAUGACAGGGAAAAUUGAGUAAAAGGGUAAGAGAGGGGUGACUAGGAAGACAAGUUUAAAAUCUUCAAAAUCCAACAAGGAACUCAAGAAGCUGGAGUGGACUGUUAAAGAGGCUAAUGAUAGGGGUAAAAGGAAGAUUAUCAAGUCAGUCAUUAAAUCCCAAAGAGUGGACCUGGUUUGUUUACAGGAAACUAAAAUUAAAGAAAUGACUACAGGGCUUGUUCGUAGUCUAGGGGUGGGAAGAAAUCUAAAAUGGAGAGCAGUCAAUCCUAGGGGAGCAGCUAGUGGUAUUCUGUUGUUCUGGGACAAUAGACUGGUGGAGCUGGUUGGCUAGGAAGAAGGGGUUUUCUCAAUUUGGCGUUGGUUUAAAAAUUGCAUGGAUGGUGUAGUGUGGGUGUUCACUGGAGUGUAUGGGCCAGUAUGCAAUAGAGAUAGAGAGGAUUUCUGGAAGGAACUAGGGUCAAUUAAAGGGUUAUGGAGUGACCCUUGGUGUGUAGGAGGGGAUUUCAAUUUGGUAAGGUUUCCAAAAGAGCGUAGUAGGAGAGGUGGGCUUAUUGCUUCAAUGAGGAGAUUCUCAAAAGUGAUAGAAGAUUUGGAGUUGAGGGAUUUUCCUUUGACGGGGGGCUCAUUUACUUGGAGAGGAGGCUUGAAUAACCAGGCCCAGUCUAGGCUUGACUGGUUCUUAUUGACGAACAACUGGGAUAAUCUGUUCAAUGGGGCCAUGCAGGGAAUUCUCCCCAGACCUGUCUCAGAUCAUUUCCCGAUCCUCCUAGGAGGAGGGUUGACGAAGGGACCUUCCCCUUUCAGAUUUGAGAAUAUGUGGUUGGAGGAGGAGGGUUUCAAAGACAAGAUGAAGACAUGGUGGGGGAGUUUAAAAUUUACGGGGACAUCCAACUACAUUUUAAAUGCUAAAUUGGGGACUCUUAAAAAUAUUCUGAAGAUUUGGAAUAAAGAAGAGUUUGGGCUCUAUUGGGAUGAAAAGAAGAAAUGUGCAGCUUUAAAUAUAAAAGAGUGUGAAGCAAGAAAUGGAGCAAGAGUCCUACAAGUCUUGGGUGACGAGAGAAGAGAUUUUUUGGAGACAAAAGUCUAGGAAGUUGUGGCUGAAGCGGGAGGGGGGACAAUAAUACUAGAUUUUUUCAUAGGUUGGCGAAUGCUCAUAAUAAAAGAAUCUAGUUGUCCAAGUUGAAAGUUAAUGGCUAUUGACACUCAGAGGAAAAUAAUUUAAAAAAGUGUGGUGGGGGCGUUUCAAAAACCAUACUCAAAAGAAGAGGGGUGGCGCCCUAGUAUCGACAGGUCGUCCUUUAUAGGUUAGAUAGAAGUGAGGCUGAGGGGUUGGAGAAUCCUUUCUCGGAGGAAGUGGUGUUUGCAGCUCUUUCAGAUCUAAGCAAAUACAAAGCCCUAGGGCCGCAUGGUUUUACCAUGGCAUUUUGGUUUUUUUGGUGGGAUGUGGUGAAGGUUGAGAUUAUAGGCUUUUUUAGAGAAUUUCAUGAAAGGGGUAGAUUUGUAAAAUCUCUAAAUGUCACCAUCUUGGGUUUAGUCCGUAAGAAGGGAGGUGCUCAAGAUUUGAAGGAUUUCAGACCGAUUAGCCUUGUGGAGCCUUUACAAGUUGUUGGCCAAGUGUUGCCAAAUAGAAUCAAGAAGGUAAUGGGAAAAGUGAUUUCGGAACCCAAAAUGCCUUUGUGAAGGGUAGAUAAAUACUUGAUGCAGUUUUGAUUGCAAAUGAGGCUACGAAUUCUAGGUUGAAAAGCAGUCAAGGGGGUAUGAUGUGCAAAUUGGAUAUAGAGAAGGCCUAUGAUCAUGUCUGCUAAAAGUUCGUGUUGGCAAUGCUAAAAAAAAUAGGCUUUGGUGAGAGAUGGAUUAAGUGGAUGGAGUGGUGUAUCUCUAUUAUAAGAUUCUCUGUUCUUAUAGAUGGUUCUCCCUCCGGGUUUUUCCAAAGUUCAAGGGGUUUGAGACAAAGAGACCCCUUAUCCCCUUAUCUGUUUGUGAUAGUUAUUGAGGUAUUUAGUUGCUUAUUGAGAAGGGCCAUUAGUGGGGGCUUUAUAUUAGGGUGGAGGAUAAGAGGCAGGGUGGAGAGGGGAUUCUGAUAUCUCACUUGCUUUUUGCGGAUGACACCUUGGUGUUUUGUGAGGAGUCUCAGGAUCAAUUGACGCAUCUAAGCUGGCUUCCCAUGUGGUUUGAGGCUUGCUCAUGGUUGAGAGCUAACUUGGAGAAGAGUGAGCUUAUUCCGAUGGGGAGGGUAAAAGAUAUAGAAUAUUUGGCUUUGGAAUUGGGCUAUAAAGUGGGUGGUCUGCCUUCCUGUUAUUUGGGUCUGCCUUUAGGGGCACCCUUCAAAUCAGAGGUGGUAUGGGAUAGUGUUGAAGAGAGGUUUCGAAAAAGGCUAACUAUAUGGAAGAGACAACAUAUAUCAAAAGGGGGAAGACUCACCCUAAUAUGAAGCACUCUCUAGUUUGCCAGUUUACUUCAUGUCUCUCUUCUUUUUGCCCAAAAAAGUAAGGCUAAGGUUGGAGAAGAUUCAGAGGGACUUCCUGUGGGGAAGAGGAGCUCUUGAACAAAGGUCACAUCUUGUUAGGUGGAACUUGGUUUGUCUGGAAAGAAAGAAAAGUGAUUUGGGUGUGAGAAAUUUAGCUUUGAUGAAUAAAGCUCUCUUGGGUAAGUGGAAUUGGCGCUUUGCCAUUGAAAGUGAGGCUUUGUGGAAGCAAGCGAUCGGUCACAAAUAUGAUGUAAAGGAGGGGGGAUGGUGUACUCGGGCCGUAAGUGGGAGGCAUGGUGUAGGGCUUUGGAAAGCUAUUAGAAAGGAGUGGUUGGGUAUGUAUAGAAGUUUAGUCUAUCGCGUGGGCAGUGGUAGGAAAGUGAGAUCCUGGAAGGAUAAGUAGUAUGGAGAUGAGCCUCUUUAGGAGUCCUUCCCUUCUUUAUUUGCCAUUUCCUUGGCUAAAGAUGUUUGGGUAUCAGAUGUGUGGAAACCAGAUGGUGUAGAGGAUGGUUGGACCCCUCUUUUCUCAAGGGCGCUUAAUGAUUGGGAGAUUGAGAUGGUGGAGCAGUUUAUGCUAAAAAUCCAAGCCUUUAGGGUGUAAAGGGAGGACGAGGAUACAGUGGUAUGGACAGCAUCUAAAAGUGGAGGACUAGUAUUUGGAGAGCGUAUGUGCCUCCUAAGGUAACUUUCUUCGCUUGGGAAAGCAUCCUGAGGCAAAAUCUUAACUUUGGAGCAACUCCAUUGAAAGGGGUACUCUUUGGCAAAUAGAUGUUUUCUUUGCCUUUCUGAAGCAGAAAGGGUGGAUCACCUUUUACUUCAUUGUGUUAAGACACGGGCAUUGUGGAAUCUUCUUUUUUCCCUCUUUGGUGUGACUUGGGUUCUCUCUGGUUUAGUUAAGGAAACUCUCCUUGGUUGGCAUGGAGCAUUUGUGGGAAAAACCCGUAAAAAGGCGUGGCAAAUGAAUCAUUUAUCUAUAUUUUGGUCAAUAUGGAAGGAAAGAAAUUUAUUGGCUUUUGGGAAUGAGGUGUUUUCACUCCAAAGGUUGAAACAUUCUUUUGUAUGUAAUUUUUGAUCUUGGGUUAGGGUGUUUAUAGUUUUGAGCCCUUGUUCUCUUGUUAGCUUUUUUGAGUGGCUAGGCUCUAAGUAAGGGUAGGGGUUGUCGUUUCUUUCCCCUUUCUUGGUUUAGAGUAUGUGGGUUGCUUUUGUAUACUCCCUGUAUACUUAGAGGGCACUAGUUUGGUGUUUCCUCUUUUUGUUUAAUAUAUUUCUUUUUACCUAUCAAAAAAAAAAAAAAAAAACUAUUUUUGAGAACUUUUUUCAAUAACCGUUUUUUAAGAUUUAUUUUCAAAAAAAAUUCCUAAACAAAGCCUUAACCUUCAAGGAUCUAAAACUUUGCACUAAGUUUGGUGUUUUAUUGUUGGAUUUUCUUAGUCUUGCAAGCUUUAUGAUGAUCUUGCAAUAUUUUCUUUAAUUUACUAUUCAUUUUACCUGAGCAUUAAGUUUGGCUAAGUAUUGAAGAAUAACCUUGGCAUACAUUCAACUUCUUUUAUGGACAAAGGAAUGGAGCUAGAUCAGACUUUCUUUAAAUUUAGUCAAUUCUGAUUUACGUGACUCAUAAUCAGAUUGUAAAACAUUCAAAUUUUUUAACAAGGUACCUUGCUCAUUUUCAAGGUAAGAGAUUUUUUUCAAGCAAGGAAGUCUUCUCUCAUACUUCUUUUAUUCUCAUCCAACUUUCACAAUUUUAAUCUUAAGGCUUCCUUGGCAAUCUCAAAAGACAACUUUUCUUCCAAAUAUGUUGUAUCAUGAGAUGAACCUUCAAAAUUUUCAGAUUCAAGAUCAGUUUCAAAUUUAACAUUUUUCUUUUCAUUGCAAAGUGAUAUAGAAGGUAACAAGUAUAUCAACAAUUUCGUCAGGCUCAUCAUGCUCAAAAGACACAAAUAUCAUCAAUGUCAUGUGACAAUAAAUCAUAAUUAUGUUUAUGCAUGUUUCUAGCAACUUAAUGCAAUGAAAUUUGUACAUUCUUCAUCAAAAUCAUACCAAAUUACUUCUAUGACUUUAUCCUUUUGACAUUCAAGAAAGUGACCUUUCUUGACACAAUAGAAACUUUGAAUCAACUAGAUCUUUUUUGUGCUUUUUAAUCUUUUUAUCACAUUUCUUUUCCCUUGUUUAAUCAAAUAGGUUAUCCUUUGUUUCUGGAAGCUUUUUGAACUUUUUGAAACUUUAUCAAGCCUAUAAAUUUCCAAUAUUGGUCCUUUUUUAUUCCUAUUCUGAUUUAGAAGCAUGUUUAUCUACUCCUAGUGCAAUAUUAAUGUUUCUUUUUCUUAGGAACACUUGGAGUCAUCUCCAAUUGAAGGAAGCCAACUAUCUCAUCUGGCUUUAUUGAAUCAACAGUGUUCCAUUCCUCUAUUGUUAUGACCUUAGGUCUAAAACGAUCAAAGGGGAUCUUAACAGUUUUUCGAGUAACCUUGGAAUCAGGUAGAGGCCUACAUAGAUUGAAAGUUAGCAUUCACAAUGUCCAUGAUUUCAAUAAUAUAUUAAGAAAAUAAUUUUGUUGUGAUCAUUUGAAAUUCAUUACUUCACCUAUCCCAACUUUACAUAGUUUUACCUACCCUAGUGGAUAUACAUCCAAUCUCUAUUUAGCACCUUAUCAGGAUAUCAACAAAAUUGAACAGAACUCCAAUCUCUAUUAGACUUCAUUUUCAAGAAGUAUAUCAGUUGCACCUUGGAGUGAGUAUAAUUAUCUCCUUUGAAGUAUGGAGGUCUACCUAUAGAGGUUCCUUCUCAGAGAAUUUCCAUCUUAAGAGAAUAUAGUUUAUCCAUAUUGAGAACAUGAGCAAACAUGUUUUGACACAAUUUAUGAGUUUUUAAGAGAGUAUGCAAUGAACUUGAGAUCUCUUUUAGAUUAUCAAAUAACAUAUGCACAUGAAUGUGAUUGCGUGAUUAGCACAAGGUCAUAGACUAAAAUGUCUCUAAUGAAAUCUCAGCAAACAAGCACACAAAUAUUGCACAAGAUAUAACAUGAAAAAUCUCUAAGUGGAGAAAGGAAAAUAAAUAAAUAAAUAACAGUGGGUGCCUUUGUUGUUGCAAAUCCACUAUGAAUAUAAAUCCAGUUUUGCCUACAAGUCCUCCAAGAUCAAUCACCAAUCCCCUUAAGGAAUCCUCAAAGUGAUUAUUUCUUCAAUCCACACCUCGUUUUGAUAUGCUUCAAUACGGCUCAUCAUGUACUCACCACCAAUCUCUCACCAUAGCCUCCUUCAACUCUCUUCAAUUACCACGAGUUUUCUUCUGCUCUACUAAUUACAUUACAACAGAAUCACCUUCAUUAUCUCAUUGAAGUGAUCUCCAAAAACUAGAAAACAAAAAUUCCAUUUGCAAAGCAACUUCUUCAUAUAGAUUCAGAGAACCAAAAUAAGAAGAUGUUUUCACUUGUAGCAACAUCUUCAUGUAGAUUCAGAGAACUCAAAUUGUAACUUCAAAUUCACUCUUAGAAUCUCAAUUAAGGUAAAGCUCACAUUUCAAAAUCUCCCACCAAGAGUUUCACUUACUCUUCCUUUUUGAAAUGAGAGUAGAACCAACUUAGUGCCAAGGGACAUAAGGCACACUCUUAUUGGCCUAUUGUCAUGCAAAUUUCUAGGUGGAGGAGAAUCCAACUAACUAAACAAAUGUUUUUUCGCUUCUGGCCAUUUGUUUCUAUGGUCUAGAAAAAUAUGUCCUAGAUGAUUCCCAUUGUUUCAACUCUUUCAUGAAAAAUGCUUCUCAAAUCACUCACUCCAGUCUUUCAUUCACAUUACCUGUGAACUCCAAUCUGCAGUAGUGAAAUCCUAUCAAAAGACUUGGAUUGAGUUCCUGGUUCUCGGUUGCCUAGCUCUAGCAAACCAGGACUUCUGUUAGCAACCUGGAACAAGUAGCUUAUCCUUUCAAUCCCAUUUUCAAGCUCAAUUCCCUCCACCAGUGAAAACAAAUGGUCUUAUAUAAUCAACUCCAUUCACUCCAGGGCUAUACAGGAAACACUUGUGAGCUGGCAGGCAGUAGCUCCUCCCGACUCACCAUAUUUCCAACCCCAUUUGCUCCAUCAAAUUCAUAAGAAGCUAACAAAAUAACUAGCAUUAUAUAUCAUACAAUAUCUAUGCUAGUUAAUUUACAUGGAAAAUGCAAUUUCUACCCUAAAUAUGCCAACAUACAGGAAUACAUACAAUUUAUACAAACAUUGCACGCUAACACAAGAAAAUCAUACCUGACUUGCUGAUUUGAGGCAAUUCACCAGAGAAUGCAUAGGUGGCAAUGAGAUCCCAAUUGAGCUGUGACAAUCUAACAGUCGCAGACUUGAAGGAAGCUCUGGAAUUUGUGAAAGCUUCUUGCAGUGACUCAAGUCAAGGGCUCUAAGGUUAGAGAGUUGACUGAUACCCACAAGUAUGUCACUGAGGGUUCCUCCUUCCUCUGGACUGCACCGACUUAGAUUUAAUACUUCCAGUGAGGAUAGAUGGAAAAUACAAUGGAACACUCCUCCAUUUAGAAUGCAAUUUCCUAGACUAAAUUCUUUCAAUGCGUUCAAGCAGUUAUCACUCUUUAUUACUCCUGGUGUUAGAUUGCAUUGAUCUAAAUAUAGUUCCCUUAAGAGAGAUAAACCUGACAGAGAAGGCAAUUGACAACUAAGCGAAUUUAAAUAAAGAACCUCUAGACAUGGCAUUCUCUCCAAGUCCUCCGGCAAUCUGUCAAGUUUUGAGCAGCCUUCAAGACUUAGAACAACAAGAAAUCUCAAAUUACAAAUGCUGUUCGGGAGACCCUCAAGGUUUUUACAAUUAUCCAAAUUCAAGUAGCGAAGGCCUUCUAGAAGUUCAAUCGAUGAUGGUAGCUCUUUUAUAGCUGUUUCAUCUAAACAAAGCUCCUCUAGUUUUGCAAUAUUGCUCUUGAUUUUUGGAAAACUAGCUAGUUUUGAACAGCCAGUGCAAUGAAGAGUUAAAAGGUGUUUCGACUCAUGAAUGUCCCCAGGAAGACUCUCAAGGCUUACACACCCUAUAAAAUUCAAGGAAAAAAAAAGUUAGUUUAAUAACACUCUUAUAUGUGUGUGAACCUUAAGUAAAAUUAUACAACCUGAAAGAAUUAGUUCCUCCAAAUUUGGCACGUUUGAGAAAUUUGGUAGCUCAAUGAGUUGUUGUGAAUCGCUGAGAUUGAUGCGCCUUAAAUUUCUAAGACACUGGAACAAAAUAGAAUUUCUAUUAAUAAAUCAAUUUUAAAAAACUUUAAAAUAUUAUAAAAUAAAAGCACAAAUAAAUAAUAAUCAUACCAUGUUUCCUUUCCAAAGUAGUUUUAUGUUACUAUUGCCCAAUAUGAGGGAAACAAGAUUGUUCGCAUGAAAGUUUGAUGGUAGAGAUUCUAAAGAAUAUCCAUUCCAUCUAAGGUAUGUCAAGUCAUACGGAAAUACAAAAUCUUUAGAGAGUUGUACGUGAUUGUGGGAGAUGGAAAGCAAUCUAAGUCUAUGCAUCCUUUCGAAAGCUUUGGAUGUAAACUGUAUUUGUUCUGAUUUGUCCACAUGAAGAUAUAUCCCUUCGAUUUUUUCAGUCCCCUAGAUAAUAAGAGUAUAAAAUUAGAAAAGCGCAAUAAAUAUAAAUCCUUACUAAGGUGAUAAAGAUAAAUAACGUCUUGAACAAAACAUAUUUUCUAUAUAUAUAUAUCUUACCGUAUUUCUUUUUAAUACUCGAUAAAUAUCUAUAUGUCUCCAUAAUCUGCUCCUCUCUCCUGGCUCAUUAGGACAUUCUUGAUCAACAAUGCCCUUGCCCAUUUGGGCUAACAAAUCAUGCAUAUCUAUUCUGUUGUCCUUUGAAAUGGUUAUGAAACACCUAUCAACGAGAGCAUUUAUUCCACUUUCCGCAUUGAAUUCGGAAGCAUCCAAUAUUCUUGAAACUCUUUUCACAUCAUCUCCUCUAAAGAAACAUGCAAUGUCGAGAAAUAUCAUCCUUUGUGUAUAAUCCAAUCCAUCGAAACUUAUUUUAAGCACUUUUACAAUUUCCAUGUUAGGCACCUUUUCCAGCUUCUGCAAUUCACUUUUCCAAUCUGGUAGUCUCUUUCCAAAUAAUAGAGAACCCAAAACUUUAAGUGCUAAUGGAAGACCAUCAGCAUAUUGUACUACUUGAUGAGAGAGAUCUCCAUAACCUUCCUUCGGAUGAUGUUGUUUAAAGGCAUAACGGCAAAAAAGUUGAAGAGCUUCGUGAAAAUAUAAUUUCUCAACUUCAUACAUAUCAUUUACUUCAUGCCUAGUUAGCAAAUCUUUUUUCCUAGUAGUAAUGAUGAUUCUGCUUCCUGGACCAAACCAAUCAUGCUUUCCAAUUAAGUGUUCUAAUUGUGUCAGCUCAUCUACAUCAUCCAGAAAAACAAGAACCUUUUUUGAGGAAAGCUUGUCCCUUAUUUCUUUGAUACCUUCAUGAACAUCCCUUAAAACUAUUUUCCUCGUUGUCCUUAGAGUAUCAUUAAGAAGUUGUUGUUGUAACUUAAGAAGACCAGAAUUUUCUGUGGAUUCUUUUCUGACAUCUGUGAGCAAGCUAACACUUUCGAAUUGAUUUGAGAUUCGGUUAUAAAGAGCAUUGAUGAUGGUGGUCUUGCCGAUACCACCAAGCCCAUAAACCCCGACCAUGCGAACAUCAUUCAACUCAAUCUUUAACAAUGAUAUUAGUCUUUCCAAACGAGAAUCCAUUCCAACAAUGUUCUCGUUAACAACUAAAGUCUUAGGGAAGCUUCUAAGGACGUUCUCAAUAAUUUCAUCAAUAAGCUCUGAUUCGUACCUGCCAAUUGCAUUAGGAUGAGUUGCAAAAAACAAUAAAUUAUAUGAAAUAAAUUUAAUGAUGCCUAGUUUUCCAACUUUAACUUAAUAGGGCUAAAACGAAUUGAAAUUAAAAUAAAAUAAACCACAUCUAACAAAUUACGUAUCAGUACAAUUUCAUUAUUCUAUACAAUUGCUCAUGUAUAUGAUAGAAAUAAGGGAAGAAAAUACAAAAUAUGAAUUGGAUUAUCAAAAGCGGAAAAAAAAAAAAAAACUAAAAUAUUUUUGUGUUAGCUUAUACUAUUCAAUCUUGUGGAAGGUUCAAAAUAAAGUUGAGUUGUCUAGAACAUUACUACCCUAUUUUGAUAAGGGAUUCCAUCAUAGGAUCAACUGCUAGUCUGCAUCCAAGCUUUUUAAUCUAAUGAUUUUACUACUGAUUAGACGGUCAACAUUACUAUCUUCUAUACUUGCAAGACUUUCUCUCACCAUUUAUUUAGAUAAAUGUCUCUUGCUGUUCCAUAUGUUGUAUUUUGCAUUUAUUUUUGUCUCUAGCUGUAUGAACAAAAAUUUUUGAAAACCGUUUAAUUAAAAAAUAACUUUCAUGAAUUAAUUAAAAAUAUUUUAUUUAUAAUUUUAAUUCUAUUGCAUGAAUGAAUUAAGAAAACAAAUUUACAUCAAUUUUAACCUAAAAUAAUUUAGUAUAUUCUUUAUGAAUCAAUAAAAUAGAAUUUUGUUUUUAAGAAAUUGUAAUAUUAUGGUAUCAAGUUUAAAAUUUUAAUGAACAGAUCUUUAUUUUAUAAAUAAUAAAAAUGAAUAAAAAAUUAUAAAAGUUUAAAACUCACUUAGCUUUAAAAAUUAUAAAAAUGAUAUAAAUAUUUUUUAUAUCAGCAGACAGAGAAAAGGAGAGUACUUCAAAUGACAAAUGAAGAGAAGUUACAAUUACCUGUUCGUCGCAUCAUAUCCGGCUAGAUUGCUUGCUUGCCUCAGGGCAGUCUUCCAUUUCCUUAUCUUUUCCUUUCUCUCCUCCUCUGCAUUCUUCUCAUGAUGGGUAAAUGCUUCUCCGUAAAUCUCAGUUUGGUUCCGCACUUCAGACGGAUCCACAUGAUAGAAAAUUGGGAUAACUACCAUUUGUUCCCUUUCCUCUUUGCAUUUCAUGAUCUUGACAAGCUCUUCCAGACACCAUUUGGAACGAGCAUAGGUUUCUGAGAAGACAACAAUGGCACUCCUUGAUUCCUCAAUAGCUUUUAAGAGCUCUGGUGCAAUCUCUUCACCCCUUCGAAGUUCUUCAUCAUCUCUAAAGGUUCUAAUACCGCUAUGAAUCAAAGCCUUGUAGAGAUGAUCAGUGAAGUUUCUGCGAGUAUCUUCACCUCUAAAACUCAAAAACACAUCGUAACUCCAUUGAGAAUGGGAAGUGGAAGAAGAAGAGGCCAUGGUUGAACAGAAAUUGAAAGAAAAAUAAGGGUCUUUGGGUAUUUAGUGGGUUGAUUCCCUUGGCCUUAUAGAAGUAUGGAUGUUGGUGGUGGGAUGUUGCCUUUUCUUUCUCAAUUGUUUUUAUUCUUAGCUGUAUCCCUCUUGCUGGUUCACAUGACUCAAGACCCUACCUCAAUUAUUUCCCUCCACUCUUUUCUUAUACAUUUUACUCUCACUUUUCUCUUGUUGACAGUCAACAAUGGCCGACAGUCUCGUCUCUGCAGUUUACAGCUGUUCUUUUCUUUUAUUUCCAAUUAAUUUCUAAAAUAUAAAAAAUGAUCAAAUCCAUGUGAUCUUUACUUAGGUCAUAAGAUCGUGUGAACGCACAUUAAAUUAAAGUUAUUCAAUUAAUUUUUGUCUUUUGCAUAAUGAGCAAUAUUAUAGUAGAAAAUAAAGGUUUAUUAUGUUGAUAUGUCAAGUAAAGCUAACAACUUUGGUAUUAUAAGCUUGAUUUUUGUAGAUAGAAAAAUAUGAGAAGUCAUAUGACAAAAGGCAAAGAAAAUUUUGAUCAUGAAAAGUAGAAAAAAGCACAAAACCUUCAUGAAAUUCUAAUUCUAAGGAAGAAAGACCAUGCUCAAAACUCGAAAUUUAAAUUCUCACAAUCUUUUCAUAUUUUGCAGAUAGGUUUAUUAUUAAUAGAAGCACAUAAAUAAAUAUUGUACUUAAAUCCCACUAAUUUAUAGGUCAUUAUGGUAUAUGUAGGUCAUCAUAGUAAUGAGUGGGAAGGUGGGUACCUUUAAAAAGAAUAAGCUAAACCAAUCACCCUAAAUUUCAAAAGCACCUUUAUCAUAAAAGUGUGGUAAUGAGAGUGGAUAUCUUUUAAAAGAAUAGACAACCCUGAAUUUCAAAAAAAUGUCUGUUUCUUGGCGAUUGUAUCCCAACAGUCUUAUCUUUUUUUACUUUAUAUCUUUUUAUUAUUAUUAUCGUGAGGAUGGUUAAAGAUGAUGCUAGAAGUUUUUCUAUGGUUUAAAAAGAAAAAAUGUGAGUGUUAAGUUGGCAUUUUUGUCUUUUUAGAAAAUACUUCAUUUUAAGAUCAUUAAUAGAAGAAAUAAAGAGUUCAUAAAAAAUAAAGAAAUUUUUAUUGACUGAUCUAGGUAACCAUUUCAUGGCUUUUAAUUGUAACUUUGUUGAAAAUCUUACUCCUUCCUCCUUGUCUUCCUCUUGUUAUUCAAAAGUUUCAACUCCUUUUUUUUUUAAAUAAUAAUAUUGAUUUUAUGUUUUAAUGAAAUAAGUUGCAAAUUUGAAGAAAACAUAUUCUAAUGUAUUUAUUGAUUAUGGUCCUCUUUUCAAAAGGGUUAUCGUUAUUUACAUUCUCGAACUAAUCAAGUUUACAUCUCUAAAUAUGUAAUCUUUGAUAAGUUUGAGUUUUCUUUUACUAACAAAACUUCUCCCGUAUCUUUCUUGUAGGAACAAAGUCAAAUGACCAUAUUUUGAGAUUCUUAUCAACAGUUACAACCAUUCAAUCCAAACACCAACUCAACCCACAACUUCACUUCCACCAAACAACCUUUCAAACUAUCGUAAUAAUGUAGAUCUUCUAUUUUAUUUUUUUUAACACAUCUCAUCUAAAAUUGUCUUCUUACAUCCUUUAACACCUUAUUAUGCACUUAUGGUUAUUUUUCUAAGCUAUUUUUCUAAAAUUGUCUUCUAUUCAUUGUGAUUAUGUUGAUUACUAAUUAUUUUAUUUUAUUUUAUGCAAGAGACAUUCUGAAGGGAUUAGAUGCAUUCCAAUAUUGAUUUUAAUGAUUUUUAAAUCUUAAUUUAGGACUUUAUUUUUUAUUGAUUUAUAACAUAUUUAAGUUUGUUUAAAAUUUUCAAACUUUAAUUUUUAUAAAAUAGAUUCAAGUUUUGAAUUAAUUAAUAAUUGAUUUCAUUCUCUUUAAAGUGUAGAAUAUGAUAAAAGGCGUGUAACAAAUUCAAACAAAUCAUUAUACAAGUGAGAAUUUAGGUCAUCCAAUCAUUUUAUUAAAAAUCACUCUAUAAAUUAUAAAAAUAAAGAUAUUAAUCACAUCUAUUAAUAUGUUUUUUUUUAAAUUGACAAAUCAUAAUGAAAUUAUAAUCUUUUUAAUAUUUUAUUAAUUAUAAAUUAAAACGUCAUUAUAAUUAUUCAAUCCCCACGGAAUAUAAAAUGAGUUAUUUUUAAUAAUAAUAACUAAUCAUAUUUGAAUAACAUUUCAUCAAUUAUAUAUAAAAAUAAAGUUUUAUGUUUAUCAUAACCUAUGUUUUAAAUUAAACAAAAUAAUAAAAGUUACAUUUCCAUUUAAAUGUAUUUACAUAUCUACCUCCAUAGCCCAUGGUAUUAAAAUAAUCUAAUAAAACACAGUAUCCCAUAACCGGUCAACAGCACAGCUGCUCCUAGCCUUAGCCCCUUGCAGCUGCAAUCAGCUGUUCCACUCUCUGUUACAGUCCAGCUUUGGCCGCCCAAGACAUACAUCUUUUCACCCAUCACCCAUUUACCCCUGCCACAGCUAUUUUUUACCUUUGAGCUGCCCAAAGUCACACCAAACUAGCUGAUAAACCAUACCUUACAACCUGCAAACCAUCUCCUCAGCCAUCCCUAAUAGCCCACUGCCAGCCCUUUGUAAGAGUCACACCAAAGCCAAAUUUUUUUUAUUAUUAUUUUUAAUCAACUCCAGCACAGCCUCGUCAGACCGCCGAGCCUCCUGAUCUCAUCUCCAAACACGUUCUGCAGCUGAAUCCUUUGCCUUUAUGAAGUUUGGAUGCUGGUGGUGGGAUGUGCUUUUCCUUUCUCAAUUAUUUCUGCUUAGCUGUAUCCCUCUAGCUUUGAACUUUCACUUUUGUCCCUUUUGGCAGUCAACAAUGGCCGACAGUCUUGCCUCUGCGAUUUACAGCUGAUCUUUUCUUUUAGGGAGAGUUGGGAUUACUGGCUGUUAUACGAGAAAUACAUGGUUUUCAAAACCAUAUAACUGAAAUAUGAUUUACCUGAGAAAAAUUGUGAGAGUUGAGUUGUCAUUUUCGCCAUUUUAUAAAAGACUUAAUUUUAAGACCGUUAGUACGUAGAAAUAGGGGUCUCUAAAAAGCCCGCGGCCCGCUUUAGGCCCGGCCCGGCCCGGCCCGACGGGCUAAAGCCCGGCCCAAGCCCGCCGGGCCCAAGCCCGGCCCGAGCCCAUUUAUGGGCGGGCCGGGCCGCGGGCCUAAAUUUAGGCCCGGCCGUUGGAGACCCUUGCGUAGAAAUAACAAGUUCACAAGAACGAAAGAGACCUUUGUUGACUGACCUAGGUAACCCCUUUCAUGGCUUUUUCACUUGUUUGUUUUUGGAUUUUCUUUAAUGAGGCUAGGUGAUUGUUGUUUAUUUUGACUUAUAUUUUAGAUGGAUUUCAUUUUUAAUAAGAGUUUUUCAUGGUAAAAAUUGAUGUGAUACAAAUUUUUAUUGAUAUUAAUAUCAUUUUAUCAUAAAUUAUUUAGAGUAUAGAUAUAAAUAAAAUAUCAAUACCAUAGGAAAUGUUAAAAUAAAGUUAGGUGCAUAUGCAAAAAAUAAAAUUUGAAAAAUAGAAUAGUCCAGUCCAACCAUAUCCACACAUCCAUCUUCCUAUAAAUUAAACUAAUGAUAGAUACAUAAGUCAAAAAUAAGAUUUGAAAAAGAGUAUAAUCCAAUUCAACUACCCACCUUCCAAUAAAUUAAACUCAAAAUGGGCACAUAUUCCAAAAAUAAAUUUUGAAAAAUAAAAUAGUCCAAACCAACUUUAUCAACAUGUCCAUCUUCCAAUAAAUUAAAUUGGAAAUGAGUCGGCAUGUGAUAAAAUAAAUGUCAAUUUCCAUUUUACUUAUAUUAAAUUCACUUAUAUAUUUAUAUCGAAAAUUAUCCUUUGAAUCUUUCUAGAAACAUUAGAUUUUAAGGAAAUCAUGCAAGUAUACUUUUCUUAUUAUCAAUUUAAAAUAUAAAAUCCUUCCAUAGUUAUUUAUUAAAGUUCUACAAAGAAAAUUAAGAAAAUAAGGAUUUGGUAGGUAAUUAUGUUUAAAAAUAAUUUUCUAUUUUUUAUAGUAGAAAACCAGGUUCUAACUUUUUUUUUUUUAAAAAAAAAAAACACAUUAGACAAAUUUCGACCAAGAAGAAUUUCUUCAAAAUUUGCUCUAGAUACAUGUUAUUUUAAAAACAUGAUUUUGACAUAUUUUCAAAUAUUGUUUGUAUAGUUUUUGAGCAAAAAAUGAAAAGAUGGAGAAUACUCCAAAAACUUUGCAAAUGAAAAUACUAUGUUUUAUAUUUAUGUUUUCAAAUACAAUUUUGCAAAUGAAAUAUUUGAGAAUGUUCUUAAAAAUUAUUUUUUAAGAAGUGCUUUUGAAAACUUGGCUAAACAUGACCUAAAUAUCCUAAACAUGAAAGAUACAAGAAUGCAAGAAAAACAUUUUCAAUAAUUUUAUUUUAUUUAUUAUAUUAAAGAGUAACAUUAAUGUUUCAUUAUGAAGUUAAAAUGUUUCAUUCAAUCAAAAUUUAUUCUGCUAGUUUUCAAGGAAAGCAUUAUUUAUCAAGAUGCUUGCCUUAGUUGUUUUGUAUUUUAUAUUUUUCUUUGAUUGGGAUUGGUGAGAAUUGUCCUAAAUAUAGAUUUUAUUUUGAAUAAUUUCUAAAUUAGACUUGUAAAAAAUAAGAAAAAGUAUCUAGUAAUUCAUUGUUACACAUGAAUGUUGCAACUUGGUAAAAUUUAUGAUAUUUAUCACUAGGAAAUUUUGCUUAUAGAUAUAAAUAAAAUGGUAACAUCUAUCACAAGGAAAGGUUGGGAAGGAAGCAAACAUAUUAAUAGGUGAAACAAGAAAAAGAAAAAUAAUAAUAAUAAAUGAUAAAAAAAGGUAAGGGAAUUCAGAGUCAUGAGUUGGUACUCUAUAUUAUUUAAAGUGAUUAUAAUUUAGGGUACAAAUUUCUUUAGAAAUAAAUAACGUAAAUAGAUUCUAAAAAAGAUUAUGUAAAAUUAUCAUUUCUUAAAAAAGAGAAGAAGGUAUUUUCUUUAUUUUUAAACAUUUAUUAAUUUUUAAUACUAAUACAAUAUUAAAUCUAAUGAGAAGACCUCCUUUAAUCUUCUCACUUUAUUCAUUGAAGUCUUUUUAAAUAAUUUGAGAAAGUAAUUUUAAAUCCAAUUACAUGGUGAAGAUCAAGGUAAUAGUUAGAAUAAAACUACAAAUAACAUGGUCAAGAUCAAGGUGGGUGUGUGUGUGACAAUCUUAUAUACUUUUUUGGAAGUAUGAAAAGAGUAAUGAAAUCAUGUACCUAAUAAAAAGUAAAGAAAACUUUAAUUCUACUGGAGGAAGCAAACACUAAACUUCCUUAAGAAAAUGGUAAUGUUGAAUUAAAUAACUUGCAUUGACGAACAUUAUGGUCCUUAUUCUAAAUUAUUUCAUUUCUUUUAUUGUGUCUCCAUUCAUUUAACAUGAUUUUUGAAAGUAUAAAAAGAGUAAUAUAAGUUACGUACCUAACAAAAUUAAAAAAAAGUACUUUAAUUUAAAUAGGGAAUGAGACAUGAAACUUCCUUGAAAAAAUGGCAAUGUUGAAAAGUUAAUAAAGUAGUUUAAAUUUUCAACUUGUUACAUUAGAUAACUUGCAUUAAAGGACAAUAUGUAUCUUAGAAAUAGAAAGUUUUGAAGUGAAACAUCUAAACAUGUAGGAACAUUAAACAAUGCCUUGGUCAAAAAAGGAAAACGCAUAGGAACAUAUAUCAAAUAAUAUCUUGGUCAAAAAGAAUAAUGCUUUAGUAAAAAAUGGAAAAUGCAUAGGAACAUUAAAUAAGACAAUAUCACAUAGGGUUUAGGUAAGACAAUUCUCUAAUCCCUUAUCCUUGUUGGCUCAUACACUUGUUGAACCUCUUUGAUACGAAAAUAAUCCAAAUGACUCAUAAAAUAUAGUGUUUAUAUGGAUGCUAUUAAGAUAUAAAUUAGGCUACAAUGAAAGUUAAUUAUAACUUUAAUGUUGGAGGGAAUAAGCAAUUUUUUGUGAGAAAGGGCAACACCUAGAAAGUCAAUAAGAUUAAUUAUCUUAAUAAUGGAAAAAAAGUUCAUUCUUAUGAAUCCUCAAAGUGAAUCAAAGAGACAAACUUCAAUUUUGAAGUGAACAUAAUUAUUAUUUUUUUGUUUCUUUGUUAAAUAAUUAGUAAUACUUAAUUUAUCGAUCGUGUAAGAAUCAAAGAAGAAUAGCUACUAUUCAUGCAAUGGGUCUCAUCUUAUUGUAACAAAACUUAUGAUUAUUUUUCUUCCAUGUAUUGGAAGUUACUAUAAAUUCAUUUCCCACUUGUUAUGUGACUUAGGUAUCAAAUAGAGCCCACUAGAUAAAAUUUCUCUCAAGGUAUUUCCACAUCAAAUUUCUUUAUUUUAAACAUGUUUAUGGAUGUAAGUUUGCAUUGAAUAAAUUUCAAGUAUUAAUGUAGACUAACAAUAUUUAAAUAAAAAUGAUAAUAUAUUUAAAUUUUUAAUAAAAAUUGAGUUGAAUUUUUCAACCAACAUUUGAUUUCCUUCCACUCACCUAAUGUUGGCAUUAAAAUGCAUUAAUAUAUAUAUAUAUAUAUAUAUAUAUAUAUAUAUAUAUAGAUAUAUAAAUAUAUAAUCAUUGUCUUGGGAACUUUUUCUUCGGUGCUUAUCCUCAAACCUUCUUAAAAAAAAUAAGAUUGAUUCUUGUUGUGCUCACCUAAUGCUUGCAUUAAAAUACUAUAAACUUUUUUUUUGUGAGCUUAUCCUUACACCUUAGAAAACAAGAUUGAUUCUCGUUGAUAAGAAGAUAAGAACAAAAACUUCUAAUAAAUUAUAUUUGGUAUAUUGGUAAUUUAAUGGGAAAAGACCUUAAAUUUUGUAAAUGUAAAAGGAUAAUAUAGUUGGACGACACAUUUAUACAAAUAUAUGAUUGGAUUUUAAUUUUGUAACUUAAUUAAUUAAGAAAAUAAAACCUUUGGGCUAUUUAAAUAUAAUUGGAUUUUAAUUUUUAGUUUGGGUUAAAGUUACAAAAGAAAAAAAAAUGACCCAAAUAAAUUAAUUGGGCAUUUAUAUUUAAACAAUUAGUCUUUAGAAUUAAUAUUUAAUUGGAUUGAAAAAAAAAAAAAAAAAGAUAAUAAAGGGAGUAGAAUGGUCUUUUCCCAUUAGAAACCUAGGUAUAAAUAUUCACCACCCUUCUUUACAAAAGUCUUUUGCAUAGAGAGAAAAUGUGGGGUUUGAAAUCAAUCUUUUAAAGCAAACAUAUAUAGAUUCAAUAUUUAGUUUCAUUUUUAAUGGUCAUAAAAAAAUAAAUAAUCUAGAAUCAUAUCAUGAUAAUUAUUAAAUAUGAUUAAUUUUUAUGAGAAAAUUAAAAAACACAUAAUUCUAAUUAAUUAUAUAGUCAAAUACCAUUAACCAUUCUUAGUUAAAAAUUUAAAGUCUUUUUCCAUUUGCAUUGGACAUUACUAUUAAUAGAUGCAUAUCCAUGAAUAUUGUACUUAGUAAUAUUUCUUUUAGAAUUAAAUCCCAUUAAGAUUAUAUUGCAUUGUGAUGUAUAUGAGUUGCACCUUCAAUUAUUUUUAUUUAACUUUGGUUCUCAGAAAAUAUUAAGGAAAAAAAAGAUAUUAAGGAAAAUAAUUCUUCAUGUUUGAUUGUCUUAUGAAAAAUUUCAAAAAAAAUAAAAUAAAAUAUAAUUAAAAUUAGUUUAGAACUUAUGUAUUUUCAAAUUAUUUAAUCUUUAUGUUGAUGAGUUAAAAUAAAUAAAAUGAGUUUGAAAUAACAAAUAAAAAUAAUUUAUCGACUUUAACCUUAUUUUUUAUUUUCCUUCAAUUUUUCAUUUCUUUUUUUUUUUUUCACUUUGUUUUCUUUCCUUUGUAUUUUCCCUCAGAUUUUUUUGGAAACCAAACAUAACCUUAAUGAUUAUGAGAUCAUAUUAGUUAAAAAGUGAAGUUUCUACCACUACAUAUAAUAAAUGCAUAUACAUGUAUAUUUUGAUCUUAGCCUAGACAAUAUUUAUAUAAAAAUGAAUAGAUCAUUAUAAAUGACAUUAAAAUUGAUUUCCUAUUGAGAAAUUACAAGUGUUCUAUACUUUUUAUAUAUAUAAAAAUUUCUUAAUCAAUAUUAUCAAAUAACUUUUUACAUUUUUCUAUUGAAAUAUAUAUUUUUUUGCAAAAAAAUUCCUAUUAUUAUAAUAAAUUUUUUUUUUUCAUAUUUUUCAAUUAAGAUAUACUCUUCAUAAGGACAUUCCUAUUAUUAUAAAAGAUAAAUUAUUUUUUAUAUGAAUAUUUUAUUUAAUCAAGAUAAACAUGGAAAGAAAUUGUUCUCACAUGUCUUAUAUUGAGAAAAAUUAUAUAUAAAUUGGAAAUAAUUUUAAAAUUAAUAAAAUCUAAAAGUUGUUUCACUAUUUUCUAAAAUUAAUUUCAAUUUUUUUUUUACUUUUUAAUUAGUGUAUGUUUAUGUAUGUAUGCAUGCAUGUAUAUAUGCAUACAUAUUAAAAAAUGUUGAUCAUUUAAGUGGCUCUAAACUAAUUAUUUAUUUGCAUGAAAAAAUUUAUUUAAAAUGAGUUGUUCAUCUUUUAUGAGAUAUAACAAAAGCCAUUUGCACUAGGUCAUAAUGGUAAUGAGUGGGAAGGUGGGUGCCUGCCUUUAAAAAGAAUAGAAGUGAACAACCACCCUAAAAUUCGAAAGUAUAACAUACAAAAGUACCUUGCAUUGAUGUACGCAUACACAUGAAACUUCCUUGAGAAAAUAGUAUUGUUGAAAUGUCAACAAAGUAGUCAUACACAUGAAACUUCCUUGAGAAAAUAGUAUUGUUGAAAUGUCAACAAAGUAGUUUAAAUCCUCAACAGGUUGUUACGUUAGUGUGUGUGUGUGUGUGUGUGUGUGAGAUAAAAGAUUUCAAAAGGAACAAUCCCUUGGUCAAAAAACAGAAAACAUAUAGAAACAUAUAUUGAGAAUAAUAUCUUAUUAAAAAAGAAUAAUGUCUUGGUGGGAAUGGGAAACGAGUAAGAACAUUGAAUAUGACAAUACCACAUAUGGUUAAGUAAGGCUAUUCUCUAAUCUUUUAUCCUUGUUGAACCUCUUUCAUUGAAAAAUAAUCCAAAUGACUCAUAAAAUAUAGUGUUUAUAUGGAUGGUAUUAAGAUAUAAAUUAGGCUACAAUGAAAGUUAAUUAUAACUUUAAUGUUGGAAGAAAUGAACAACUUCUUAUGAUAUAUAUAUAUAUAUAUAUAUAUAUAUAUAUAUAUAUAUAUAUAUAUAUAUAUAUGUGUGUGUGUGUGUGUGUGUGUGUGAGAUAAAAGAUUUCAAAAGGAACAAUCCCUUGGUCAAAAAACAGAAAACAUAUAGAAACAUAUAUUGAGAAUAAUAUCUUAUUAAAAAAGAAUAAUGUCUUGGUGGGAAUGGGAAACGAGUAAGAACAUUGAAUAUGACCAUACCACAUAUGGUUAAGUAAGGCUAUUCUCUAAUCUUUUAUCCUUGUUGAACCUCUUUCNNNNNNNNNNNNNNNNNNNNNNNNNNNNNNNNNNNNNNNNNNNNNNNNNNNNNNNNNNNNNNNNNNNNNNNNNNNNNNNNNNNNNNNNNNNNNNNNNNNNGAAAUAGAAAGUUUUGAAGUGAGACAUCUAAACAUGUAGGAACAUUACACAAUGCCUUGGUCAAAAAAGGAAAACGCAUAGGAACAUAUAUCAAAUAAUAUCUUGGUCAAAAAGAAUAAUGCUUUAGUAAAAAAUGGAAAAUGCAUAGGCACAUUAAAUAAGACAAUAUCACAUAGGGUUUAGGUAAGACAAUUCUCUAAUCCCUUAUCCUUGUUGGCUCAUACACUUGUUGAACCUCUUUCAUUGAAAAAUAAUCCAAAUGACUCAUAAAAUAUAGUGUUUAUAUGGAUGGUAUUAAGAUAUAAAUUAGGCUACAAUGAAAGUUAAUUAUAACUUUAAUGUUGGAAGAAAUGAACAACUUCUUAUGAUAUAUAUAUAUAUAUAUAUAUAUAUAUAUAUAUAUAUAUAUAUAUAUAUAUAUAUGUGUGUGUGUGUGUGUGUGUGUGUGAGAUAAAAGAUUUCAAAAGGAACAAUCCCUUGGUCAAAAAACAGAAAACAUAUAGAAACAUAUAUUGAGAAUAAUAUCUUAUUAAAAAAGAAUAAUGUCUUGGUGGGAAUGGGAAACGAGUAAGAACAUUGAAUAUGACAAUACCACAUAUGGUUAAGUAAGGCUAUUCUCUAAUCUUUUAUCCUUGUUGAACCUCUUUCAUUGAAAAAUAAUCCAAAUGACUCAUAAAAUAUAGUGUUUAUAUGGAUGGUAUUAAGAUAUAAAUUAGGCUACAAUGAAAGUUAAUUAUAACUUUAAUGUUGGAAGAAAUGAACAACUUCUUAUGAGAAAGGGCAACACCUAGAAAGUCAAUAAGAUUAAUUAUCUUAAUAAUAGAAAGAAAGUUCAUUCUUAUGAAAUUGAAUCAAAGAGAUAAAUUUCAAUUUUGAAGUAAACAUAAUUAUUUUUCUAUUUUUGUUAAAGAAUUAACAAAAUUUAUCAUGUAAGAAUCAAAGAAGAAUAGCUACUAUUCAUGCAACUGGUCUGAUCUUGUUGUAACAAAACUUAUGAUUAUUUUUCUUCUAUGUAUUGGAAGUUACCAUAAAUUAAUUUCCAACUGGUCAUGUGACUAUUGCAUCAAAUAGAGCCCACUAGAUAAAAUUUUUGUUGACGUAUUUCCACAUCAAAUUUCUUUAAUUUAAACAUGUUUAUGGAUGUAAGUUUGCAUUGAAUAAAUUUCAACCAUAGAUAUGCACUAACAAUAUUUAAAUAAAGAUGAUAAUGUAUUUAAAUUUUUAAUAAAAACUAAGUUGAAUUUUUCAACGAACAUUUGAUUUCCUUCUGCUCACCUAGUGUUAGCAUUAAAAUACAAAAAAAGCUCACCUAAUACUUGCAUUAAAAUACUAGAAACUUAUUCUUGUGAGCUUAUCCUUGCACCUUCUUAGAAAAAAAACAAGAUUGAUUCUUAUUGGUCAGAAGAUAAGAACAAAAACUUCUAAUAAAUUAUAUUUGAUAUAAACUCGUCAAUCAUCACAUAAAAAACAAUUUCUCCAGAGGGCGAUGACCCCAUCAACCCCCAUAAGCUAACCAAGCAGCUCGACCUUAACAUCCUAAGCAAAGCGCAACAAUACUGAUUCAAGCUUCACAAUCCAACACCAAUAAAGACAAGAACAAUUGACACUCAAAAAAAUUAUUUCUUUUAACUUUUUCCCUUUAAGUUGAAUUUGAUUUUAAAAUAGUGUUAUCUCAUUAAUUAUUUUACAAAAUAUAUAUAUGUUAUAUCUUAAAAUUGGUUAGUAAAUUAUAUUACAAUUAUCAAAGAUAUUGCCAUAUAUAAAAUACAACUUAAUAAAUCUUAAGCAUAACACAAAGCACAACAACAAGAUAUAUUAAUUUAAGUUACUAAGAGCUUAUUUAGUUGUGUGAUUUAAAAAUGGUUUUCUAUUUUAAAAAAUAAAAAAUUAUUUUAAAAAAUUUAUAACACUAUUUUAAUGUUGUUCUUUGGAAACAAUGUUUAAAGACAAAGUAACAUUGAGAACAAUUUUUAAAGAACAAGUAGGAGUUGUUUUUAUUAGUUUUUAAAAAACAAAAAAUAUAUAAACUCAUUUUACUAUGUUUUUUGAAACUUGUUUUUAAAUUAAAGAAUAAAAAAUAAUUUUUCAAAAUAAGUUUCAAAAAAUAUGACCAAACAAACCCUAAAUGGUCGGGGUUUAAUAUUAAAGAGAAAAAAAGUUAAUUUAAGAGUUUGCAUGCAGGUAGACAUCAGGCUGUAAAACUGGUUUACUAAGACACUCAUUUUAUUUAUAUAUUCUUCUAUGUGCAUGCAUUGACCAUGUGGUUAGGAUGUGUUGCACCAAAAUCUAAUUAUUAACUUGCAGUUCGAAAUCACAAACCAGCUGUAUGUAUUAGAAACAGACCAUAUUGGGUCAUGCACAUUCUCCGUCAUUUUCUAUUUCCUAGCAACAUAUAUGACCAAAUGAAAUUGUUAUAUCCUAAUUAUAUUUUUUAAUUAGGCGAUAAAUGAAUGGAUUCCUUUUAAAAAUAAUAAUUGAGAUAUUAGGGAUGAUUAAAAUAUUAUUAGAAGAAAACAACCACUAUCUUCCAGAUUAAUCACAGCUUAAUAAAUGUAAAUAAAUUAAUCUGACACUACAUUUUUCUUUAUUUGUUUUGGUUUCUUUACAAGAAUGUUUCUUUAUGUAUUCUUGUUGAAUCUAUAAAAUAUCAUCUAUAAACAUUCUUUUUGAAUGAUUAAGAAUCCGAUAUUUAAAUGAUUGUGUGGACCUUGCAUUUUUGCUCAAUGCGUUCCCACUCAAUGUUGAACUCUCUUUUUAUUUAUUUAAUGAAAAAUAUGAUUUUUUUUUUUAGAAAAGACUUGGAGUCGCCACUUAUUUUUGUUUUAUUUUUAAAAAUGGUAAACAAAAUAAGAAAGAAAACCCUAAGUGUGACUCCUUAUUUUGGAAAAAGUGGUAUGUGAAAAAUCAGAUCGGGCUCGGGGAUUAGGUUACUUAUCGGGAAGGUACAGUAAGGACCAUGACACCCCUCUAAGUCCCUAAAGUCGGGUCUCUAUUGAUAAAAGGAAGCUGACAUGGCAAUCAAUAAGGAAAUCAAUGGGUACUCAAAUCGAUCAUGCACAUAUGGAAAUUGGAAUUUUAGAAAUUGGAAAUUAAAUUCGAAAAUGGGAAAAUUGGAAUCUCAAAAAUUGGGAAUUGAAUUUGGAAAUCAGAAUUUUGAAGAAUUAUUUAAAGAUGAAAAUUUUAAAAGUAAGUAAAUAAAUAAAUAAAUAAAAUAAUAAUGAUUGGAUAAAUAAAUGCGAAAAUUGGAAUUUUGGAAAUCGGAAAUUAUAUUUGGAAUUUGGAAAAUCAGAGUUUUGGAAAUUGAGAAUUAAAUUUGGAAAUUGGAAUUUUGAAGAAUUAUUUAAAGAUAGAUUUUUUUAAAUAAAUAAAUAAAUAGAAUAAUAAUAAUAAUCGAAAUAAUAAUAAAAUAAAUGAACAUGAACAUUAAAAUUUUUUGAAAUAGAAAAUUAAAUUUGGAUGUCGGAAAUUUGAAAAAUUGUUUAAAAAAACGGAAUUUAGAAAAUAAAUAAAUUAAUUAAAAAAAAAGUAUUGUAGUGAAGGUCAUCAAACUCAAAGUCUUAUUCAUGACCCAAUUUCCCAUAUUUGAUUAAGAAUCCAUGCAACAUUACUAUGGGCCACCUGAGCCAAAAUGUCUACACGUUCCACUCUUACACCAUCCCAUUGCAGCUCUCACCACAACAGCCACAACAGUGGAAGUAAAAAUAAAAAAUAAAAAAUAAAAAAAUCACGCCACAUGAGUUGACCAUGAUGUCACCUCUUCCAACACAAGCAAUACACUUCCAAUUGGAACUCUGAAAGCAAUAGUCACUUCAGCACGACAGCGAGGUAGACUAGGGCAGUAGGUGUUGAAUGAGUGAUGAAUCCGAAAAGAAUGGGUUUGUAACAUAAAUGAUUAAUCUUACAACAUCACACAAGAGAUAUGAAUCCAUAUUUACGCACAUAUCCAAACAAAACCAUAUGAACAAUAGAUGAGACCAUGCCACAACAAACCAUUAUAAGAGUAAGAAAAGGAAAAAAGAGAGAGAAAAAAAAAGACAAACUUCAGCAUAAAAAAAAACAAAUCUAGAAGGUAGUGAAGUGAUGUAUGGAGAGUCACCGUGAUCAUACCGAAACAAACUCACAAACAACGCAAAAUAAUCACAUAAAAAAACAAAAGGGUAAUAGGAUGACCAAUAAUAAUCCAUGAACCUUAUCAGUCUUACCAGGUAAAGCUUUCUAUCCACUGGAGUUUUCUAGACUUUCUUUCCAACUUCCCUCCUCCUCUUUCCUGCUUCAGCCUAUCCCCGAAAAGCUUGCUCUGCCCAUUUUUCUACAACCAACCCAACAGCUAGCUUAGCCCCCAAAAAGAUGAAGACGCUCCCCCCUAUUUAUUCUCUCCCGUUCAGCUCAUUUCCCGCCCAGUUUUUCUCUCCAGAUUUUUUUUCCCCUAGUCCUCACAUGCUCCCUACUCCUUGCUCAACCAAUCUGUCACCAUCUCAACCACCACCAUGGCGAGGUAGUGGUGUCGUCCUCCAUGCGUCUCAUGCAUGCUAAUAUUUGAAAAAGUCGAUCCCCCUUCCUCCUACAACAAGCUGCUAGCUAUCCGGGUGGCUAGCAUGAAGGGUCUACAAAUAUGCCCCUCUUCAGUAGAGUUCACGAACGUAAAGAAAUAUGAACACUAGAGUGAAAAGAAAGUGUGAAUAGUGAGCGAAAUGAAGUGAACUUUACCGAAAAUGGGCAUAUUUGUAGACCCCUCAUGCUAGCCACCCGAAUAGUUGGUAGCUUGUUGUAGGGGGAGGGGAGACCGACUUCUUCAAAUAUUAGCAUGCAUGAGACGCAUGGAGGAGGGCACCACUACCUCGCCAUGGUGGUGGUUGAGAUAGUAACAGAUUGGCUGAGCAAGAAGCAAGUGAAGACUAGGGGGAAAAAAAAGAUCUGGAGAGAAAAAAUAGGUGGAAAAUGAGCUGAACGAGAGGGAAUAAACAGGGGAGAGCAUCUUCAUCUUUUUGGAGGGUGACCUAGCUAUCGGGUUGGUUGUAGAAAAACAGGCAGAGCAAGCUUUUCGGGAAUACGUCGAAGUAGGAAAGAGAAUGAAGAAAGUUGGAAAGAAAGUCCAAAAAACUCCAAUGGAAGGAGAGCUUUACCUGAUAAGACUGAUCAGGUUCAUAGAUUAUUACUGGUCAUCCUACUACCCUUUUGUUUUUUUACGUUAUUAUUUUGCAUUGUUUGUGAAUUUGUUUCGGUAUGAUCAUAGUGACUCUCCAUACAUCAUUUCCCUACCUUCUAGAUUUGUUUUUUUUUUGUGCUAAAGUUCGUCUUUUUUUUUUCUCUCUCUUUUUCUUUUUCUUACUCUUACAAUGGUUUGUUGUGGCAUGGUCUCAUCUAUUGUUCAUAUGGUUCUGUUUGGAUGUGUGUGUAAAUCUGGAUUCAUAUAUCUUGUGUGAUGUUGUAAGAUUAAUUGUUUAUGUUACAAAUCCAUUCUUUUUGAAUUCAUCACUCAUUUCACACCCGUUGCCUUGGUCUACCUUGCUGUCGUGUUGGAGUGGUUGUUGCUUUUAGAGCUCCAAUUGGAAGUGUAUUGCUUGCAUUGGAAGAGGUGACAUCAUGGUCAACUCAUGUGGCGUGUUUUAUUUUAUUUUAUUUUUACUUCCGUUGUUGUGGUUGUUGUGGUGAGAGCUGCAAUGGGAUGGUGUAAGAGUGGAAGGUGUAGACAUUUUGGCUCAGGUGGCCCAUAGUAAUGUUGCAUGGAUUCUUAAUCAAAUAUGGGAAAUUGGGCCAUGAAUAAGACUUUGAGUUUGAUGACCUCCACUCAUUCCACCACCAAACCUUUUUUUUUUAAUUAAUUUAUUUAUUUUUUAAAUUUCAUUUUUUUAAACAAUAUUUCAAAAUUCCGACAUCCAAAUAUAAUUUCCGAUUUAAAAAAAUUUCAAUGUUCACGUUCAUUUAUUUAAUUAUUAUUUCUGUUAUUAUUAUUAUUCUAUUUAUUUAUUUAUUUAUUUUUAAAAAAUUCAAUCCUUAAACAAUUAUUCAAAAUUCCGAUUUCCAAAUUUAAUUCUCAAUUUCCAAAACUCCGAUUUUCCAAAUUCCGAAUUUAAUUUCCGAUUUCCAAAAUUCCAAUUUUCGCAUUUAUUUAUCCAAUCAUUAUUAUUUUAGUUAUUAUUAUUAUUAUUAUUAUUUUAUUUAUUUACUUACUUACUUUUAAAAAUUCCAUCUUUAAAUAAUUCUUCAAAAUUCUGAUUUCCAAAUUCAAUUCCCAAUUUUCGAGAUUCCAAUUUUCCCAUUUCCGAAUUUAAUUUACAAUUUCUAAAAUUCCAAUUUUCGCAUUUAUUUAUUCAAUCAUUAUUAUUUUUCGUUAUUAUUAUUAGUUUAUUAUUUACUUAUUUAUUUUUAAAAUUCAAUCUUUAAAUAAUUCUUCCGAAAUUCCAAUUCUUAAAUUUAAUUCCCAAGACUCCAAUUUCCAAAUAAUUUUCGAGACUCUAAUUUUCAAAUAAAUUUCAAAAAUCUAGUUUUCACUCGAACAAUUUUAAUUCCAUUCCGGUUCUCAAAUAAUCUGUUGUUUUUCUUGAUUUUACAUAAGCAUGAAUGUAAUUUUUCACAAUUCCACAAUAAUGGAAUAUGUGAGACUAAUUCAUGCAAGAUAGAUUGGGUUUUGGUGGGGGGCCCAACAUUGGUGUUUUUUUCCUCUAAAAAUAAAUUUGAUUGAAUUGAAUUGUGAUAUCUGUUGAUUUCUCACUCUGUUUAGUGGCAUGUGUGACAUAGUCUGUUUUGUUAAUUGUGCACUAAACCCAUUUCUUGAUAGUGCAUUAUGACUCGUGGCCCAGGUGCGCAUCCGCUCCUAUUCUGGUCAUUCUCUAUGCAUGUUCUGAUUCCCAUAUGUGCAUGAUCAAUUUAAGUACCCGUUGAUUUCCUUAUUGAUUGCCACGUCAGCUUUCUUUUAUUAGUAGAGACCCGACUUUAGGGACUUAGAGGGGUGCUACGGUCCUUACUAUACCUUCUCGAUAAGUAACUUGACCCCCAAACCCAAUUCGGUUUUUCACAUACCACUUUUUCCAAAAUAAGGAGUCAUAGUUAGAGUUUUCUUUCUUAUUUUGUUUACCCUUUUUAAAAAUAAAACAAAAAUAAGUGGUGACUCCAAGUCUUUUCUAAAAAAAAAAAAAAUCAUAUUUUUCAUUAAAUAAAUAAAAAGCAAGUUCGCCAUUGAGUGGGAACGCAUUGAGCUAAAAUGCUGGGUCCAUAAAAUGGCGACUCCACUGAGGAUGAUUUAGAAGGUCAAACUUGAACUUAAGAUGAAGCAAAUGCGACAUUUGAUGGGUCGAUCAGUGGGUACCUAUCUUUUAAUUGCACAUUGAGAGUUCUUGAUAUCAUUGGAUGCAUGCUUGGAUAUUGUAUUCAUUUUGAGACAUUGAUAUGUUGGUUAUGAUGAUUGAUUUGUCUUGAUUGAGGAUUCCGAGAUAGCUAUUUUUUUUGUGCUUCAUUGCUAUAUUUGUUUGGGAUAUUGACAUACUGAUUGUAUCAAUUUCUUAUCUUGCCUUGCUUAGCAUAGUGACCCUGAUUCUUGCCAUGAUUGUUCUGCUCACUUCAUAUGCAUAGACUCACUAUUGUACACCAUUUGACUUGAUGUGUUGUUUUCUUUGGCUUGUGUAUUAUCCUGAUCGUCUUUGAGCAUGAUGCUUGUAUUAGUAUUCAUUUGAUCGUCAUAGCUUGUAUGUGUACAUGAGCAAUAUAUCAUGUACUCUGCCUGGUUGUAUGUCGCAUGACUGCACUCCUUUGCAUGUUGCUUGUUUGUGUGGGUAGCACAUCUAUCCCCUUAUCUCCAACGCUCUGGGUUUCGAUUAUUUCCUUUAUUUCGGUUUUCACUUUUGCAAGUGUGAGGCCUUGUGUGUGCUUGUACUUUGACCGAGGAAGAGGUUAGGAGUAGGGUCUAGCGACGGGCUAUAUCGAUGUUUGGGAGCAUUCUGGAGGUGACCGACACAUUGACGUCAAUUGGAGUCCGAUCAUUGAAGACCUGUAUAGCCUGGAGCUAGGUUUCAUGGAUAUUUGUGCGGCCAGUGUGUUUCCCUUUUUGAUUUAGCUUCAUAGAGUUUUCGGAUGCACCCACACCGCUCACUGCGCACUCUAGUUGACCAUUGAGUGUUGAGAGUUUUGAGAGGUUUCGCCAUAGAAAACCUCCUGAGAUAUCGAGGUAGUGCAUGUGUGGAGGUGAUGACCACCUUGCAUAGAAGCGCCCAUUCUUUUCGGAGGCGUGCAGAGGGUUGCGUACCGUCGGAGGGUACGAUCGCUUCUGUUAGGGAUCCUUUAAAGUCCACCCCUCUUCUUUUCAGAGCCACCUUGACCUUGUAGGUCGAGCCUUAGAUAUUUCAAUCAGGAAUUUCUUCCCUAACACGUGGGUGCAUCUGUGGGCCUUCAAAGUUACUUCAGUAGUGAUAGGUUUAGUUACCUUCGUAGUGGUCUCUUAUACAUCUGCUCAGGAUUGGAUAUCACUUUGAUUGCUUACGAGUUACCUUUCGACAUAUUUGAUAGACUUUCUUUGUGGAGAUUUUCCUAACCUUGUAUCUUAUCUAGUAUUUCCAAUAUUGUAGGAGCAUUGAUACAUAGGGUUUGGGUUCGACUUCUUGGAUCCAGGUUAGGGGUAGAUUGAUCAGAGUAUCAGACCCGUUAGACCAGAAAUCAGAUCAUAGAAAUAUGGACUCACAGAUGGUUACCGUUGGCAGCAGGCCUAGGAGGUUUCGCCUCAGGAUGGCGCACAGUAUGACCCUACAGUGCCGUCAUCCCCUCCACCUAAUCAGUCAGCACCACUAGCCAUACCUUUCACUCUGCAUAGUCAGACCGAGGUUGUCCCGACUCCUAUCAUCGUGCCUACCCCAACCUCAGAGGACCCACAUGCUUGUAUGGAUAGGCUCGAUAAGAAGUUGAGACAAUUGAGGAGUUCAGACAGACCUGUUACUUGGGACGAUUUUGAUGGACUACCAGUGGCCAGUUUGCCGGCCAAGUUCAGGAUGCCAGAGAUUGAGCGAUACACGGGCAUUGGCUGUCCUUGCAUCCAUUUGAGGCUUUAUAGUACUAUCAUGAGGGCCCAUGGACUAGAUGAGGUUCAGAUGAUUAUGUUUUUCCCCAUGUGCUUGAACGGUGUGGCGUAGUGAUGGUUUGCUUUAUUGGAUACAUCCCAAAGUCGGACUUGGGAUGAUUUGGCCUAGGAGUUUUUGAGACAAUUCACAUUUAAUACUGUCAUUGACGUCUCGAGGAGAGAGUUAGAGGCAUUGAGACAGAGGCCAGAGGAGUCGAUCACCUCAUUUAUCUCCCGUUGGAGGGAGAAGAUUUCAUAGGUUAUUAAUAGACCAUCGGAGAAGGAUCAUAUUAGCAUGAUUAUGAGAAGCUUGCAACCUCGAUUUGCUAGACACUUGAUGGGAUUUCCUCAUAGAGAUUUUGGAUCUUUGGUACAGGCCUUGUAUGGUAUAGAGGAGGGCAUAGCCAGAGGAUUAUGGUCUGAGUCUUCUCUUUCUAAUUCGAAGGGGAAGAAACCUUUAAGAUGAUAGAGGCUAGUUGAUGUGAGCGCCCCUAGUUCUACCAGCCAGAGGCCUCCUAUGCGUCAUUAGUCAGUGCCACAGCUUCCUGAGACUCAUCCUUCAUAUCCACCUCAACAGUACAGGCCACGAGCGCCUCGUCCGACUUUUGAUCAUGCUUACAUGCCUCAGACACUAGUUUUGCCUUACUAUGCCACUCAGGGCAUCGAGAGACCACCUGUUUCAUAUACAGCCACAGGAUAGCCAUGCUAUGCGGCGUAGUUUACCGCAAGACCUACAUCUUCUUAUCCCAGGCUUAGAGCUCAACAGACUUCUGUUCCUUUUGUUUUGAGGACGCAGAUAUAGUUCUCGCAGUUAAGCAUGCCGUUGAGCCAGGCUAUUCGGAAACCUAUAGAGGUUGGGUUGUUGAUUGCUCUCACUCUUAGGCCACCACCUCAGCCUCUUCCUUCUCGGUUCAGGAUGGAUUUGCACUAUGCAUACCAUCAAGGACCUAGACAUGAGACUGACCGUUGUACCGCUCUGAGACAUGCCAUCCAAGAUCUGAUCGACCAGGGUUUGGUUCACUUAGAUUAGCCGAGUGUAACCACAAACCCACUAUCGACCCACACCACACAUGCGGUUCCCCCACCAACCAAUAACAUUCAUUUUCUGGAUUUUGCUGGGUUUGACGACCAUAUCCAUAUGUUGAGCCGGGAUGACACAGAGCGAGAGCCCAUAGUGUCAGAUGGGAUUUAUGAGAUGAGUGGGGUGACUUUGGGACCUUAGAUACCCGCUCCAUUCAGAUUCGUCCCUAAGGCGGUAUCGGUACAAACGACCACUAUCGAGCGAUUGACUUUCUCACAUUAUAGUGUUCAGACGCAUUUUGUUUUGAUUCCAGAUGUUGAUGGGGUUCAGACUUCUUAUGUUGAUGUUUAUCAGACUCCAUAUGUCGAUGAUGUUCAUACUUUAGAUGUGCAGUAUGUUAUCCACGGAGGUAGGGUAGUACGGCAGCAGCCCCCCGCUGCCGCUAGACCCUUGAAGGGAACGUCAUCCCAAGAGGAGGUCGAGAGGGAGGAUGAUCAGAUUCUGAUGCAGUUACAAAGCACUCAUGCUUGUAUUUCCAUCUAGAGCUUGUUAGCAUCUUCUAGUAAUCACCGAGAUGCUUUGAUUUGAGCCUUGAGCCAGAUCAGAGUUGAAACUACCACCACUCCGGAGGGAUUGAUUCAUAUGGUGAUGGCUGGCAGAGCCGCAUGCAUAGUAUUCUCUGAUGACGGCUUGCAACCAGAGAGUGCGAACCAUACAUGUCCAUUUUAUAUAUCAGUUGGUUGUUUAGGCUAUCGAGUCUCAUUUGUCAUUUUGGAUAACGACUCGGCCCUGAACGUUUGCCCUCUGGCCACUGCCAUCGCCCUUGGUUAUGCGUCCUCUGACUUUGGUCCCUUCACUCAGAUAGUUCGAGCAUACGAUAACACUCAAAGGGAGGUCAUGGGCACUCUAGAGAUUGAGUUGCUGAUAAGUCCGAUCACAUUUGUUACUUUGUUCCAGGUUUUGAAGAUUCCUACAUCAUUUAACCUGCUAUUGGGUCGACCUUGGAUUCACAAAGUCGGGGUCAUUCCUUCUUCCCUUUAUCAAAAGGUGAAGUUCAUUUGCGAUGGUCAGGUCAUCACAGUGCGGUCUAUAGGAGAUAUGUUUAUUUCUACUCAGCCGGUGCUUCAGAUUAGUCACAAUGAUGAUGACUUACUUCUGAGUGGAUUCACAUUCGACGAGGUGCAAACCCUAAAGAUGGAGAAUUUUUUCCGAGACUUCGUAGCUAUGUCGUUUGACUAGCAUGGUAGCACGGUGGUGCUCGAUAUGAUGAGGAGUAUGUCUUAUCUUCCCGGUAUGGGAUUGGGGCGACGUCAGCACGGGCCUAGUGAGUUCAUGGCUAUCCCCGAUCACGAUGUACCGUUCGAACUCGGGUUCAUCCCCACUGAGGCUAAUUAUCGAUAUAUGGCGCAACUGCGCAAGGAGAUGGGUGAGAGCCCAACUGACUCACACGCCUUUUGAUUAUCCUGUUCGCUCAUACACCAUGAGCUUAACAGAAUACUUUGUGAAGGCGUCAGUGCCGCAGAUGCCUUCAAAUGGGAUAAUUGGGGGACUCGAAACUACUCAAGAGGCCAAGCUUCAGCGCCUCGUCUAUCAGCUACAGUUGAGUGAUGGAGUUCCUGGCACUUCGAUAUCUGUGUUGGCUGCCCUAUCAUCUCCAGAUCGUAUGAGCCUUAUGACGCUUUAUUUCCCGGAUGAGAUCAACGAGCAUGAGACAUUUGCUCGAGAUUGGAAACAUAGUGGACAGAGCCAUUCCACAUAAAGAGUACGUCGAUGAGAUGCUCGCGAUGAGCUUAAGCCAGAUCAAGGAGAUAGUUCAGCCUGGGCUCCCUUCACCAUUUGAUCUUUUCGGGGUGUCCGUCAUCCAGAUUGCUGAGGAGAUCCCGACUGCUUCUACUCCGGAGUUUACUGAGGGUGCCAUAGCUGUUAAUGACUUGUUUGAUGGCCCUGUUGGCCUAGUUGAGGGAGCGUCCGACUUUGUGGACCCACUUAUUUCAUUUGAUGUUUUAUCGGGAUUUGUUUCCCUUCAUGAUGAUGUUCUUGGCUCUUCAUUUAUGGAUUUGAGUAUUUUUGAGUAUUUGCCUGCCUCUUGUGAUAUUGCUUUAUCUACACCAUCUUCACCCACAUCACAGAUAUUUGACAUUGAUGAUGAGAUUGUACAACAUGAUUCAAAUGAUGACUCAUCAUCCGCUUCUGAUUCGAACCCCAUUGAUUAGAGAGUUUCACCUACUAUAGGGGAUGCUGAGAUUGUUGAUUUCAGCACAACAGAUCAACUUAGGGAGUUGAGGAUCAGAUCGGAUUUAUCUACUGAUAAGAGGGAUAACCUCAUCCAAUUGCUCAAAUCAUACUUGGACAUUUUCGCAUGGUCUUAUGAGGACAUGCCGAGUCUUGAUCCAUCUAUCGUCCAACAUCAUUUGCCACUUCUACCCUAUGCCAGACCGGUUAAGUAGAAAUUGAGACAGUUGCACCCUCGUUGGAGUUUGCAAGUGAAGGAGGAGAUCCAAAAGCAGCUCAGUGUGAGAUUUUUUUCAAUGGUCGAGUACCCGGAAUGACUCACCAAUGUCGUCAUUGUUCUAAAAAAGGACGACAAGGUGAGAGUCUGUGUUGAUUUUCGAGAUCUCAACAAGGCCAGUUCUAAGGAUGAUUUUCCUCUCCCACACAUCGACAUGCUAGUUGACAAUACAACAGGUCAUUCGAUGUUGUUCUUCAUGGAAGGAUUUUCCGGGUAUAGUUAGAUCUUGAUGGCUCUAGAGAACAUGAAGAAGACGUCAUUCAUUAUCGAGUAGGGUACUUAUUGCUAUAGAGUCAUGCCAUUCGAGUUGAAGAAUGCAGGAGCCACUUAUCAGAGAACAACAACCACACUCUUCCAUAACAUGAUGCAUUGAGAUGUCGAGGUUUAUGUAGACGACAUGAUAGUGAAAUCCCGAGAUAGAUCAGAUCACCUAACAACUCUGGAGAGGUUCUUUGAGAGGAUCAAGCGGUUUAGAUUGAGAUUGAAUCCUAGGAAGUGCAUUUUUGAAGUGACUUCUGGGAAGCUCCUAGGAUAUAUGGUCAGUGAGAGAGGCAUAGAGGUAGAUCUGGAUAAGAUUAGAGCCAUCUUUGACAUGCCUGCACCGAGAACAAAGAGAGAGGUCAAAGGCUUCUUGGGUAGACUUCAGUACAUCAGCAGAUUCAUCGCCAGAUUGAUAAACAUCUGUGAGCAGCCCAAUUUUCUACUCUUGAGGAAGAGUCAACCUACUGUUUGAGAUGAUUAGUGUCAGCAUGCAUUUGAGAGGAUCAGAGAGUACUUGUUGUCACCUCUAGUAUUGGCGCCUCCUACACCAGGCCAUCUUUUACUCCUAUACCUAUCAGUCUCAGACGUAGCAUUGGGAUGCAUGUUGGCUCAAGUCGAUGAUUCAAGCAAGGACCGAGCCAUUUAUUAUCUAAGUAAAAGAAUGUUAGAUUACGAGACGAGAUAUGUCAUGAUUGAGCGCUAUUAUUUGGCAUUGGUUUAGGCCACUCGUCGACUGAGACAUUAUGUGACCGAGUAUUCAGUGCACUUGAUAUCCCAUCUAGAUCCUCUUAGAUACUUGUUUGACAUACCUGCCUUGGUUGGUCGCCUCAUGAGAUGGUUGGUACUUCUGACUGAGUUUGACAUCCAUUAUGUCACUUAGAAGUCCAUCAGAGGGAGCAUUAUCGCAGAUCACCUAGCCUCAUUACCAGUUUCUGAUGGUAGGACUAUUGAUGAUGAUUUUCCAGAUGAGGAUGUUGCUACUGUGCUUAGUCUGUCAGGUUGGCGCAUGUACUUUGAUGGUGCAGCCAACCAUUCCAAAUAUGGGAUAGGAGUUUUGUUAAUAUUCUCUCAUGGUGACCACAUUCCUAGAUCUAUUCGUUUGGCAUUCUCGAAUUGACACCCAGCCACGAACAACAUUGUUGAGUAUGAGGCUUGUAUCUUGGGAUUAGAGAUGAUCCUUAAGUUUGGGAUUAGAUAGAUGGAGGUGUUUGGUGACUCCAAUAUGGUAUUAAGAUAGAUUCAAGGUGAGUGUAAGACUAGAGAUGUGAAGCUUAGGUCUUACCACGCAUAUUUGGAGCUACUGGUUGGGAGAUUUGAUGAUUUAAGAUACACACAUCUACCUAGAGCGCAGAACCAGUUUGUUGAUGCCUUAGCUACUUUGGUUUCCAUGAUUGAUAUUCUUGUCGAUGCCAUUGUUUGCCCUUUACUGAUCAAGUCGAGAUCUGCUCAUGCCUACUAUUACCUAAUUGAUGAUGUAGAGCCAGAUGAUGGUUUGCCCUGGUACCAUGACAUAUAUCACUUUCUGAGACUUGGCGUAUAUCCUAAGGCCGCCAUGACCAAGGCUAAGAAGGCAUUUGAGAUAGUUGGCUGCCCGAUUUGUGAUUUGUGGCAAGACACUAUACAGACGAUCAGUUGAUGGGAUGUUGCUAUUAUGCUUAGACCACGCCUUUACUGAUCUAGUGAUGAGAGAGGUUCAUGCAGGAAUCUGCAGACCACAUAUGGAAGGGCAUAUGCUAGCUCGUAAGAUCAUGAGGACUGGCUAUUUCUGGUUGACCAUGGAAACAGACUGUUGCCAGUUUGUUCAGAGAUGUCCUGAGUGCCAGAUACACGGUGACCUCAUUCACGUGCUUCUUCAGAAUUACAUGCGUUGACUUCGCCGUGGCCAUUUUUAGUAUGGGGUAUAGACAUUAUUGGGAAGAUUUUACCGAAGUCUUUCAGUGGGCAUGAGUUCAUCUUGGUCGCCAUCUAUUACUUCACCAAGUGGGUGGAGGUUGCUUCGUAUGCAAGAUUGACGUCAUUUGAAGUUGCUAGUUUCAUCAGAUCACACAUUAUUUGUCGCUAUGGAGUCUCUCAUGAGUUGAUUUCCGAUAAAGAGGUACAUUUCACAGCAGAGGUUGACACCUUAGUGCAGCGAUAUGGCAUCCGACAUCUUAGGUCAUUUGCGUACAGGCCGUAGACGAAUGGAGCAGUAGAGGUCGCCAAUAAGAAUAUUAAGAGGAUCUUACGAAGAAUGGUUGGGACUUCUCGGGAUUGGUCAGAGAAAUUCCCUUUCGCAUUGUGGGCUUAUCGAAUUUCUUUUCGCACCUCCAUAGGAGCCACACCCUACUCUUUGCUGUAUGGUAUGGAGAUAGUGCUACCAGUUGAGAUUGAGAUGGGUUCAUUGAGGAUAGCAUUAGAGCGGCAGAUUCCAGAGGCAGAUUGGGCUCAGGCCCGAUUAGAUCAACUCAAUCUCCUAGAUGAUAGGAGAUUGAGGGCAGCAGACCAUGUUCGCUCAUAUCAUUAGAGGAAGAUGACCCGUGCUUUCAAAAAGCGGGUCAAGGCUUAACCACUAUGGAUAGGUGACUUGGUUCUGAAUGUCAUCAAGGGAUUGAUAAGAGAUCCUAGAGGGAAGUUCAAACCCAAUUGGAGCGGACCUUACUUCAUCAAGGAGUUAACCCUAGAGAACGCUACAUGGUUGAUGGAUCUAGAUGGAAACCGAUUCUCGGAGCCGAUCAACGUAGAUUAGCUAACGAGGUACUAUGUUUGAGACCAUGGUCAUAGGAUGGGUGGUCAUCAUUUCAGUUAGCCAUAUACCUUGUUAUUCCCCUUUGAUACAUAGACUGUUGCUAGCCCAUUGAGCCUCGUGUGUGCAUUAUAGCAUUUCUAUCUUAUUACCUUGCUCACAUUGUUACACCAGGAUUGGGGCCCUUUAGUGUGUGCAUGCGUUGUUUGGGAGCCUGAUAAGUCUUGGACCUACAAGUGCGUCUUUCUCUCAUUAUUUUUUCCUACCAUCACUCUAAUGCAUAUCAUCACAUCUCGUUGGCCAGGUUCUUCAUUCAUUCUCCUUUAUUAUAUCUACUGCUUGUUUUGCUUCAUAUUCUCUUCACCCUGAGUGGUAAUCCUCCUCAGUUCAUUGCAUGAAGGAUAGUCACAUCAUUUCCACCAUCUAUCCCACGGACACUGAUUCUGAGAUCCUUAGUUUGAGAAGGUUAUCUCGUCAGAGAUAGUUUUUGAGAGUGUGUCUAUCCAUUGUAGAUGUCAUAUUUGGGGAUCAUUUGUUUAUGAUUCAGGGUAUAUGCAUUUGUAUAUAUGUAAAAAAAAAAAAAAAAUGAAAAUGUAAAACAAAAGAAAAAAAUGAAAAUGAAAAGAAAAGAAAAAUAAGCAUGUGUGUAUGUGCAUAGUAUUCUCCAUCAUUGGGCAUGUAUAUUGAUGUUUGAGGGUUACUUCAUUAAGUAUGUUUGUUGAUGAGAGCUCGUAUGUGAGCUUUCCGAGACCGUUCAUUAUUUGUAUUCAGGUUUCAUGUAUUUUGAGAGUGAGAUGAGUGACUUUCUCUUAGGAGCUUUGUAUCAUUGUCCUUUCCAUCAUUACAUUCAUUGUUGAUGUGACUUCACCUCAUGUUGGAUUUGAGCGGAUCAUCAUUCCUCUUUGUGUUCUUCGCUUCACCAUCAUCCUCGUUUUUGCUUUUGAUUCAUCAUCAUCAUCUCACCCCUUGUCAUUUUCUUACAACGACUCUUUUAUUCCCAGUUUGACACUUCCUCCACAUCAUCCUUACACAUCUCAUUAUCAGAUCAAUUUUUUUUCAUUGCCUCGUUAUUGACAUCAUAUUCACAUUAGGCACCCUCAGGUCCGUGACUCACGAGAUUUUCUAUACAUGUGGCAUUUCAUACAUGAGGGCAUGGGUUUCUGUUCAUUUGGUAUUUUGGCCUAGUUUCCCUUCAUUUUUAUCACCCUAUCAUCCCAGUCUACGUUACGUCCCGUGUCUUAAGACCACCCUAAGGCCAUGAGAUCAGAUGUCAUCUUUGACAACCUAUAAUUGGACUGGUGUUUGAGAUCUGAUUGACAUUUAGAUAUUGUCAUGCUUCCUCUUCUGGGAGAUGUCUUUCUGAUGAUUAGAUUUGUUUCAAUUAUGUUUGGAUUACCAGGAUUACAUGUUCGAUGAUAGAUGAUUCCAUGUCACCUAAUUUUAUGAUCUAUCACAUAUUUGGUGUCAUACUAGGGCAUAUUCCGUUUCGGGCGAGAUUUACAAAUCUUCACGGAGUUGCAUGCUUAUCCCCACUUGCGAGAUAUACGCCGAAAUGAUUGACUGGUUCGCUAUUUUAUGAUGAUCCAUUAGUGGAGCCUCUGUGGAGCCGUUCAGCCAGCCCCAUAUUUCUCGGUAUUUGGUUAUUAUCAUGCUUCUUAUUCCGAGAGGCGUUCCCUAGAUGUUUGGAUUUGAUUUGGAUCACGGAGAUCACAUGCUCGAUGAUAUAUGAUUCCAUGUCACUUGAUUUUCUGAUUUAUCACAUAUUCGAUGUCAUACUGGGGCAUAUUCCGUUUCGGGAGAGAUUUAUAGAUCUUCAUGGAGUUGCAUGCUUAUCCCCACUUGCGAGAUGUACGUCGAGAUGAUUGACUGGUUCGCUAUUUUAUGAUGAUCCCUCAGUGGAGCCUCUGUGGAGCCCUUCGGUCAGGUCCACAUUUCUCGGUAUUUGGUUACUAUCAUGCUUCUUAUUCCGAGAGAUGUUCCUUAGAUGUUUGGAUUUGAUUUGGAUCACGAAGAUCACAUGCUCGAUGAUAGAUGAUUCCAUGUCACCUGAUUUUUUGAUCUAUCACAUAUUCGGUGUCAUACUGGGGCAUAUUCCAUUUCGGGCGAGAUGUACGCCGAGAUGAUUGACUGGUUCGCUAUUUUAUGAUGAUCCCUCAGUGGAGCCUCUAUGGAGUUGUUAAGCCAGACCCAUAUUUCCCGGCAUUUGGUUACUGUCAUGCUUCUUAUUCCGAGAUACGCUCCCUAGAUGUUUGGAUUUGAUUUGGAUCAUGAAGAUCACAUGCUUGAUGAUAGAUGAUUCCAUGUCACCUAAUUUUCUGAUCUAUCACAUAUUCGGUGUCAUACUAGGGCAUAUUCCAUUUUGGGUGAGAUUUGCAGAUCUUCAUGAAGUUGCAUACUUAUCCCCACUUGCGAGAUGUACAUUGAGAUGAUUGACUGGUUCGCUGUUUUAUGAUGAUCCCUCAGUGGAGCCUUUGUGGAGCCGUUCAGCCAAACCCACAUUUCUCAGUAUUUGGUUACUAUCAUGCUUCUUAUUCCGAGAGACGUUCCCUAGAUGUUUGGAUUUGAAUUGGAUCACGGAGAUCACAUGCUCGAUGAUAGAUGAUUCCAUGUCACCUGAUUUUUUGAUCUAUCACAUAUUUGGUGUCAUACUGAGGCAUAUUCCCUUUCGGGAGAGAUUUAUAGAUUUUCAUGGAGUUGCAUGCUUAUCCCCACUUGCGAGAUGUACGCCGAGAUGAUUGACUGGUUCGCUAUUUUAUGAUGAUCCCUCAAUGGAGCCUCUGUGGAUCCGUUCAGCCAGGCCCACAUUUCUCGGCAUUUGGUUACUAUCAUGCUUCUUAUUCCGAGAGACUUUCCCUAGAUGUUUGGAUUUGAUUUGGAUCACGGAGAUCACAUGCUCGAUGAUAGAUGAUUCCAUGUCACCUAAUUUUCUAAUCUAUCACAUAUUUGGUGUCAUACUGGGGCAUAUUCCAUUUCGGGCGAGAUUUACAGAUCUUCACGGAGUUGCAUGCUUAUCCCCAUUUGUGAGAUGUACGCCGAGAUGAAUGACUGGUUCGCUAUUUUAUGAUGAUCCCUUAGUGGAACCUCUGUGGAGCCGUUUAGCCAGGCCCACAUUUCUCGGUAUUUGGUUACUGUCAUGCUUUUUAUUCCGAGAGACGUUCCCUAGAUGUUUAGAUUUGAUUUGGAUCAUGGAGAUCACAUGCUCGAUGAUAGAUGAUUCCAUGUCACCUGAUUUUCUUAUCUAUCACAUAUUCGAUGUCAUACUGGAGCAUAUUUCCAUUUCAGAUGAGGUUUACCAAUCUUCAUGGAGUUACAUGAUCAUCUCCACUUACGAAGUAUGAGCUGAGACGAUGACGUGUUCGUUACCUUAUCAUGAUCUCUCAGUAGAGCCUCUUUGGAGCCAUUCAGCUCGACCCACAUUUUUGGCAUUUGGUUGUCGCCAAGCUUAUUAUUCCGGAGACGUUUCAUAGAUGUUUGGGGUUUGAUUUGGGUCAUGGAGAUCGCACAUUUGAUGAUGGAUGAUUUCAUGUCACCCAAUUUUCGACUUAUCGUACAUCUAACGACAUACUGGGGCAUAUUUCCGUUUUGAUCGAGAUUUACAAAUCUCCAUGGAGUUGCAUGCUUAUCUCCACUUACGAGGUACACACCGAGAUGAUGACCUAUUUGUUAUCUUAUCAUGAUCCCUUAGUGGAGCCUCUCUGGAGCCAUCCAAUCAGAUUCAUAUUUUUUCGGCGUUUGGGUUGUUGUCAUGUUUCUCCUUCUGGGUUAUGGAUUUGGAUGACGAGGUUCGUGCUCCUGAUGAUAGAUGACUUGAGGCCAUUUGAUUUUUCCAACCUAUCACACAUUUGAUUCCAUACUGGGGCAUUUUUCCCCUUUCGAUCAAGAUUUGUAGAUCCCCACGAGUUUGCAUGAUCAUCCCCAUUUAUGAGAUACACAUCAGGUUGAUGAUUCGAUUUCAUUUUGUCUUGAUUCUUUCGUGGAGCAUUUUUCUUGAGUCAUUUCGUCAGGCUCACACUUUCUGAUUUUGUUGUGAUUUUUGGAUAGAGUCAUCUCAGGUGCAUAGGAUCCCAUAUCAUCAUUUCAGUGGGACACAUGUCAGAUCUUUUAUAUAUUCCCAUGGAGUUAUUCUCGGGUUAUCAUGAUAGACCGAGUACAUCUGACGCCAUAUUGGGGCAUAUUUCCUUCCUCCAGCUGUAGAGUUUCGAUGAUUUUUGCUAAGAUGAGCCACCAGAGGAACACGACUUCCGGGUUUUGACUGCCCUACUAUCCAUGACUUUUCAGUGGAUUGAGAUCGUAGUAGUUACCCUAGCAGACUAUUCUUUUGUGACCCCCUAGUGGAUCAUUUUUUCGGUAUGAUGAUGGAUUCUUCCAAUAAAACAUUUUGAGUUAGAGAAGUUCUACUUAUUGCGACACUUCAUCAGAUCUCGCGAUUUAGUCAGAUGGGUUGUGAGACUAAGUUCACAGUCGAUUUAAUCAUUUCGACUCGCUAGCAGAGCAUCCUUCAAGACUCAUGAAGUCUUUUUUGUCAUUUCCAUGGACUGAAAUCUGUAGUAGCAUGCUACAUUGGGGCAUAUUCCCCCCUCAUCAUCUCUAUUCAUCUUCAGUCUCGGCGUUCAGAGCCACCGUUUCUUCACAAUUUGGCGUUCAGAGCUAUAUCUUCAGUUUGGUGUUCCAGGUCACGCAUUCUUUUUAGCGUUCAGAGCCAUCAUCAUGUUCACAGUUUGGCGUUUAGAGUCACUAUCUCUUCUUAGUUUUGGUGUUCAGAGUCGCAUCUUCAUUUUGGCAUUUAGAGCCGUUAUUUCUGUUCAGCAUUCAUAGUUACUAUUUUUAGUUUGGUGUUCAGAGCCACCGUUUCUUCGUAUUUUGGCGUUUAGAGCCAUAUCUUCAGUUUGGCGUUCAAAGUCACACUUUCAUUUUGACGUUCAAAGCCAUCGUCAUCUUCUCAAUUUGGGUGUUCAGAGCCACCAUCUCUUCUUAGUUUGGGUGUUCAGAGCCACCAUCUUUUCUCAGUUUGGGUGUUCAGAGCCACCAUCUUUUCUCAGUUUGGGUGUUCAGAGCCACCAUCUUUUCUCAGUUUGGGUGUUCAGAGCCACCAUCUUUUCUCAAUUUCGGCGUUCAAAGCCACCAUCUUCUCAGUUUUGACAUUCAGAGCCACCAUCUUCUUAGUUUAGGCGUUCAAAGCCAUCAUCUUCUCAGUUUGAGCGUUCAGAGCUACCAUUUUCUCAGUUUUGACGUUCAAAGCCACCAUAUCUUCUCAGUUUCGGAAUUUUAAAGCCACCAUCUUCUCAGUUUCGGCGUUCAAAGCCAUCAUCUUCUCAAUUUGGGCGUUCAGAGCCACCAUUUCUUCUAAGUUUCGGCGUUUAGAGCCACCAUAUUCUCAGUUUCGGCGUUCAGAGCCACCAUCUUCUCAGUUUGGGCAUUCAAAGCCACCAUCUCUUCUCAGUUUGAGCGUUCAGAGCCACCAUCUUCUCAGUUAAAGCAUUCAGAGCCACCAUCUCUUCUCAGUAUGGGCAUUUAGAGCCACCAUUUCUUCUUAGUUUGGGCGUUCAGAGCCACUAUCUCUUCUCAGUUUCGGCAUUUAGAGCCACCAUCUCUUCUCAAUUUGGGUGUUUAGAGCCACUAUCUAUUCUCAAUUUGGGCGUUCAUAGCCACCAUCUCUUCUCAGUCUUGGUGUUUAAAGCCACCAUCUUCUUACGACUCAGCCUUCAAAGUCAUCAUUGCUUAUCGGUUACGACGUUCAGAGUCAUCUUCCUCGGUUUUGACGUUCAGAGCCACCAUUUCCUUAUAGCUUGACGAUUAGAGUCAUCAUCGCUUCUCAAUUACGACGUUCAGAGUCGUAUUUCUCAGUUAUGGCGCUCAGAGCCUUCAUCUUCUUCAGUUUGACGUUCAGAGUCGCACCUCUAGCUUGGCAUUUAGAGUUACUAUCUCUUUACAAUUUUGCUUUCAGAGCCAUCAUCCUAUUGCGAUCGGGCAUUCGUUGCCACUUUUUCGACAUUCAGAGCCACCAUCUUUUCUCAAUUAUGGCAUUCAAAACCAUCAUCUCUUUACAACUUGGCGUUUAGAGUCAUCGUCCUUCUCAAUCAUGGCAUUUAGAGCCACAUUUCAGGCAUUCGAAGUCAUGAUUUUCUAAAGCUUAUCAUCCUCCCUUGUGCAUGAUAUAGCUCUUUGAGCUUAUAGCUUAUGUUUUGAUUGUAUCAUUGGUGCCCCUCACUUCGCGCUCUUGUAUGGUGCAUGUAUAGUUUCCCUUUUAUAUAUGUUCCUCUCUAUGCUCCUAGAUGGUUUGACUACUACUCAACUUUGACUUCGAUCUUUGAAUCACUUUUGGUGACAUCUUAGAGGGAGUCUAGAUCCUUAGCGCGGCUUCAAAGGCACUUUGAGAGAUCCAUUUUUCUCUUAGGAUUUUAAAGCUCUUUUUACUCCUCUGAUGGUUUGGGUGAGUUUGUGUUUUACUUGUGUACCUUUAGGGAUCUUUCUUUGUCUUCGGUAGAGUUCACUUCAUUUCACUCUCUAUUCACACUUUUUUUUCACUUUAGUGUUUACAUUCAUUACACUCGUGAGCUCUACCGAAGAGGGGCAUAUUUGUAGACCCCUUUGUGGACACCAUCCGAGAGAGUGGUUUUUCUUUCAUUUUUUUGAAAUGGGGGGACCCCUUUCUGCCAAGAACAAGCUGCAUGGACAUGUGGCCAAGAGCAUGGCUCACCAUGGUGGUGGUUGAUGGUGAUGACAUCCUCCCGGGACAAGGAGCAGUAAAGUGGUUGGUGGCUUGCGGGAGAAGACAGAAAUGGGGGCAGGCAAGCAAGCUGCGAGGGGGUAGGUGAUUUUGGGGUUGCUGGUUUUGGGGAGAUACACUGGAAAAUGCUUUCUUUGGCUGGGGAGUCUUUGUUCUAGGGAGGAGGAAUUCUUUGGCCAGGCAAGAACUGUGAAAGAGCUCUCAGGUAAGUUUACUGGGUAUCUCUUGUUCACAUUUACUAUCACCGUUCUUUCAUUUUCCCCCUUCGCUAUUUGGGGUUUUGUUUGUUUGUUUGGUUAUGGAUAACAGGAGUUAUGCAUGAGUUUUGUUAAUUUCCAGUUUGUUCAUAUACCCAUUGAUCGCUUCAUUCACUAUCCUUCUUAAUAUUGGUUUAAACCCAAUGAAGUUCUGUUUCAUUUUGCUCUAUGUGAAGAUAUUGCUUGUUAUUUUCUCGUUUGGACCUGUUGGUACCCUUCCCACCCAUCCAAGCCCGUUGAAAGAGCAUUAGAUAUGGUUUUUCUUAAUUCACACACACACAUAUAUAUAUAUAUAUAUAUAUAUUUGUUUACUUUUCCUGGCUCUCCUUUGUUCUAGUCUAUAUUUUCUUUUUCCCGUUUUUUUUAUGCACUCGAUCCAGAAUGUCGGUUGAUUGAGUGUCGGUCAGAGGAAUUGGUUUUGGGCUUGUUCUAGAGAAAUGCGCUGGUAAAUAUACAUGCACAAUGUGGAAAAGGUGAAGUUGUUAAUACCUUAUCCAUUUGUUUUUCCGGGCACACGAAUGUUGGUCAAGUAGCCGAAAGAUUAAGAUGAGGCUUUCUCCCAUCACCAUUCCAGCUGAUUCAGUUGUGACUGUUGGUAUUGUGCCCUAUUCCGGGGUCCGUUCAAAAGUGUCUUCGGCUAAGGUUGUGCAAGCUAAAUCAGUUGAUGCUUAAUAUGCUUAGGAAUACUACUUGUGCGUUUUUCAAAUUUUAUGCAAAGGUGACAAGCCAAACAUCAGUGGAAAUGAUGCAUGACUCCUCCAAUAGAUCAGUUCAUACAAUUUUCAGGUGUGGGAAUAUAUGCUAGCAACGUUCUUGAAGUCACUAAUUGGUUCCCAUUUCCAACCCUAGAAGAGAAUGGUGAGACUGAAACAUCAUGUGGUCCCGACAUUUCAUCAUAUAUAAUUCCUUCAUACCCAUAUUCCCACUACCUUCCAUCCUCUAAGCCUCAUUCAUACCCAUAUCACUACUUCAUCUACCCGUAUUCUCAUAUUUCCAUCUCGUCACCAUAUUUUCUCUCUUUACACCACGUGCAUGUCCAUUACCACUCAUGCAUAUCACCACCCUCCUAUGCCCACCUUGCCCAUUCUUUCUUACCACCUUUCUCUUUUUACACCACAUGCCUCCCAAACCCACUACUCGUAUUUCACGCUUCAUCCCAUCUCAUCCCAUAUCCCUCCCAUGGAUAUCAUCACUUUCACAUACCCAUCACUACAUUUCUCUCUCUACACCACACCAUGUUCCCACUUUUUUUUUUUAAUAUGUCACUAGAUCCAUUUCUUCCCACUUUGCAUGGUCAUGCAUGGCCACACUAUGUCACUUCCACACUCAUACCCGUUCCAUACCCACAUCUUCCUAUCUGUAUUCCUACCCUUUUUUAAAAAAAAAAAAAAAAAUCCACUCACUCGUUUCUCUCACUACCACUACCCUUCAUUACUCAUCCCUACCCAUGGCAACCCAUACUCUCCUCACUCAUCUAUUACACCCACUGUCAAUAGCUCUCUUCAUCACCAUACCUAUUUUUUCCACUCUUUCUAAAUCCAUUGGACUCUCUCAUCUCACCACCCUCCAUCAUCCGUUCCAUCAAUAACCUCCCCGAAGACCAAGAAGAUUUUGCAACUUCUGCGCUUGAGAUAGAUAUUUAACAGUGUCUUCCUGAAAGUGAACAAGGAAACAACGAAUAUGUUGCACAAGGUUGAGCCUUACGAGACAUGCGGGUAUCCCAAUUCAAAGAGUGUUAAGGAAUUGGUUCACAAGCCAGGGUGCCUACCCGCUACAGUGAAACGCUUGGCUUUCAUAGUCUGCAUCGCGAGACAAUCAUGAAGCAUCAGUAUUGUUUGCAUUAGAGCGGGGUAUACCUUCCAUAGUUGGUACUCUUGGAAGUAUGUCUAUGGGAUGAAGCUGAUAUAUUAUCUGUUUUAUUUGAUAAUGGAUGAAAUCAUGGUGACUUUGUGGUCUAUAUCAUCCAGAAGUUCUCUCAAGAGAUAUAGCCGUCAUGUGAAGAUUCUUUUUCCUCACACGGUUACGCUGCUAAGAAGGAUUUCUCAUGCUUUGAAGGUCAUCAUGAAUCGAAAGACUCAAGAAGAAGGGUUAGCAUUGGUUCGUACUCAUCAGAUGCCUAGAAACAAGUGGGCAGAGUUGACAAAACUCUCGUCGAGAAGAACAGACAAUGCAAUAAAAGACCACUAGGACAGUUAUGUAAAGAAGAAGUUGGACUCUCAUAUAGCAUCAGAUUCACUUGCACAGUCCCAAGGCCAGCCUCUUGUUGGUCACUGAAACUGAUCGAUCCAUUCAUCUUCUUCAAAUAUGUAAUAGAGUAGUGGAGGUGAUGGCGGAGCCAAAGGUGGGAUAGAAGCAGAGGAAAUUUCAGAAUAUAGUCAAGGUUCAAUUGCGGAUUUUCUGGAAGCGUGAGGCACCAGUUUAAUUCAAAUGGGCAACCCACUCCUUCUUUUGAGCUGGGACAAGCAUCAUCAGGUUUAUCAUCGCAUUUUAAAGGUGGCAGAGGAAACCAGGGCACAGUUUCUGUCCCGUUCAUGAACUUCUGUAGGGUUGAGUGAUUCCUCUUCCACGGGAAAUAUAGGUGUGGACUCUGAUAUACCUGAGCAUUUACUGAUAUCUGAAGGCGACUGUUGUGGGUUCAGAUUCCAAGAGGAACUCCAGCUUCACAGUCAUAUUACUCCCUAAGGAUGACAGCGGCAAGCAUCACUAGCACCAAUAGGGUAGUCACAAUCGCACCCAAGGCCCAUGUGUAUUAUGGCCAACCUCCCAGACCCAUUUUCAAGGCCCACGUGCUUCUUUCCUUCACCUUAAAAAAAAAAACAAAAAAUGAUGAUUUUCUGAAAAUCCAAUUUCCAAAUAAUUCAACUCUCUAUUCUUUCAUCUCUAGAAUUUUUGGGUCCUAAAUUCCAUUUCCCAAUUUCCAUAUUUAUUUAUUUAAUAAGUAUUAUUUUUGUUAUUAUUAUUAUUAUUAUUCUAUUUAUUUAUUCAUUUAUUAUAAAAUUCCACCUUUAAAUAAUUUUCCAAAAUUCCGACUUCUGGAUUUAAAGUUCCAAUUUAAAAAAUCUCAAUAUUCACAUUCAUUUAUUUAAUUAUCAUUUUUGUUUUUAUUAUUAUUCUUUUUAUUUAUUUAUUCAUUUAUCAAUUCUUCAAAAUUUCGACUUUCAAAUAUAAUUUCUGAUUUUUCAUAAUUUCACUAUUCACAUUCAUUUAUUUAAUUAUUAUUUUUGUUAAUAUUAUCAUCAUUCCAUUUAUUUAUUUAUUUUAAAAUUUCAUCUAUUAACAAUUCUUCAAAAUUCCAGUUUCCGAAUUUAAUUUCCAAUUUCAAAUUUUCCACUAUUCACGUUCAUUUAUUUAAUUACUAUUUUCGUUACUAUUAUUAUUACUCCGUUUAUUUAUUUAUUUAUUCAUUUUAAAAUUUCAUCUUUUAACAAUUCUUCAAAAUUCCGGUUUCGAAUUUAAUUUCCAAUUUAAAAAAUUCCACUAUUCACAUUAAUUUAUUUAAUUAUUAUUUUCGUUAAUAUUAUUAUCAUUCCAUUUAUUUAUUUUAUUUAUUCAUUUUAAAAUUCCAUCUUUUAACAAAUUCUUCAAAUUCCAAUUUUCAAAUUUAAUUUUCAAUUUCCAAAAUUCAUUUUUUCACAUUUAUUUAUUUAAUCAUUAUUAUUUUCGUUAUUGUUAUUAUUUUAUUUAUUUUAAUUAUUUAUUUUUGAAAAUUCCAUUUUUAAAUAAUUCUUUAGAAUUCCAAUUUUUGAACUUAACUUCCAAAAUUUCAAUUCUUAAAUUUAAUUCCCAAUACUCCAAUUUCCAAAUAAUUUUCAAGACUCCAAUUUUCAAAUAAAUUUCAAAAAUCCAGUUUUCACUCGAACAAUUUUAAUUUCAUUCCGAUUCUCAAAUAAUCUAUUGUUUAUCUUGAUUUUACAUAAGUAUGAAUGCAAUUUUUCAUAAUUCCACAAUAAUGGAAUUUGCGAAACUAAUUCGUGCAAGAUAGAUUGGAUUUUGGUGGGAGGCCCAACAUUGGUGUUUUUUUCCUCUAAAAAUAAAUUUAAUUGAAUUGAAUUGUGAUAUCUAUUGAUUUCUCACUCUGUUUAGUGGCAUAUGUGACAUAGUCUGUUUUUGUUAAUUCUGCACUAAUCUCAUUUCUUGAUAGCACAUUGUGGCUCAUGGCCCAAGUACGCAUCCGCUCCCAUUCUAGUCAUUCUCCAUGCAUAUUCUGAUUCUCAUAUGUGCAUGAUCGAUUUGAGUACCCAUUGAUUUCCUUAUUGAUUGCCACAUCAACUUCCUUUUAUCAGUAGAGACCUGACUUUAGGGACUUAUAUGGGUGCUACGGUCCUUACUAUACAUUCCCGAUAAGUAAUCUGACCUCCGAGUCUGAUCCGGUUUUUCAAAAAUCACUUUUUUCAAAAUAAGGAGUUACACUUAGGGUUUUCUUUCUUAUUUUGUAUACCCUUUUGAUUACUACUCAAAAAGUGCUAUUUGAUAGCUUGUAAUUAACUCUUUUAAACACUUUUGAGUAGUAGUUAUUGCCUUUUAACCCAAUUAACAUGUUAAGGACCCUUGCAAUCAAUUCUAAUCAAAUUGUGUUAAGUUUUGGUGUUUUUGUUAGUAAUUUGAUCACCAAAACAAUCCAAGAUUGAGGAGAGUUAUUUGGAAUCCAUGGCAAAGCUUUUGGAAGCUCAAAUUUAUGAAGAACCAAGCUUUGGAGCUCCAUAGCCCUUUGCCAAAGUCGUUCAAAGUAUGCAAGGAGAGAAGCAAGGAGAAGAGGAAAACAGAGUGAAGAAAACAGAGGACAAGAAGCUGCAGUCUUCAUGCGCACUUUUGGAGCACUUCCCGAAGUCCAUUUUCUACAUUCUAUAUACCAUUUCAAAGCUCAGGAAGUCAAGAAUCCAAUGCUUCAAACGGUGCGUGAUUCGGAGUUGAAACGAAGAAGUUACAGCCAUUGCAAGCAGAUCACUCCAAAGUGUUGCGAAAUCAGCCUUUUGUUGCGAGAAUUUCGCAGCCUUUUUGUACAGUGCUAUGGAAUUCCUCCUGAAGCUACCCGAUACAUGCCGCAAGCUGGAACGCUGAGAACCUCAAGGUGGAAGCCAAUUUCGCAGCCCUGCGAGUUUAACUUGUUGUUGCGAAAAUAUUUCGCAGCCCUCUUGGGUGUCUGCGAAAUCUCGCAGACACCAUUUUCACCUGCGAAAUGGUUCCUGAAGCUUCCCGAUAUUUUCCACCGACUCUUUUGGAUAUUUUUCUUCAGAUAUUUUUGUAUAAAUUUCCAUUUUCUCCUUGUAUUCAGCCACUCAUGUAAUUCCUUAGCUAGGAAGUGUCCAAGGAAGGGUAAAUUACCUUCCUAUAUAAACUCUCUUGCAUCCACUGUAAAAAAAACGCUCGGAGAAGUAUGUAAUAUAGAAACAAUAUAUAGAAUCAACGAACAGAGCACUUGCUCUGUUUUUUCAUAUAUAUUCUUGUCUUCUCCUUCAUUUUCAUUUUCUAGCCAACCAAACUCUGAGGAUUUUUCCACAGAGGAUGAGAGGCUAAGCUUUUUGUCUCUUGGAGUAAGGAAAGCCGGGUAAGUUUCCACAUGCAUAAUUUGGAAGUUUUGUUGUUUUAGUUUUAAUGAAGAGAAAGUGUAACCCGUUAAUGGUUUUUAUCUUUUUAGUUAACUUAAAACACCUUAGAGUCACCUGAGCCAACACUUGGUAAGGCAAGUGAUUUCUAUCCAUGGAAAUGCACUAGUUUACCCCUUGCGAGCCUUUGGGAGGUGACUUGAAGGUAGGAUUUUCUAGAAUAGCCAACACUUGGUAAGCUUUUGGACUCCAAGGAGACAUCCAUUAGUUAUCUCUUGCGAGCUUUUGACGGGUAAUCCAAGGUUAAAGAUCUCCUUGAAUGGCAAGUGCUAGGUGAGAGGUAUGAGCCAUUGCAAGAUGCAUCAGUGAGAGGGAUUUAGUGUUUGAACCCAUUAAUGGGAAGCAUCUGUACAACACCGGUUGGAGAAGGAACUAUAUGUUAAUUCUCUAAUGCGAGGAAAAGAAACAAGUGACCGGAACUCCCUUUUUGUAUGAGGAAUCUGAGCCUAGUGAUCUGAAAUUCCAAGAAACACUUUUCUUUGUAAGUAAAAUCAGUUACUAUUUUUGGUUAGCUUAAAACCAAUCCUUUUUCAUUCAAAAAUCUUUAUGUUUUCUUUUAAAGCUAACCUUGAAAUGAAAAGGCACCAAUUCAGCUUUAAAUUAAUAUCAUUUGCAAAGUGAAAACCCAUCCCAGUGAACGAUCCUAGAGCCACUAUACUAUAGUAGUUUUGUCUUUGCUACCCUAGUAUAUGGUGUAAUAGGUUAUAAAUUUUGUUGAUUACUCCCUCAAUCAAGGAGCACCAGCUGUACACGAAUCAGCUGAGACAUCAAUUGGGCACGAAUCAAAUGGCGCCGCUGCCGGGGAUCGAACCCCGAAUCAAAUGGUGCCAUUGCCACUGCCGCUGCUAGGGACGAAUCAUUAAAAACAAAACAAAAAUAAGUGGCGAUUCCAAGUCAUUUCUAAAAAAAAAAAUCAUAUUUUUCAUUAAAUAAAUAAAAAACGAAUUUGCCAUCGAGUGAGAACGCAUUGAGCAAAAAUGCGAGGUCCACAUAUUGUUAUUUUUAUUUAUAAAGAAUCGAAAUUUACUUUAUCAUUUAUUAAUUGGCAUGAAAUGUUUUGACUUGCCUUGAUUAAUAAGGACUUCCAUGGCUUACCUGAUAGAGUUGGGCCCUUAACGUUAUCCACUCUGCAAUGUAUCAUGCCCUUCCAAAGCUUAAUCAAGUCAACGGCUAAGGUGUAAUUUCAUGCAUUAAAUUAUUUUAAAAAAUGUUUAAUACUGCAGUCAAGCUCGUACUACAUAUACUCUAAAAUCAACAAUGUAAUUUUCUGCACUGAGCAAUUUCAUAAAAAUGGUUUUUGAGUAAAAGAGAUUUGGAUUUUGGCCUAUGGCCUAUGGACUUUCAAAACAGGGGGUUACUCCUUGCAUUAGCUUUGUCAGGAGCACAAACCUGACAAAGAAAGCAAUUGGCAACAUGUUGAAUUUAAGCCACAAGCAUAGAGAAUCUUCAAACUUUGCAGCCUCCCCAGGUUUUGUGGCAACUUGUGGAGUUUUGAACACUCACUGACAUUGAGAACUUCAAGAAAGCAUAAAUUACAAGUGCUUCCUGGAAGAGUCACAAGGUUUUGGCAUCUGUCCAGAUUCAAAAGUUCAAGCCUAUUCAAAUGUUCGAUUGAUGAUGGUAGCUCUUUUAUAGCCGUUCCGUUCAAGUGAAGCUCCCUUAAGUUUUCCAUAUUCUCCAAGAUUUCUGGAAAGUACUGUAAUUGUGAACAGUCAGAGCCAAAGAGAGAUUUUAGGGAUUUGAACUCCCGAAUGCUUGUUGGCAGACUCUCAAGGUUUUUGCACUCUCGCAAACAUAAGGUAUCAAAUUCAGAGGCAUGCUCAAUGGGUAGUAGGUUGAUUGUCUGACCCUUUAAACAAAGCUUUCGGUGUUCCACGUUCCUCUGACAUUCCACGCAGCUAGCAUCCACAUCCUCAGUCUGUACUAUUGGAUCUUGGGAGUAUAUAGGUUGAAGCCCACACUUGAGCACCUUAAAAUGAUUGCGAGAGCCCAUAAAUAGAGCCCCAAGAAACAUGGAUGGAUUGGUGUGACAGCUCUCCAGAAUAGCAGCCUUGGGAUAGAAUAUCACCCACAUUUGUUCUGAUGCACCUCCAUCAUGGUAGCAUUUACAAGUAGUGCGAAAACUGAGAGGUUGCACACACAGGGGAGAAAAUCCAUAUCCAUCAUGCAAUGACAAUUGACAUUCUAACUCAGUGGAGAUUGAAGAUUCAGCUUCAAAUAAAUCGUCAGAUUCAUUCAGGGCUUCGUCACCAGAUUCAUUCUCCGAAAAUGUAUGUGCAAAAUCAUUUUCUGGUAUGUCCUCACAUUCAUCGAGUGGAGCAUAAACACAGCAUAUAGCAAUUCCCAAGAAGUCAUUAUUUUCAUAACAACUCUGAGGAAGGUCCAUUGUGAUCUGAUAUCCCUCUCUCUGUUUCCUUAUCCACUUGGGAAUUCCACUGCUUCCCGGAACAACAAUACAGAUUCCAUGGCCAAUGAAGUCAGAAUCAGGGAGAAAUACUUCAUUUGAACUGCUCUUGUAUUUCAAAUCCUGUACAAAGGGACAAUGUAAAUCCAGUGGGUCUGUGCCAUUAUGUGAGUUUUUAUGAGAGAGUUUGUUAUCGGUUUUUGAUAAAUUGAUUCCCAGUUUUAACUUUCUUUGAUCUAUGCUCCUGAAUCUACUUAAUAUCCCUUUUAGAUGACGGAUAAUCAAUCAACAUGAAAGUGAGUGACAAGAUUAAGUGUGAAAACUGGAAGUGAGGGGAAACUGAAACUGAAAGUGAGUAGAAUAAGCAGAUCUGUUCUUCACUUGCAGUAGCUUCUUCUCCAUUCAGAUUCAGAGAUCUUAGAAUUGUAGCUUCAACUUAACUCUCAGAAUCUUAAAGACAAAGUUCGCUCAAGUUUCAAAAACUCACAGAAAAGUUUCUCCUCAUGUUUCUUUUAAUCCCAUGAGGCGACAGACAUGUAGCACACACUUACUGGCUUUUUGCCAUGCAAGUUUCAAGGUGGAGUGUCCAAUGAACUAAAACAUUCCCUCAAAUCCUAGUGGAAAUUCACACUAUAAAUUUCAGAAUUUGCUAAAGAAAAGUUUAAUUAAUUUUACCCAUGACUAAAAAGGCAUGUGAGGGCAUUUUAACAGCCUAUUAAUUAUUAUAUUAAACUACUAUUCUCAUUACUCAAACUCAUGAUCCUUCACAUCAUCACCACAUUUUGAAGAGACUUUCGUCAACUCUUCUAUGAAUGAAUUGAUGUUUAAGGAGGCAUAAUAAACUUUUAAUUGAAUUUAACAUUAUUUCUAUCCUUAUACUCAUCUUAAAUUAUUAUUUUUUUAUAUUCUUAUCAAAAUAAAUAAAAACUUAACAAAAAAAAUAAAGAUUUCAAAACAAACUUUAUUAGCAACACUUAUUUACAUCAUUCUUUAAAAAAAUAUUCAAAAACAAAUUUUUUUACAAUUAAAAAAAUGUGAUUUAAAAUUUAUAAAGAACAAAAUUUUUAGAAAAAUAUGGUAGUUGUUUGAAAUAAAAUAAAAGGGAAAUCAAAAUUCUUAGUAAAUGAAUAGUCAAAAAAACUGUAACAGAUAUGCAAAUGAGAAAAAAAAUAAUCAAUGUCAAGAAUGAGAAACAAUUUUUUCUUUUUUCUUUUCUUAUUUUAUGCAUUCAUUACCAUUUUUAAAUUAAUAAAUAAAGUUUUUCUCACAAAAUUUUAAAAUGGCAUGUAUGCUUCAAAAUUUAUAUAUUGUUAUUAGAUUUUUAUAAAUUUCAUUUAUAUCCUCAAAAUUAGAAUCAUUAAACUCACAUUUUAAAAUAAGAUAUCAAAUAGUUAUUUUUUCAUCCUUUAGCAAUAUCAAACGUUUUUUGUACUUUAAUAAAAAAAAAAAAAGCUAUUUUUUCUAAUUAAUGACUAUUUUGCAUAAUAUUUGUAUAAAUUAUUUAAUAUAUAAAUAUUACUUAUUUAAUAGUUUUUUUUUAAUUUCUUAUAGAAAGAGUAGUGCAUACAUAAUUCAAACAAAAGGUAAUUUUAUAUUGCAAAAAAGUUUGUGGAAAAAGGAAAUUUGAACAAGGAUUGAAAUUUAUAGAACCAUAUUGGACACCUAGUUCUAGGUUUGUCCCUUUCCAACAAUCAUGACUUGGUAGUAGCCUAAUCUCAAAUCUAACUUUGUCAGGCCCUUCCUUUACUAAGUCGAUCAAACAAGUUGUUAACAAACAGAAUAAGAUAUUUUUUCUUUUCACCUUGUUGAGUCUUCGAUAAUCUAUACACAUUCAGAGGGAUCCAUUAUGUUUCUUUUAGAAUAAUAUUGAUGUGGCAUAUGAAGCUUUAGUUGGUUGGAUGUAUCCCAUGUUAUGCAACUUCUUAAGUUGUUUCCUUUGUUCUUCUAAAUUAGGUAGUAUCAUCCUAUGGGACCUCCAUGGCAAGGGGCUUAGCUCCUGGCUCUAAGUCAAUCUUGUGCUCCCCUUCCCUUAUUUGUGUGAGUUUCUUAUGUAAUUUUAAUGACAUCUAAGGAUGGCAAAGUUUGAUACAAUUUUUCAACCAAACUUGAAGAAGCGUUAUUAGUGGGUUUGGAAAGUUCUAAUCUAUUUUACUUUUUAAAACAAAGUAAAAUAGAGAACAAUUUUUAAAGAACAAUUAGGAGUUGUUUUUACCAAUUUUUAAAAAACAAAAAAUAUAUAAACUCAUUUGACUAUAUUCUUUUAAACUUGUUUUUAAAUUAAAGAAUAAAAAAUAAUUUUUUAAAAUAAGUUUCAAAAAAUAUGACCAAGUCGGGGUUUAUAAUAUUAAAGAGGAAAAAAGUUAAUUUAAGAUUUUGCAUGCAGGUAAACAUCAGGCUGUAAAACUGGUUUACUAAGACACUCAUUUUAUUUAUAUAUUCUUCUAUGUGCAUGCAUUGACCAUGUGGUUAAGAUGUGUUGCACCGAAAUCUAAUGAUUAGCUGUAAAACGUUAAUUAAUCCGAGCAUACAUUUUUCUUUAUUUGUUUUGGUUUCUUUACAAGAAUGCUUCUUUAUGUAUUCUUGUUGAACCUAUAAAAUAUCAUCCAUAGACAUUCUUUUUGAAUAAUUAAGAACCGAGAUUUCUAAUUGGUUGGUUAUUAUUUUUAUCUGUAAGGAAUCGAAAUUUAGCUCAUCAUUUAUCGUAUGAAUAUCAUAUAGAUUUGAAAAGAAUUUCACACUUAGAAAUGUACCUCUCAGAACAUUUGAAGUUAAGAUGUUUUUGUCUUCUUCAAUUUGAUUGCUCAUUACGACUUUGAGAUUCAAAUUCCUUUUGAUGUAAAAAACAAACUUAAAUAAAUAAAAAGAAUUAAAAGAUAAGCAGAGCAAAAAAUUAAAUAGUGUGAGUUGGAAUGAAUAAAGUUUUAAUCAAAAUUGGAAAUUAAGGUGAAACAUCCUAAAUUAUAUACAAAAGCUCAUAUAAUAUUACACCAUAAUUUCUCUAAAUUAAUCUUAACCUUUUAGUGCAGUGUGUACAGUCAUUGCUUGUUUGUGGAUUAGAAUUAGUAUCUUCUGCUGCUGAUCUGGUAUCACAACUUCUCUGCUCAUCAUUGUACUCUAUCAUUGUCUGAUGGUCGCGCCUGGUGGCUUCUGUGUUGUCACAGCUUCUCCGAGCAUCACUACUGGUAUCUUCUGGGAUGUUUCUGUUUAUAACAUCAGGUGUAUAUAUAAGAUGGAACCCACACUCUUUCACUUCGACUGGUGUACCGUCCAAGCUAUGAAAUGAAGCCUUCAAACGUCUCCAUUCGUUCGACCAAUACUGGUUGCCAAUAACAACCUUGGGAUAAUAAGUCACACACAUUUGACUUGAUUCACCGCAAAUUCGGCAGCAAUAAGACCGGACAUCAUCCACGUGACAGCAUUCAGAUUGAUCACCACAGAUAUUGAGUUCGCAAUUCAACCAACCACAAGCCAUAGGAAUAAAAACAGAGUAUAAAGCAAAUCCUAAGAAGCCAUCUUUUCUGUACAAAUCCGUAGAAAGCUCUAUUGUUAUUUGAGAUCCUUUUUUUGGCUGGCUUAUCCACUCUGGAAUUCCAUCAUUUCCCGAAAUAACAACUCUGAUUGCCUUGUUCCAAUAGGAGCCGCAUUCAAAUUCCUGCACAGAAGUACAGUGUUAAUACUCUGUUCAUAAGGAAAAAGGGCUGAAUGUUAUGAAAAUCAUACCUCAAUCAUUGAUUUGAAGCAUUUGAACAGAGAAAAACCAAGUUGACUUGAUGGACUUGAUAAAGUUUCCAAGCAUGUGCAACUGUGGACAUCUAGAACUCGUAAACUUGGUGGAAACUCUGGAACUUGUAGAAGCCCCUGGCAGUGACUCAAUUCAAGGACUCUCAGUUUAGAAAGUUGAAUGAUGCCUGCAAGUAUGCUACUAAAACAGUCCUUGCUUAGAUUUAGACCUGAAGCGUACAAACCCUCUAAACAUUGCAAACUCCUCAGGUUCUCGGGAAAUCUCUCAAGUUUUGUACAGAAACUGACAUUUAGAAUUUUGAGAGUUUUCAAAUUACAAAAGGCCUCUGGAAGACUCACAAGGUAUUGCGAGAUUCAAAUAUUGAAGCCCUCUUAGAUAUUGAAUUGAUGCUGGUAGUUCUUCGAUAGCAGUUCCAUCUAAAUGAAGCUCUCUUAUAUUUUCCACAUCCUCGAGGAUUUCCGGAAAGCUCCUUAAUCGUGAACAGCCUGAGCAGAAGAGAGUUGUAAGGGAUUUCAACUCACAUAUGCUACUGGGAAGAAGCUCAAGGUUUUUGCAUUCUCGCAAACAUAACCUAUUAAGUUUAUGGGGACACUCAACAGUGGGUAGUUCAUUGAUGGCAUUUCACUUUAAACAAAGCUUCCAUAGGGAUUGCACAUCCUCUUGACAUUCCCGGCAAACGGUGGAUAUCAUUGCUUUACCAUGGUUCUGUUCAUGAUCAUGGGCAUAUAUAAGAUGGAUCCCACACUCUUCUACUUUCACUGCUUUACCUCUCAAGUAGCCACAAAAUGAAGCCGUCAACUGCCUCCAUUUAUUUGAGUGGUACUUCUCCUCAAUCUCAUGCUUAGGAUAAUAAAUCAUCCACAUACAAGGUACAACAUAGACGUGAAAUGAGGGAUAAAACUGGAGUUUAUCCACAAACUGAAUUUCAUGACCACGCAAAGUUAAACCAUACUCGAAGUAAGUUGCACCAUUCUCCAGUGUCUCCUCAGAUUCAUUAUCCAGUGGAUAAUAGACACAGUACAAAACAAAACCCAACAAGUCGUCAUUUUUAUACCAAUUUUGAGGAAGCUUUGCUACUACUUCAGCUCCCUUUUUGUGAUGGCUUAUCCAAUCUGGAAUUCCACAACUUUCUGAAAUAAUAAGAUUUACUCGGGCAAAAGGUUUUUCUAAAGGAUAAAUCUUGCAUUCCAAAUCCUGCAGAAAAUUUAAUUAACACUUAAAUCCCCAUGUCUCCACAAAAAAAGUUUUGGUCUAUGAAUAUCAUACCUGAAUCAAUGAUUUGAAGCAGUUGAAUAGAGAAGACCAGAGUAGACCUGAAGAAGUUUCCAGCCGUUUGCACAAAUGUAUAUCUAAGACACGCAAACUGGAUGGAAGUGCUGGAAUUUGUCGAAGCUCUUGACAGUUACCCAAGACAAGGAGUCUCAGCCUAGAAAGUUGAUUGAUCCCAGCAGGUAUGCUCCUAAAAAGAUUCCCGAAUAGAAAUAAUUCUUGCAGAGAUGAUAGCUGGCAAAUUUCAGUGGGGAUUCCUCCUUCAUCUAUACCACACACACGUAGAUCUACAACUUCCAAGGAGUACAAGCAGCAAAUAUCACUCAGGACUACUCCUUGCAUUAGCUUUGAGUAAAUAAGAUCUAACUCCUUUAAGGAGCAUAAACCUGACAAAGAAAGCAAUUGGCAACAUCUUGAAUUUAAGCCCCUAGCACGGAGACACUUCAAGCUUUGCAGCCUCCCCAGGUUUUGUGGCAAUUUGUGGAGUUUUGAACAGUAAUUCACAUUGAGAUCUUCAAGAAAGCGUAAAUUACAAAUGCUUUCUGGAAGAGUCACAAGGUUUUUGCACCUCUCAAGAUUCAAAACUUGAAGCCUAUUCAAAUGUUCGAUUGAAGAUGGUAGCUCUUUUAUGGCCGUUCCGUUCAAGUGAAGCUGCCUUAAGUUUUCCAUAUUCUCCAAGAUUUCUGGGAAGUACUGUAAUUGUGAACAGUCAGAGCAAAAGAGAGAUUUUAGGGAUUUGAACUCCCAAAUGCUUGUUGGUAGACUCUCAAGGUUUUUGCACUCUCGCAAACAUAAGGUAUCAAAUUCAGAGGCACACUCAAUGGGUGGUAGGCUGAUUGUCUGACCCUUUAAACAAAGCUUUCGGUGUUCCACAUUCCUCUGACAUUCAGCGCAGCUAGCAUCCACAUCAUCAGUCUGUACUAUUGGAUCUUGGGCGUAUAUAGGUUCAAGCCCACACUUGAGCACCUUAAAAUGAUUGCGACAGCCCAUAAAUAUAGCCCCAAGAAACAUGGAUGGAUUGGUGUGACAGCUCUCCAGAAUAGCAGCCUUGGGAUAGAAUAUCACCCACAUUUGUUCUGAUCCACCUCCAUCAUGGUAGCAUUUACAAGUAGUGCGAAAACUGAGACGUUGCGCACACAGGGUAGAAAAUCCAUAUCUAUCAUGUAAUGACAAUUUACAUUCUAACCCAGUGGAGAUUGAAGAUUCAGCUUCAAGUAAAUCGUCAUAUUCAUUUAGGGCUUCGUCACCAGAUUCAUUCUCCGAUGUAUGUGCAAAAUCAUUUUCUGGUAUGUCCUCACAUUCAUCGUGUGGAGCAUAAACACAGCAUAUAGCAAUUCCCAAGAAGUCAUUAUUUUCGUAACAAUUCUGAGGAAGGUCCAUUGUGAUAUGAUUUCCCUCUCUCUGAUUCCUUAUCCACUUGGGAAUUCCACAGCUUCCCGGAACAACAAUACAGACUCCAUUGCCAAUGAAGUCAGAAUCACGGAGAAAUACUUCAUUUGAACUGCUCUUGUAUUUCAAAUCCUGUACAAAAGGACAAUGUAAAUCCUGUGGGUCUGUGCCAUUAUGUGAGUUUUUAUGAGAGAGUUUGUUAUCAGUUUUUGAUAAAUUGAUUCCCAGUUUUAACUUUCUUUGAUCUAUGCUCCUGAAUCUACUUAAUAUCCCUUUUAGAUGACGGAUUAUCAAUCAACAUGAAAGUGAGUGACAAGAUUAAGUGUGAAAACUGGAAGUGAGGGGAAACUGAAACUGAAAGUGAGUAGAAUAACCAGAUCUCUUCUUCACUUGCAGUAGCUUCUUCUCCAUUCAGAUACAGAGAUCUUAGAAUUGUAGCUUCAACUUAACUCUCAGAAUCUUAAAGACAAAGUUCGCUCAAGUUUCAAAAACUCACACAAAAAUUUCUCCUCAUGUUUCUCUUAAUCCUAUGAGGCGAGAGACAUGUAGCACACACUUAUUGGCUUUUUUACAUGCAAGUUUCAAGGUGGAGCGUCUAAUGAACUAAAACAUUCCCUCAAAUCCCAGUGGAAAUUCACACUAGAAAUUGCAGAAUUUGCUAAGGAAAAGUUUAAUUCAUUUAAUCCAUGAAUAAAAAAGUAUGUGAGAGCAUUUUAACAUCCUAAUACUUAUUAUAUUAAACUAUAAUUCUCAUUAUUUAAACUCAUGAUCCUUCACUUCAUCACCAAAUUUUGAAGACACUUUUGGCAUCUCUUCCAUGAAUUAAUUGAUGUUUAAGAAGGUAUAAUAAACUUUUAAUUGAAUUUAACAUUAUUUCUAUCCUAAUACUCAUCUUAAACUCUGUUUUUUUUUUUUUUAUACUCUUAUCAAAACAAAUAAAAACUUAACAAAAAAAUAAAGAUUUCAAUUACUCCGUGUUCAAAAGGGAAAAUGGCUAAAUGUCAUGAAAAUCAUACCUCAAUAGUUGAUUUAAAGCAUUUGAACAGAGAAACACCAAGUAGACAUGAUGGACUUGAUAAAACUUCCAAGCAUGUGCAACUGUGGACAUCUAGAACUCGUAAACUUGGUGGAAGCUCUGGAACUUGUAGAAGCCCCUGGCAGUGACUCAAUUCAAGGACUCUCAGUUUAGAAAGUUGAAUGAUGCCUGCAAGUAUGCUACUAAAACAGUCCUUGCUUAGAUUUAGACCUGAAGCGUACAAACCCUCUAAACAUUGCAAACUCCUCAGGUUCUCGGGAAAUCUCUCAAGUUUUGUACAGAAACUGACAUUUAGAAUUUUGAGCGUUUUCAACUUACAAAUGGCCUCUGGAAGACUCACAAGGUUGCUGCAAUCUGCAAGAUUCAAAUGUUGAAGCCCUCUUAGAUAUUGAAUUGAUGCUGGUAGUUCUUCUAUAGCAGUUCCAUCUAAAUGAAGCUCUCUUAUAUUUUCCACAUCCUCGAGGAUUUCCGGAAAGCUCCUUAAUCGUGAACAGCCUGAGCAGAAGAGAGUUGUAAGGGAUUUCAACUCACAUAUGCUACUGGGAAGAAGCUCAAGGUUUUUGCAUUCUCGCAAACAUAACCUAUUAAGUUUAUGGGGACACUCAAUAGUGGGUAGUUCAUUGAUGGCAUUUCCCUUUAAACAAAGCUUCCAUAGGGAUUGCACAUCCUCUUGACAUUCCCGGCAAACGGUGGAUAUCAUUGCUUUACCAUGGUUCUGUUCAUGAUCAUGGGCAUAUAUAAGAUGGAUCCCACACUCUUCUACUUUCACUGCUUUACCUCUCAAGUAGCCACAAAAUGAAGCCGUCAACUGCCUCCAUUUAUUUGAGUGGUACUUCUCCCCAAUCUCAUACUUAGGAUAAUAAAUCAUCCACAUAUAAGGUACAACAUUGCCGUAAAAUGAGGGAUAAAACUGGAGUUUAUCCACAAACUGAAUUUCAUGACCACGCAAAGUCAAACCAUACUCGAAGUAAGUUGCAUCAUUCUCCAGUGUCUCCUCAGAUUCAUUAUCAAGUGGAUAAUAGACAGAGUACAAAACAAAACCCAACAAGUCGUCAUUUUUAUACCAAUUUUGAGGAAGCUUUGCUACUACUUCAGCUCCCUUUUUGUGAUGGCUUAUCCAAUUUGGAAUUCCACAACUUUCUGAAAUAAUAAGAUUUACUCGGGCAAAAGGUUUUUCUAAAGGAUAAAUCUUGCAUUCCAAAUCCUGCAGAAAAUUUAAUUAACACGUAAAUCCCCAUGUCUCCACAAAAAAAGUUUUGGUCUAUGAAUAUCAUACCUGAAUCAAUGAUUUGAAGCAGUUGAAUAGAGAAGACCAGAGUAGACCUGAAGAAGUUUCCAGCCGUUUGCACGAUUGUACAUCUAAGACACGCAAACUGGAUGGAAGCACUGGAAUUUGUCGAAGCUCUUGACAGUUACUCAAGACAAGGAGUCUCAGCCUAGAAAGUUGAUUGAUCCCAGCAGGUAUGCUCCUAAAAAGAUUCCCGAUUAGAAGUAAUUCUUGCAGAGAUGAUAGCUGGCAAAUUUCAGUGGGGAUUCCUCCUUCAUCUAUACCGCAGAAAGAUAGAUCUAACACUUCCACGGAGUACAAGCAGCAAAUAUCACUCAGGACUACUCCUUGCAUUAGCUUUGAGUAAAUAAGAUCCAACUCCUUUAAGGAGCAUAAACCUGACAAAGAAAGCAAUUGGCAACAUCUUGAAUUUAAGCCCCUAGCACGGAGACGCUUCAAGCUUUGCAGCCUCCCCAGGUUUUGUGGCAAUUUGUGGAGUUUUGAACAGAAAUUGACAUUGAGAUCCUCAAGAAAGCGUAAAUUACAAAUGCUUUCUGGAAGAGUCACAAGGUUUUUGCACCUCCCCAGAUUCAAAACUUGAAGCCUAUUCAAACGUUCGAUUGAAGAUGGUAGCUCUUUUAUAGCCGUUCCAUUCAAGUGAAGCUGCCUUAAGUUUUCCAUAGUCUCCAAGAUUUCUGGGAAGUACUGUAAUUGUGAACAGUCAGAGCAAAAGAGAGAUUUUAGGGAUUUGAACUCCCAAAUGAUUGUUGGUAGACUCUCAAGGUUUUUGCACUCUCGCAAACAUAAGGUAUCAAAUUCAGAGGCACGCUCAAUGGGUGGUAGGCUGAUUGUCUGACACUUUAAACAAAGCUUUCGGUGUUCCACAUUCCUCUGACAUUCAGCGCAGCUAGCUUCCACAUCCUCAGUCUGUACUAUUGGAUCUUGGGCGUAUAUAGGUUCAAGCCCACACUUGAGCACCUUAAAAUGAUUGCGACAGCCCAUAAAUAUAGCCCCAAGAAAAAUGGAUGGAUUGGUGUGACAGCUCUCCAGAAUAGCAGCCUUGGGAUAGAAUAUCACCCACAUUUGUUCUGAUCCACCUCCAUCAUGGUAGCAUUUACAAGUAGUGCGAAAACUCAGAUGUUGCACACACAGUGUAGAAAAUCCAUAUCUAUCAUGCAAUGACAAUUGACAUUCUAACUCAGUGGAGAUUGAAGAUUCAGCUUCAAGAAAAUCGUCAUAUUCAUUUAGGGCUUCAUCAUCAGAUUCAUUCUCCGAUUUAUGUGCAAAAUCAUUUUCUGGUAUGUCCUCACAUUCAUCAAGUGGAGCAUAAACACAGCAUAUAGCAAUUCCCAAGAAGUCAUUAUUUUCGUAACAAUUCCGAGGAAGGUCCAUUGUGAUCCUAUUUUCCUUUCUCUGAUUCCUUAUCCAGUUGGGAAUUCCACAGCUUCCCGGAACAACAAUACAGAUUCCAUGGCCAAUGAAGUAAGAAUCAGAGAGAAAUACUACGUUUGAACUGCUCUUGUAUUUCAAAUCCUGUACAAAAGGACAAUGUAAAUCCUGUGGGUCUGUGGCAUUAUGUGAGUUUUUAUGAGAUAGUUUGUUGUCAGUUUUUGAUAAAUUGAUUCCCAGUUUUAACUUUCUUUGAUCUAUGCUCCUGAAUCUACUUAAUAUCCCUUUUAGAUGACGGAUUAUCAAUCAACGUGAAAGUGAGUGACAAGAUUAAGUGUGAAAACUGGAAGUGAGGGGAAACUGAAACUGAAAGUGAGUAGAAUAACCAGAUCUCGUCUUCACUUGCAGUAGCUUCUUCUCCAUACAGAUUCAGAGAUCUUAAAAUUGUAGAUUCAACUUAACUCUCAGAAUCUUAAAGACAAAGUUCGCUCAAGUUUCAAAAACUCACAGAAAAAUUUCUCCUCAUGUUUCUCUUAAUCCUAUAAGGCGAGAGACAUGUAGCACAAACUUAUUGGCUUUUUUCCAUGCAAGUUUCAAGGUGGAGCGUCUAAUGAUAUAAAACAUUCCCUCAAAUCCCAGUGGAAAUUCACACUUGAAAUUGCAGAAUUUGCUAAGGGAAACUUUAAUUCAUUUCAUCCAUGAAUAAAAAAGUAUGUGAAGGCAUUUUAACUUCCUAAUAAUUGUUAUGUUAAACUAUAAUUCUCAUUAUUUAAACUCAUGAUCCUUCACUUCAUCACCACAUUUUGAAGAGACUUUUGUCAUCUCUUCCAUGAAUUAAUUGAUGUUUAAGGAGGUAUAAUAAACUUUUAAUUGAAUUUAACAUUAUUUAUAUCGUUAUACUCAUCUUAAACUAUUAUUUUUUUUAUACUCUUAUCAAAAUAAAUUAAAACUUAACAAAAAAAAAAUUAAAGAUUUCAAAACAAACUUUAUAAAUUUAUCAACACUUAUUUACAUCAUUCUUUAAAGAAAUAAAUUUAUAAUUAAAAAAAAAAGAAGUGAUUUAAGAAUUAUAAAGAAGAAAAUUUUAAGAAAAAAUGUACUAGUUAUUUGAAAUAAAAUAUAAGGGAAAUCAAAAUUCUUAGUAAAUGAAUCCUCAAAAAAUUGUAACAGCUAUGCAAAUGAGAAAAAAAAUUAAAAGUAAAAAAAAAUUAUCAAUGUCAAGAAUGAGAAACAAUUUUUUUCUUUUUCUUUUCGUAAGUUUUUUUAUUCUUAUUUAAUGUAUUCAUUACAAUUUUUAAAUUAAUAAAUAAAGUUUUUAUCACAAAAUUUUAAAAUGCCAUGUAUGCUUCAAAAUUUAUAUAUUGUUAUUAGAUUUUUAUAAAUUUCAUUUAUAUCUUCAAAAUUACAAUUAUUAAACUCACAUUUUAAAAUAAGAUAUCAUAUAGUUAUUUUUUCAUCCUUUAGCAAUAUAAAACGUUUUCGUACUUUAAUAAAAAAAACUUUUUUUUUUCUAAAUAAUGACUAUUUUGUAUAAUAUUAGUAUAAACUAUUUAACAUAUAAGUACUACUCAUUCAAUAGUUUAUUUUUUUAAUUUAUUAGAGAAAGAGUGGUGCAUAUAUAAUUCAAAUAAAAGGUAAUUUCAUAUUGCAAAAAAGUUUGUGGAAAAAGGAAAUUUGAACAAGCAUUGAAAUUUAUAGGAACAAUAUUGGAAACCUAGUUUUAGGUUUGUCCCAUACCAACAAUCAUGACUUGGUAGUAGCCUAAUCUCAUAUCUAACUUUGUCAAGCCCUUCCUUUACUAAGUUGAUCAAACAAGUUGUUAAAAAGCAUAAUACAAUAUUUUUCACUUUCACCUUGUUGAGUCUUCGAUAAUCUAUACACAUUCAAAGGGAUCCAUUAUGUUUCUUUUAGAAUAAUAUUGGUGUGGCAUACGAAGCUUUAGUUUGUUGGAUGUAUCCCAUGUUAAGCAACUCCUUAAGUUGUUUCCUUAGUUCUUCUAAAUUACGUAGUGCCAUCCUAUUGGACCUCCAUGGCAAAGGGCUUAGCUCCUGGCUCUAAAUCAAUCUUGUGCUCCCCUUCCCUUAUUUGUGUGAAUUUCUUAUGUAAAUUUAAUGGCAUCUAAGGAUGACAAAGUUUGAUACAAUUUGUACGUCAACCAGACUUGAACCCGAGCAUUUUUAGUGAGUUUGUGUUUCCAUACCGUAAGUUGGAUUCAUGAAAGUCUCAGACUUGAAUCAAUUGAAUUAAAAAUAAAUAUUCAUGUUGUUAUUAAUUUAGUUUCUUUUACUUAGUUUUACUAAAUAAAAUUUUAUUCACAUAUUGUUUUUCACUUUAGGAUUUAAAUAAAAGUGAUUCAUUUAUCCUAGUAUUGACAAAUUCCAUAGCCAGACCUAGAGGAUGAUACUCGGAGUACUAUAAAAGUUGUAGUGACUUUUUCUCUGAUUUUUCUUAAUCAAAGUUACUACAUAAAAAGACUUAGUAUUUGAACAAUAGAGAAGAAUGGUCAAAAUUCAAGUAAAAUGGAAUGAUUAAUAUUAAUGAAUUUUUACCAUAAUAAAGAAUGAUACUUGAUUCUAGACUACUUAGGUAUGGAUUAAAAGAUUAACAUUAGAUAGAAUAACUCACGUAUAUUAAAGCAUUUUGCUAAGUUCUUUUUAUCCUUGAUCUUUUAUGAGAUUGAGCCAAUAAGGUUACACUUAAAAAUUUAAUGUGUUUGAAACACUCCUCUAAAAUCAAUCAUUCAAAUAUUAGAAAACAAGUAAAAUAUUUUUCAUAUGCUGAUUAAUAUACCCAAGGUAGUUCUUGAAUUAUCCUAACACAAAUAUCUUGCGAGUCUUAAUUUUGUCAAAUCAAUAUAUAUCUUUAGAUUUCUAAAGAAACUACUAUACUCGCGCACAUUCAUCCAUGAGUUAGGUAGAUUUUAUCUCUUGUAAGAGUUCAAAGAUACUGCAAACAAAAUUCACUGUACAAUUAAUAUCUCUCAAUGGUAUGUUAUUCAACUAAAACUAGUAGUGUCUUAUGUUAAUGGGCUUAGUUUUAUAAUGUAAAACUAGAUCUUUAAUACAUUAAUAGCUCUCAUGUUAUCACAAGGCAUAAUUAUGAUUUAUCACUCUCACCAUAAUCCUUUUAACAUACGUUUUAUCGAAAGUAAUUGCUUGGUUUGUUAGCUUCUUAUUAAGCUAGGCAACUGAGCAAUUAAAAUAUAGAAACAUCCCCUAUAAGUGUUCUUCCGUUCUUUAGACCUUCCAUCCCUAUUCAACAUUUGUAUGAAAAAUGUUGUCUACAAAUAUAUUGGUGUAAUACCACAAUCCAAGUUUAUAAGUACCAACCACAAAUAUAAUGAUUCUAUUAACAACUCCAAGGUGUGAUUUCUUAGGAAGAUUCUUAUCACGCAUAAACUCCAGUUCUAUAGGUUUAUCCAGCCUAAAUGUCAUUACAUAAAGAAGGCUUCCAACCAUUGAUCUACAGGUGGAUAGAUUUACAAACUUACCACUCCCAUCUCUUGUAAAAAUUUUCCUACAACUUUUCUAUUGUCGUGACCUAGCUAAGUUCAGCCAUUUUAAUUUAGCUUAUAGAGAGGGCCCCAUCGCUAACAUUUCCAAUCACAUUGUUGAUAGGAUGAUCACUAAUUUCUCUAAUUUUGCUCCAUGUGGAUGUUUGCUUGAUUUUCAUUGAGUUCAUUCACAUUCUCAAUCAUUCAACUCUUUUUUCUCACCUAAAUCUAGAAUGUUUGAUGAAAUAUCCUUAAGAAAAACACAUUAUUUUCUUUACUUCCUUAGUCAUCUAUCAAUACAUUGAUCGAUUCAAUUACAACUCUUUAAUUAUUAAAGAAGAUCUUAAAGGCUUUAAGCCAAGUUGAGUAUCUAACAAAAAUUCUUUCAACAUGCUUUGAUUCAAACAUCCCUAAUUUUUUAGAAUUGUUUGGAUAAGACAUUGUUCCUAAAAACUAUAUUUUACAUUAAGCUUCCUACUUGUCUAAACAUCAUAGCAAGUCCUUUUGGUUCUAACGUAUAGGUGGACUCAAUUAGAAGUACAAGAUGUUGUGUUUAUGGGUUAACCUGACAAGUUGUUAGAGCCUUUGGAUUAAUCCAUUCUAAACCUAGGAUCGUUGGGGUGUUUGCAAAAACUAUCUUAAGGAUCUUUAGAUCUACCCAACAAAAGCAUAUACAUGAAAAAAAUACACCUGCAAACUUUAUGUUUCCAAAAUGAUUUCAGUCUAUGAAGAAGCUAGUGCAAAUCUCAAAAACCAAGAGAUCUUUUGCUCAAUGGCUCUCUUUCCUGGAUCUAGGCACUUGUAGAUGGUGAAAUCCUCAUAGAAGGGUGGAUGCUAAGGUUCCUCUCUCUAGAUUCUAAAGAAAUGGAAGAAGAAUAAAAAAGUCCUAACCCUUAAAUGGGUUUAUAUAGGAUUCCCUAUGGGCUUAAGUGACUUGAGUCUAUCUUAGGCUUAGGGGUCGCUAAAAAAAGCCCACUUGGAUCUUAGUUAAAUAAUUAGCCCUAUUAAGGUCCAAUUAAUUAAUUAUCCUUUUCCAAAAACAUCAUUCAUAAGAUCUAAAACAACUUUGCAUUUUUACCAAAACACCCUUAUGCACAUGUAUGAAUAAAUAACCUAUACAUCCCUUAAGUAAUGUGUCACAUAGAAGUAUGAACUCAAGUAGGGACCAUUAGGAGUGGUAGGAAAAUAGUGGCUCCUGUAUAAUUUAAUUCUAAAGUUGACUUAACAUCCUUCUACAAAAAAUCAAUUGCACUCUAAUAUCCUAUGAUAUUACAUUAAUAUAAAAUACAUGGGUUUGUGACCUACUAACGACUAAAAGCUAGCUCCUCAUGAAUUGGCGUCCAUAAUAUAACAAGGUGAACACUUUCAAUCUUUUAAGAUUAACUUUACAAUCCUUAUGUUAUAGAUCAUCCCAUUAAGUGAUAAAUUGACAUACUAUAACCCACAACGAACAUAUGGUAACUUCUACUAAACGAAUUACUGCAACCAUAGAUUUUGUCAUGACUACCUCAAUAGCUAAUGUCAUAAUUCAUUGUAAAUUUUGUCUAAUGUGCAAUAAUAUAUACUAAUGCACUCACCUUAGAAACCUCAUCCGAAUGACUAAGAUAAGUCAACUCGCUAAUUAGAAGGUAGUGCACUAUAAUCUCAAAUGGAUUGCCUAAAUUCAUCAACCAACUAUGAACAAAUCAUAAAUCUUGCAAGGAACCCAUGACUUGAAUCUUUCACAUAACUGCUAAUGUACUUAAGUUAUGUAUAAUACCACUACUGCAUGCAUGAAUACUCAAAUCAAUAUCAAUGUGAACAUGGAUAAAUUAGUGGAAACUCAAGCCUAACGGUGUUACAUCAUCUCUUGCUUGCAAGGGCUUUACCUUAACACCAAUAAUCAGGUAGGUUCUUGAAAUCCAAUAUAAUAUGUGCUAUUUCUUGGAGCACUUUAUUUUUCCUUUCAAUAACUUCAUUUUCUAUGGAGUUUUAGAUGUUGAAAGCUCUUCUUUAAUUUCCUUCUCACAAAAACUCUAGAAGUUAGAAUUACAAACUCAUUUCCUCUAUUAUUUCUUAUUUUUCUUACUUAAAAUUCAUUUUUAUUCAUCAUUUGAAAGCAUAACACUUUGAAUUUUAGGAUGUACUUCUUUCUUUCUAAGCAUUGCACUCUCAUAGGACCUAUGAUGAAAAUAUCGUUAAUCAUGGAUAUAUCGAUACUUCGAUUUUACGGAUAUAUCGGAGAUAUAUCGACGGAUAUUUUGGAAAAAAAUAUCGAUAAGUCUAAAACUGAUCAGAAUUUGUAAAAAUAUAAGAAAAACUUCAUAAAAAUGUAAUGAGAAGUAUAAUGAUAUUUUUAAACUGUUUUAUUAAAUAAUUUGAUAUAUGUAUAAUAUGAUUUAUCAUAUUUGAUAAUAAUAUCGUAUGCAUCGACAAAAAUAUGAAUUUUAUAAGUGUACAUUUAUUAUUAAAUUACAUUUAAUAUUAUGAUAUUUGAUUAUAAUAUGUAUAAUUUUAAAAUAUAUAUUAAUAUUAAAAUUAUGAUACAUUUAAUUCAAUUGUAUUAAACAAUAUAAAAUAAAUUAUAAUAUAUGUACAAUUUUUUAAUAUUUAAUUAAUUAUUAAUGAUAUUAAAAGCACUAUGAAGAAAAUUUUAUAAUUUUAAUAUUUUUGGUAAUCAAUUAAAAGAAAAUUUUGCAUUUAAUUAUAAAAUAAUUAUAAUUAAUUUGCUCUUUAAAAUAUUUUUUUUAAUAUUUUCCUUAUAUAAUAAGUUUAACUAUAUAUAUGUUUAGUACAUAUCAUAUAAUAAGGGUAAGUUAGCUUGGAUGGCAAGUGGGUUGAACCUCAAACCUUUUGGUUUGGGGUUCGAAUCCCCUCAACUUCAAAAUGAAGGGUUAUCGCUGAUUUUUUUGGAUUUCUCUCGAAAUUUCGUCAGAUCGAUAUUUCUCCAUGAAAUAUCGUAUCGAUACCCUCCGAUACAUGAUACAUUGGCGAUAUAUUGCCAACAUAUCGCAAUAUUUUCUUCCUUGCAUAGGACCCAUUAAAUCCAUAUGUAACAUCUCUAAGAGCCUAGAAAAAGAGAACAUCAUUUUUCUAUCACUCAUGUGAAUUCAUUGUCCUAGGUAGGACAAAUAGGAUUUUUAGGCUUUCCUAAAUGGGAAUUGCUUUAAUUAGUUCUUUAUUUGUAAUCCUAGACAAAUCAUUAGAGUUUAAAUGCGCUAUCAUACAAUGCUACAUGUCUUUGGAUGUAGAUUUCACAUUUUACAACUAUGUGCACUAUAGAUGAUGAGGAAAAAGUAGAGAGGUGUACAAAAGCAUAACAAAAAUUAUCAAAAAUUCUAUUUCUUACCAACACACAUCCUUGAAUAGACACUGAUUUUGAGUAAAAUGAACAAAGCACAUACAAUCACAAAUUUAACUUGCGUUAAUUAAGUUUGCUUUCAAUCACUCAAUAUAUAGUAACUCCUCGAGUAUAGGUAAAUUUGGACCUUCUAUGGUACAUUUCGCUUUCAAGUUGGUUAUACAUAAUGCAACCAUCCCCAAAUACAACCAAGCUUCCCUUUAUAGGUUCAAACAUGGAGAAAGACUUUAAGUUCAUUGUUGCUUUUACCAUUCCCAAAUACAACCAAACUCCUAUGAGUUCAAAAUUCAAGAAAGAUCUAAGUUCUCUCUCAUACAACUAGAGUAGCCACUCUCAAAAUCCAAAACGUGUUUUUCUCUAGCUCUUAGGCCCUAUGAUCAACUAAGGCUUUUAGGUUCUCCGUAACCCAGAUUUUCUUUCCAAUGGGCGAUUUAAAACCUAUUCAAGAAUUGUUUUUAAAAUUAAUUUUUCAGUUCUUAAAAAUAGAAACCUAUUUUCUAGACUAAAACCAUGUUUGGCAACUUUUUGACAUAUUAUAGUUUGUUGAGAAUUUGUUCUGAAAAUAAGGUUUCUCCUAAUAACAUAUUUUAAUUGCUUUCAAUUGUUUUCAUUUAUUUUAUAGGGUUGUUUUAAGAAAAUAAUAAUAAAAAUAUAAAGAAUGAUGAAACAUAAACUAAAAACAAAAGUUAUUUUUAAGAAAUAUUUGAAAAUACAAAAAAUAUAUUAAAAAUGUUCUAAGUUUUUAAAUAGGCUUUUAUUUUAGAAGACAUUAGACCAACUAUUUUUGAAAACUUUUUUCAAUAACGGUUUUUUGAAGAAUUAUUUUCAAAAAAAUUCCUAAACAAACCCCUAACCUCUGAGGAUCUAAAACUUUGCACUAAGUUUGGCUUACAUUCAACUUCUUUUAUGGACAAAGCAAUGGAGCUAGAACAGAUUUCUUUCAAUUUAGUCAAUUCUUAUUUACGUGGCUCAUAAUCAGAUUGUAAGACAUUCAAUUUUUUUAACAAGGCACCAUGCUCAUUUUCAAGGUAAGAGAUUUUUUUCAAGCAAGGAAAUCUUCUCUCAUACUUCUUUUAUUCUCAUCCAACUUUCACAAUUUUCAUCUUAAGGCACUGAUCAUACAAGGCUUCCUAGGCAAUCUCAAAUUACAACUUUUCUUCCAAAUAUGUUGUAUCAUGAGAUGAACCUUCAAAAUUUUCAGAUUCAAGAUCAGUUUCAAAUUUAACAUUUUUCUUUUCAUUGCGAAGUGAUAUAGAAGGUUACAAGUAUAUCAACAAUUUCGUCAAGCAUAUCGUGCUCUAAAAGACACAAAUAUCAUCAACAUCAUGUGAUAAUAAUCAUAAUUAUGUUUAUGCAUGUUUCUAGCAAAUUAAUGCAAUGAAAUUUGUACACUCUUCAUCAAAAUCAUACCAAAUUACUUCUAUGACCUUAUCCUUCUGACAUUCAAGUAAGUGACCUUUCUCCACACAGUAGAAACCUUGAAUCAACUAGAUCUUUUUUGUGUUUUUUUUUUCUUUUUAUCACAUUUCUUUUCCCCUGUUUAUGGUCUCAAAUAGGUUAUCCUCUGUUUCUUGAAGCUUUUUGAACUUUUUGAAACUUUAUCAAGCCUAUAAAUUUCAAAUAUUGGUCAUUUUUUAUUCCUAUUCUGAUUUAAAUGCAUGUUCAUCUACUUUUAGUGCAAUAUUAAUGUUUCUUCCUCUUAGGAACAAUUGGGGUCAUCUCUAAUUGAAGGGAGCCAACUAUCUCAUCUAGCUUAAUUGAAUCAGCAGUGUUCCAUUCCUCUAUUGUUAUGACCUUAGGUCUAAAACGAACAGAGAAGAUCUUAACAGUUUUCAGGUAACCUUGGAAUCAAGUAAAGGCCUACAUAGAUUGAAAGUUAGCAUUCACAAUGUCCAUGAUUUCAAUAAUAUAUUCAAAAAAUAUUUUUGUUGUGAUCAUUUGAAAUUCAUUCCUUCACCUAUCCUACCUUUACAUAGUUUUACCUACCCUAGUGGAUAUAUAUCCUAUCUCUAUUUAGCACCAUAUGAGGAUAUCAACCAAAUUGAACAGAACUCCAAUCUCUGUUAGACUUCAUUUUAAGGAAGUAUAUCAGUUUUACCUUGGAAUGAGCAUAAUUAUCUCCUUUGAAGUAUGGAGGUCCACCUAUAGAGGUUCCUUCUCGGAGAAUUUCCAUCUUAAGAGAAUAUAGUUUAUCCGUAUUGAGAACAUGAGCAAACAUGUUUUGAUACAAUUUAUGAGUUUUUAAGAGAGUAUGCUAUGAACUUGAGAUCUCUUUUAGAUGAUCAAAUAACAUAUGCACAUGAAUGUCAUUGAGUGAUUAGCACAAGGUCACAAACCUCCCUAAUGAAAUCUCAACCAAAAAGCACACAAAUAUUGCACAAGAUAUAACAUAAAAAAAAUCUCUAAGUGGAGAAAGGAAAAAAAAAAAAAAACCAAUGGGUGCCUUUGUUGUUGCAAAUCCACUAUGAAUAUAAAUCCAGUUUUGCCUACAAUUCCCUCCACCAGUGAAAACAAAUGGUCUUAUAUGAUCAACUCCAUUUACUAUAGGGUUAUAAAGGAAACACUUGUGGGCUGGCAGGCAGUAGCUCCUCCCAACUCAUCAUAUUUCCAACCCCAUUUGCUCCAUCAAAUUCAUAAGAAGCUAACAAAACAACUAGCAUUUUAUAUCAUACAAUAUCUAUGCUAGUUAAUUUGCAUGGAAAAGACAAUUUCUACCCUAAAUAUGCCAACAUACAGGAAGACAUACAAUUUAUACAAACAUUGUACGCUAACACAAGAAAAUCAUACCUCACUUGCUGAUUUGAGGCAAUUCACCAGAGAAUGCAUAGGUGGCAAUGAGGUCCCAAUUGAGCUGUGCAUAUCUAACAGUCGCAGACUUGAAGGAAGCUCUGGAAUUUGUGAAACCUUCUUGCAGUGACUCAAGUCAAGGGCUCUAAGGUUAGAGAGCUGACUAAUACCCACAAGCAUGUCACUGAGGGUUCCUCCUUCCUCUGGAUUGCACCGACUUAGAUGUAAUACUUCCAGAGAGGAUAGAUGGAAAAUACAAUGGAAGACUCCUCCAUUUAGAUUGCAGUUUCUUAGACUUAAUUCUUUCAAUGCGUUCAAGCAGUUAUCACUCUUUAUUACUCCUGGUGUUAGAUUGCAUUGAUCUAAAUAUAGUUUCCUUAAGAGAGAUAAACCUGACAAAGAAGGCAAUUGACAACUGAGCGAAUUUAAAGAAAGAACCUCUAGACAUGGCAUUCUCUCCAGGUCCUCCGGCAAUCUGUCAAGUUUUGAACAGCCUUCAAGACUUAGAACUUCAAGAAAUCUCAAAUUACAAAUGCUGUUCGGGAGACCUUCAAGGUUUUUACAAUUAUCCAAAUACAAGUUGCGAAGACCUUCUAGAAGUUCAAUCGAUGAUGGUAGCUCUUUUAUAGCUGUAUUAUCUAAACUAAGCCUCUCUAGUUUUCCAAUACUGCGCUUGAUUUUUGGAAAACUAGUUAGUUGUGAACAGCCACUGCAAUGAAGUAUGAAAAGGUGUUUCAACUUAUGAAUGUCCCCAGGAAGAUUCUCAAGUCUUACACACCCUAUAAAAUUCGAGGAAAAAAAAAAGUUAGUUUAAUAACAACACUCUUAUAUGUGUGUGAACCUUAAGUAAAAUUAUACAACCUGAAAGAUUAAGUUCCUCCAAAUUUGGCACGUUUGAGAAAUUUGGUAGUUCAAUAAGCUGUUGUGAAUCAUUGAGAUUGAUGUACCUUAAAUUUCUAAGACACUGGAACAAAAUAGAAUUUCUAUUAAUAAAUCAAUUUUAACCAACUUUAAAAUAUUAUAAAACAAAAGCAUAAAUAAAUGAUUAUCAUACCAUGUUUCCUUUCCAAAGUCGUUUUAUGUUACUAUUGCUCAAACCGAGGAAAACAAGAUCAUUUGGAUGAAAGUUUGGUGGUAGAGAUUCUAAAGAAUAUCCAUCCCAACCGAGACAUGUCAAGUCAUCAGACGGAAAUACAAAAUCUUCAGGAAGUUGUUCUAUGCAAUUGUGGGAGAGGAUAAGCAAUCUAAGUCUAUUCAUCCUUUUGAAAGCUUUGCAUGUAAACUGUAUCUGUUCUGAUGUGUCCAUAUGAAAGAAUAUCCCUUCAAUUUUUUCAGUCCCCUAGAUAAUAAGAGUAUAAAAUUAGAAAAGCACGAUACAUGUAAAUCCUUACUAAGGUGAUAUAGAUGAAUAUAUAUAUAUAUAUAUCUUACCGUGUUUCUUUUCAAUACUCGAUAAAUAUCUGUAUGUCUCCAUAAUCUGCUCCUCUCUCCUGGCUCAUUAGGACAUUCUUCAUCAACAAUGCCCUUGCCCAUUUGGGCUAACAAAUCAUGCAUAUCUAUUGUAUUGUCCUCUAAAAUGGUUAUGAAACAUCUAUCAACGAGAACAUUUAUUCCACUUUCCGCUUCGCAUCCGGAACCAUCCAAUAUUCUUGAAACUGCUUCCACAUCACCUCCUUGAAAGAAACAUGCAAUGUCGAGAAAUAUCAUCUUUUGUGUAUAAUCCAAUCCAUCAAAACUUAUUUUAAGCACUUUUACAAUUUCCAUGUUAGGCACCUUUCCCAACUUCCGCAAUUCGCUUUUCCAAUCUGAUAGUCUCUUUCCAAAUAAUAGAGAACCCAAAACUUUAAGUGCUAAUGGAAGACCAUCAGCAUAUCGUACUACUUGAUGAGAGAGAUCUCCAUAACCUUCCUUCAGAUGAUGUUGUUUAAAGGCAUAAAGACAAAAAAGUUGAAGAGCUUCGUGAAAAUUUAAUUUCUCAACUUCAUACAUUUUCAUUUCAUGCCUAGUUAGCAAAUCUUUUUUCCUUGUAGUAAUGAUGAUUCUACUUCCUGGACCAAACCAAUUAUGCUUUCCAAUCAAGUGUUCUAAUUGUGUCAGCUCAUCUACAUCAUCCAGAAAAACAAGAACCCUUUUCGAGGAAAGCUUGUCCCUUAUUUCUUUGAUACCCUCAUGAACAUUCCUUAAAACUAUUUUCCUCGUUGUCCCUAGAAUAUCAUUAAGAAGUUGUUGUUGUAACUUAAGAAGACCACCAGAAUUUUCUGUGGAUUCUUUUCUGACAUCUGUGAGUAAGCUUACACUUUCGAAUUGAUUUGAGAUUCGGUUAUAAAGAGCAUUGAUGAUGGUGGUCUUGCCGAUACCACCAAGCCCAUAAACCCCGACCAUGCGAACAUCAUUCAACCCAAUCUCCAACAAUGAUAUUAGUCUUUCCAAACGAUAAUCCAUUCCGACAAUGUUCUCGGUAACAGCUAAAGUCUUAGGGAAGCUUCUAGGGACGUUCUCAAUAAUUUUAUCAAUAAGCUCUGUUUCAUACCUGCGAAUUGCAAAGCAUAAUGGGACAUGUGUACUGGCGCAUUAGGAUGAGUUGCAAAAAAUAAUAAAUUAUAUGAAAUAAAUUUAAUGAUGCCUAGUUUUCCAACUAUAACUUAGCAGGGCUAAAAGGAAUUUAAAUUAAAAUAAAAUAAACCACAUCUAUCAAACUACUCAUGAGUACAGUUUCAUUAUUCAAUAUAUAUGAUAGAAAUAAGAGAAGAAAAUGCAAAAUAUGAAUUGCAUUAUCAAAAGUGGAAAAAAAAACACUAAAAUAUUUUGUGUGUUAGCUUAUACUAUUCAAUCUUUUGAAAGGUUCAAAAUAAAGUUGAGUUGUCUAGAACAUUACUACCCUAUUUUGAUAAGGGAUUCCAUCAUAGGAUCAACUGCGCAUCCAAGCUUUUUAAUCUAAUAAUUUUACUACUGAUUAGAUGGUCAAGUUUAAAAUUUUAAUGAACAGAUCUUUAUUUUAUAAAUAAUAAAAAUAAAUAAAAAAUUAUAAAAGUUUAAAACUCACUUUAGCUUUAAGCGGUUAGUCAAAUAUCUCAUACUAAACAAGUUAGAUAUUUUUUAUAUCAGCAGAAAGAAAAAAGGACAGUGCUUCAAAUGACAAAUGAAGAGAAAUUACAAUUACCUGUCCUUCGCAUCAUAUCCGGCUAGAUUGCUUGCUUGCCUCAGGGCAAUCUUCCAUUUCCUUAUCUUUUCCUUUCUCUCCUCAUCUGCAUUCUUCUCAUGAUGGGUAAAUGCUUCUCCGUAAAUCUCAGUUUGGUUCCGCAGUUCAGACGGAUCUACAUGAUAGAAAAUUGGGAUAACUACCAUUUGUUCCCUUUCCUCUUUGCAUUUCAUGAUCUUGACAAGCUCUUCCAGACACCAUUUGGAAUGAGCAUAGGUUUUUGAGAAGACAAUAAUGGCACUCCUUGAUUCUUCAAUAGCUUUUAAGAGCUCUGGUGCAAUCUCUUCUCCCCUUGGAAGCUCUUCAUCAUCUCUGAAGGUAUGAAUAUUGUUACGAAUCAAAGCCGAGUAGAGGUGAUCGGUAAAGCUUUUGCGAGUAUCUUCACCUCUGAAACUCAAAAACACAUCGUAGCUCCACUGAGAGCGAGAAGUGAAAGAAGAAGAGGAUCUCUGGAUGCUAGGGGAGGCCAUGGUUGAACAGAAAUUGGAGGAAAAAUAAGGGCCUUCGGGUAUUCAGUGACUUAAUUCCCCUAGCCUUAAUGUGAAGUUUGGAUGUUGGUGGUGGGAUGUGCUUUUUCUUUCUCAAUUAUUUCUCCUUAGCUGUAUCCCUCUAGCUUUGAACUUUCACUUUUGUCCCUUUUGGCAGUCAACAAUGGCCGGCACUCUUCUCUCUGCAAUUUCCAAUUAAUUUCUAAAAUGUAAAAAAUAAAAAAUGAUCAAAUCCAUGUGGUCUUUACUUAGGUCAUAAGAUCGUGUGAACACACAUUAAAUUAAAGUUAUUCAAUUAAGUUUUGUCUUUUCCAUAAUUAGCAAUAUUACGGUAGAAAAUAAAGGUUUAUUAAGUUGAUAUGUCAAGUAAAGCUAACAACUUUGGUAUUAUAAGCUUGAUUUUUGUAGAUGGAAAAAUAUAAUGAGUCAUAUGACAAAAAAUAAAGAAAAUUUUGAUCUUGAAGAAUAGAAAGAAGCACAAAACCUUCAUGAAAGUUUAGGGAAGAAAGACCAUGCUCAAAACUCCAAAUUUAAAUUCUCACGGACUUUUCACAUUUUGCAGCUGGCUUUAUUAUUAAUAGAAGCACAUAAAUAAAUAUUGUAAUUAAAUCCCACUAAUUUAUAGGUCAUAAUGGUAUAUAUCGGUCAUCACAGUAAUUGAGUGGGAAGGUGGGUACCUGUAAAAAGAAUAGACCAAACCAAUCACCCUAAAGUACCUUUAUCAUAAAAGUCAUUGAGGUCCUAAUGGUAAUAAUGGUGGAUAUCUUUGGAAAGAGAAAACAAUCCUAAAUUUCAAAAGAACGUCUGUUUCUUGGCAAUUGUAUCCCCGACAGCCUUAUCUUUUUUUACUUUAUAUCUUUUUAUUAUUAUUAUCGUGAGGAUGGUUAAAGAUGAUAUUAGAUAUGUAAUCUUUCUAUGGUUUAAAAAUGAAAAAUGUGAGUGUUAAGUUGGCAUUUUUACCAUUUAGAAAAUACUUGAUUUUAAGAUCAUUAAUAGGAAGAAAUAAAGAGUUCCAAAAAAUAAAGAAGCUUUUAUUGACUAAUCUAGGCAACCCCUUUCUUGGCUUUUAAUUGUAUCUACUUUGUCGAAAAUCUCAGUCAUUCCUCCUUGUCUUCCUUUUGUUAUUCCUAAGUUCCAACUCUUUUUUUUUUUUUUUAAAUAAUAAUAUUAGUUUUAUGUUUUAAUGAAAUGGGUUGCAAAUUUGAAGAAAACAUAUUCUUGUGUAUUUAUUGACUAUGACCCUUUCUUCACAAAGGUUAACGUUAUUUACAUUCUCAAACUAAUCUUUGAUGAGUUUGAGUUUUUCUUUACUAACAAAACUUCUACCAUAUCUUUCUUGUAGGAACAAAGUCAAAUGACCAUAUUUUGAGACUUAUAUGAAUGGUCUCAACCAUCCAAUCCAAAUACCUACUCAACCCACAACUUCACUCCCACCAAACAACCUUUCGACUAUUAACAUUAUACUAAGAUUUCUUACCUUUGCUAUUCAAAUUAUCGUAAUAAUGUACAUCUUCUAUUUUAUAUUUUUAAUACAUUCCAUUUAAAUUUAACUUCUUACAUCCUUUAACACCUUAUUGUGCAUUUGUGGUUAUUUUUCUAAGCUGUUUUUUAACUUUCAUUGGUGGUUCAUUGUAAUUAUGUUGGUUACUGGGUUUUUUUAUUCUAUUUUAUGCAAGAGACAUUUUGAAAGGAUUAGGUGCCUUCCAAUCUUGAUUUUAGUGAUUUUUAAAUCUUAGUUUAGGACUUUGUUUUUGAUUGAUUUAUAACAUAUUUAGGUUUGUUUAGAAUUUUAAAACUUUAAUUGCAUAAAAUAGAUUCAAGAUUUGAAUUAAUUAAUAAUUGAUUUCAUUCUCCUUUAAAAUGUAGAAUAUGAUAAACGACUUGAUAGCAAAUUCAAACAAAUCUUUAUCCAAAUGAGAAUUUAUGUAAUCUAAUCAUUUUAUUAAAUAUCACCUAGUAAAUUAUAAAAAUAAAGAUAUUAAUCACAUUUGUUAAUAUGUUUUUUUUAAAUUGACAAAUUAUGAUGAAAUUAUAAUCUUUUCAAUAUUUUAUUAAUUAUUAAUUAAAACAUCACUAUAAUUAUUCAAUCCAUGGAAUAUAAAAUGAGUUAUUUUUAGUAAUAAUAAUAAUAAUGAUAAUAAUGAUAAUAGUGAUAAUAAUAAUAAUAAUAACUAAUCAUAUUUGAAUAACAUUUCAUCAAUUAUAUAUCAAAAUAAAGUUGUAUGUUUAUCAUAACCUAUGUUUUAAAACAAAAUAAUAAAAGUUAUAUUUCCCUUUAAAUGUAUUUACAUAUCUACCUCCAUAGUCCAUGGUAUUAAAAUAAUCUAAUAAAACACAGUAUCCCAUAACCGGGCAACAGCACAGCUGCUCCUAGCUUUAGCCCCUAGCAGCUGCAAUCAGCUUUUCCACUCUCUGUUACAGUCCAGCUUUGGCCGCCCAAGACGUACAUCUUUAAAAGUUGAUUUUAUUUUUUUUAAUUGAAUGUUUUUUUUUUUUUGUAACUCUUCUCGAUUAAUAAAUAAUAAUAAUAAUAAUAAUAAUAAUAAUAAUAAUUGGAUUUGGUUUUUAAAGUUGAGUAUUUUCUUUAACUAAUUGAUAUUAUAAAUAUAUAAAUAAUUUCUACAUUCACAUUUUAUAAAAAAUAAAAAUGUUUCAUUUUGAAAAUUUUAUGCAUUAUUUUAAAAUUUUCAAAUAAAGGAUUAUUUGUAAAUAUUUCUAAAUAUGUUUGAUUUCAAUAAUUGAUAAAUUAUAUAAUCAAAAUAUUAUGAAUUGGUAAAUAUCAAUUAUUGGAUUUUAUGAAGAUAAAAUUUAUGAUAUCAAAUAGUAAUGCAUUAUAUUUAUAAAUAGAUGUAUUUUUUCUAUUUUAAAUGUAAUUAACAAUAUAAAAAAUUAAUUAAUAAUGAUAUAUUUAUGAUAAUUUUUGUUUAAAAACAUUUAUAAUUUUAUUUAAAAUUAAAUUUCAUUUUAUAUUUAAUAAUUAUAUAAAAGAUAAAAAAAAUUUAAAAGUAAAUCAAACUAAUUUAUUUAUAAAAAAUUAUUAAUUUUCACUAUUUUACUUAUUUUACAUAUAUAUGUAUUGGGACUGAAAUCUGUUCUCCAUUCUCUCAUUCUUUCCUCCAUUUCUCUUUCGUUCCUAUUCUCUGUUUCCUUUCUCCUUGUCUUCAUUUCUCUUCUAACAUCCAAACUUUUAUUCAUGACGGUUAAACUAUUUCUCUUUUCUAAGAUCAAAACAUAACUCACUGAGGUUAAAAUCCAGAUUGUGAUUGUUAUAAAAAUUCCUAGUUAGGGUUUUAGUUUUAGUUUUAAUUUUUUUGUUCUUUUUUAUUUUUUGCAUUCUUGGUCUUUUGUGUUAUUGUUUAUGUUUUAUUUGGUUUAUGGGAAAUCCUAGAAUUUAUGAAAGUUUUGGCUUUGAAAUAUCCAAAAAAUAUUGAAAUAGAAAUGACCAAAAAAAAAAAAAAAAUUGUUGAAUAAUGUUGAGUUUUUGGUUGAAUUUUUGUUUGACCGAUUUUUUUAUUUUCCAUUUUCUGAUUUGCCCUCGUAGAGUAAAGAAUUUUCCUUCAUAGUGAAGAGAUGAGAACACUCAAGAACAUUGAUUGAAAAUACGAAAAACAUCUUAUUUUUUUUCUUUUUAGAACAUUGGCAAAAACACGGAAAACAACAUUUUUUUGUUUUUUGAAAACCAGACUUUAGAAAACACGAAGAAUACAUGGGAACAAAAAACACUCUCUUAUCAAACACAUUUUGUGUGUUUUUGUUCUCAAAAACAAAAAACUGUUUUUGAAAACAUUCACCAAACAUGCCCUAUUUUUUGAGGUAAUUCUUUUUAUUCUUUUUCUUUGCGGGGGAGGGGGAGGAAAUUUUGGCGAGCUGUUAGAAAAGGGGAUCUUGUGGCAGUUGGAGUUUAGGUUGCCUCAUGUUCUCUCUCCCUCUCUUUUUAUAUUUUAGUUUUUUUGCAAUAACUUGAACUCAUUUCCUUUGAGAAUUUCAUGUUCAUUUUCCCACACUUUGUUUUUGUUCCUAAAUUUAAUCUUGUGUUUAUGUCUAUCAAUUAGUUAUUUAGGUUGAGGAAAGGGGGCCGGGCCUUAGGUCUUCCCUUUUACCCUUGAAAUGAUCCUCUCACUUUGGGUGAUUAUUGAUUUAACUAGCUUAUAAUUUGGCCGUCUUUAUUUUUUAUUGAAAUCAUCAUACCUUGAUGUUUGGAAAUUGAAGAUUCAGGGCCCUUUUGAUGGACUGUCUAGUGGAGUGUGUGGGCAUAGGAAUGAAUUAACGGAGACGUGAAAGCUUUGAUCAGUCCAUGAAAUACAAAUGAAAGGUUAUCACCAAAAAUUAAGCAUGCGUGCAUUGAUAAUAGACAAGUAAAUGAGAGAAAAUGAACUUCAAAUCUUACUUGACAACGAUACUACUAUAAUGGGAUAUUCCUCAACAUAGUGGUUAUUACUUAAUUUGGUAUCAAUAACUAUGCUAAAACCUUGCCCAUUACUGAAAAUGGACAGGGAAUAAGCAAAAAUAUUAUAAUAUGUCUGUAAUUGAUUCCUUUCAUCAUAGUAACCCAUUGGCCAGAUUGGCUUAGUUAACUAAAUGAAAACCCGAUUUCUUAUAUUUCGAAUGAACCAAAAAGGAUACAGUAGUAAACAGCUAUGGAACCAAUAUGUAUGAGGAUAAAAAACAACAACAAUUUUGAUUGAAACUAAUCUUGAAAUAAUCAAUGGCUAAGUACAUCAGGUUGUGUUUAUAAAGUCCUAGUUCAUAAGCACUAAAUUCUAAUGCUAACACUCUCUCCAAGUGCUUUCAGUCUGCUGCUUCAAUACAAGUACUCUAUAUGUGCGCUUGAUAGUAACUUGCGCUUGAUAAUAACUUCUCGUGUCCUAUAUAUUUAUACCCGAUCAAGGGCUGCCAUUUUAUUAGAUUGUUGAGUAAUGACGCUGCUUGUUGAAGGAUUGUGAGACAGAACAAUCUCAUACCCAUCAUCACAUGACUGCAUCCCCUCGGCCAUGAGUUGCCAAACCAAGCCUCCACCAAUUCCUCCACUUCUUGCAAAGUUGUAGAUGUUGGUAUAAACAACAUUCAAAAAUGAAUCCCUUUUAUUUAUAAUUUUAAUUCUAUUGUACGAAGGAAUUAAGAAAAAACUUUUAUUCUAAAAAAAUAUAAAUUUUAACCUAAAAUAAUUUAGUAUAUACUUUAUCAAGUGUAAAAUUUUAAUGAACAGAUUUUUAUUUUAUAAAAAAUAAAAAUAAAUAAAAAAAUUAUAAAAGUUUAAAACUCACUUAGCUUUAAGUGGCUAGUCAAAUAUCUCAUGCUAAACAAAUUAAAUAAUUUUUAUAUGAGCAGAUAGAGAAAAGGACAGUACUUCAAAUGAAAAAUGAAGAGAAGUUACAAUUACUUGUUCUUCGUGUUAAGGAUAAUUAGCCUUUCCAUUACAAUUUACCAUAUGUAUCAUAUUUGACCCUUGAUUACAUGCUAUUCCUUUGUAAUCAGUUUGAUAUUAUUUCCUACUUUCCAUUUCUUUUAUAAUCAGUUUGAUAUUAUUUGAUUUGUAAUAUUCUAUAAAUGAUUAUAAAUAGAAAACUCUCACCACCUUCUCAAGUGUGGUGGUUUGACAAAUAUUCUUACUUUGUAUCAUAUCCGGCUAGAUUGCCUGCUUCCCUCAUGGCAGUCCUCCAUUUCCUUAUCUUUUCCUUUCUCUCCUCAUCUGCAUUUUCCUCAUGAUCGGUAAAUGCUUCUCCACAAAUCCCAGUUUGGUUCCGCACUUCAGACGGAUCCACAUGAUAGAAAAUUGGGAUAACCGUUUGUUUCCUUUCCUCUUUGCAUUGCAUGAUCUUGACAAGCUCUUCCAGACACCAUUUGGAAUGAGCAUAGGUUUUUGAGAAAACAAUAAUUGCAAUCCUUGAUUCUUCAAUAGCUUUUUAAGAGCUCUGGUGCAAUCUCUCCUCCCCUUGGGUGUUCUUCAUCAUCUCUGAAGGUAUUAAUAUUGUUACGAAUCAAAGCCGAGUAGAGGUGAUCAGUAAAGCUUCUGCGAGUAUCUUCACCUCUAAAACUCAAAAACACAUCGUAGCUCCACUGAGAGUGAGAAGUGGAAGAAGAAGAGGGUCUCUGGAUGCUAAGGGAGGCCAUGGUUGAACAGAAAUCGGAGGAAAAAUAAAACAUAUAAAAUUAUCAAGUCCAUGGGGUAUUUAAUUAGGCCAUAAGAGAUCGUGUGAACUCACACAUACAUUAAAUUAAAGUUAUUGAAUUAAUUUUUGUCUUUUCUAUAAUGAGCAAUAAAUAUUCCUGUAGAAAAUAAAGGUUUAUUAAGUUGAUAGGUGAGGGAAAGCUAUAUAACAACUUCGGUAUUAUAAGCUUGAUUUUUUAAAAAUAAAAAAUAUAAUAAGUCAUAUGACACAUAAAAGUUCAUUUUUUUUAAAAUCAAGUCAAACAUUUUUAUCUUAUUAUAAUUUCUUAUUAUUAUAAUAAAUAAAAUAAUUUUUUAAAUAUAUUUUCCUAUUAAGAUAUAUUAUUCCUAACCACAAUCGAAUUUUUAUAAAAGAGCAAUUAGUUUCUUAUAUGAAUGUUUUAUUUAAUCAAGAUAAACAUGGAAAGAAAUUGUUAUCACAUGUCCUAUAUUGAGAAAAAUUAUAUAUAAAUUGGAAAUAAUUUUAAAAAUAAUAAAAUCUAAAAGUUGUUUCACUAUUUUCUAAAAUUAAUUUUAAUUUCUUAUAAUUUUGCUAUUUUUUUGUUGAUUUUUUAAUAAUUAUUUUAAUUAUAUAUCUAUAUAUAUAUAUAUAUAUAUAUAUAUAUAUAUAUAUAUAUCUAUAUAUAUAUAUAUAUAUAUAUAUAUAUAUAUAUAUAUAUAUAUAUAUAUGUGUGUGUAUAUGUAUACAUACAUAUUAAAAAAUGUUACUCAUUUAAGUGGUUUCAAAUGAUUUAUUUAUUUGCAUGAAAAAAACAUGAAUUGAUCAUCUUUUGAGAUGUAGUAAGAGUCGUUUGGUUUAGGUCACAGUGGUAAUGAGUUGGAAGGGUCUAGUACCUUUUGAAAGAACAAAAGGAGCAACAACCCUAAAAUUCAAAAGUGUUGGAAUAUUAAACAAUGUCUUGGUCAAAAAGGGAAAGCGCGUUGGAUCAUAUAUUGAAAAUAAUGUCUUGUUAACAAAAAAUAAUGUCUUGGUAAAAAUAGAAAACAUAUAGGAACAUUGAAUAAGACAAUACCAUAUGGUUAGGAAAGGUUAUUCUCUAAUCUUUUAUCCUUAUUGACUCAUACACUUGUUGAACCUCCUUAACAAUAGAAAGAAAGUUCAUUCUUAUGAAUCCUCAAAAUGAAUCAAAGAGAUAAAUUUCAAUUUUGAAGUAAACAUAAUUAUUUUUCUAUUUUUGUUAAAAAAUUGACAAUACUUAAUUUAUCAUGUAAGAAUCAAAGAAUAAUAGCAACUAUUCAUACAAUCGGUCUCAUUUUGUUGUAACAAAACUUAUGAUUAUUUUUCUUCCAUGUAUAUGAGGUUACUAUAAAUUCAUUUCCCACUUGUCAUGUGAUUCAAAUAGAACCUACUAGAUGAAAUUUCUCUCAACAUAUUUCCGCAUCACAAUUUUUCUUUCAUUUUUUAUUUUAUUUUGAAUUUGCAUUAAAUAAAUUUCAACCAUAGAUACGCACUAACAAUAUUUAAAUAAAGAUGAUAAUGUAUUUAAAAUUUUAAUAAAAACUGAGUUGAAUUUUUCAACUUACGUUUGAUUUCCUUCUGUUCACCUAAUGUUGGCAUUAAAAUACAAAAAAAAAAGUCAUUGUCUUCGGGAUUUUUUCUUGUGAGCUUAUCCUCAAACUUUCUUAAAAAACUAAGUUGAUUAUUGUUGUGCUCACUUAAUGUUUGCAUUAAAAUACUAGAAACUUAUUCUUGUGAGCUUAUCCUUGCACCUUCUUCGAAAAAUAUAAGAUUGAUUCUUAUUGAUAGGAAGAUAAGAACAAAAACUUCUAAUAAAUUAUAUUUUGGUAUAUUGAUAAUUUAAUGGGAAAAAACGUUAAAUUUUAUAAAUGUAAAAAGAUGAUAUAGUUGGAUGACGCAUUUAUACAAACAUAUGAAAAGAACAUUUAUAGUCAAUAAAUGAAAACCAUGUAAAUAUUCAAAAGGCUAAAAUCACAAUUGAUUGGAGCAAAAAAAUUUAGCUCAUCCUAUAUUUAUUUUUUAUCAUCAUAUUCUUAUCGAGCUUCUUAGGCAUCAAAUAUAAAAAUUCUCUAUUUAAAAUCAAAAUAAAAUAAAUAAGAUCUUGUCAACUACAAUUUUAAUUCAACUAUUUUUGUUGCUAACUAGUUCCUUGAUUUUUGGUACUUCGAUUUCUCAAACAACACAAAAUUUCAUUUCAAGGAAGACUCAUUAACAACAUGAAAUUCAAAAUUACAUAUGCAACAACCCAACCCCAAGCUUAAGUAAAUUUGUAAUUUUAUUAAUUAAGAAAAUAAAAACUUUGGGCUAUUUAAAUAUAAUUGGAUUUUAAUUUUGAGUUUGGGUUCAAGUUAAAAAAAAAUUAAUGAGCCAAAUAAAUUAAUUGGGCAUUUAUAUUCAAACAAUUAAUCUUUAGUAUUAAGAUUUAAUUGAAUUGAAAAAAAAAUAGAAAUAAGAUAAUAAAGGGAGUAAAAUAGUCAUUUCUCAUUAGAAACCUAGGUAUGAAUAUUCACUCUUCUUUACAAAAGUCUUUUUGUAUAGAGAGCAAAUGUAGGGUUUGAAAUCAAUCUUUGAAUGUAAGCACGUAUAGAUUUAAUAUUUACUUUCAUUUUUAAUUUUCAUGGGAAUUAUUAAAUAUGAUCAAAUUUUAUGAAAAAAUUAAAUAACAUNNAUUCUAAUUAAUUAUAAAGUCACUACAUUAAAAGUCUNNNNNNNNNNNNNNNNNNNNNNNNNNNNNNNNNNNNNNNNNNNNNNNNNNNNNNNNNNNNNNNNNNNNNNNNNNNNNNNNNNNNNNNNNNNNNNAAUCAAAAAGUAUAAGUUACAAAUUUCAAAGGGUGUUUAUGAGUGGAUCAAUUUUUGGUCUCAAUUAAAAAAGCUAAUUGAAAAUAAUAUAAAUAUAAUAUGUUUUUAUUUUAUUUAUUUAUGGUGAGGAUUAUAAAAUAAAUUGUUAUUUUUUAAUUUUAAAUAAAGUAAACAAAUAAGAUAAAAUAGAAAUUAAAAUCAAAAGAAAAAAAAUUAAAAAUCAAACAAUAUAAAAUAUUGAAAGUGAUUGAAUAAAAAAGAAAAAGUUUACAACUCAAAUAAGAUCAAUCUAGAAAAUACAUUACAUAUUAAAAUAUACGCAUAAAAUGCAUUUCAUACUGUUAGAUGGUAAAAGUCCAAGUAAAAAAUCGUAGGUUGAUGACCUGAAUUGCAUAGGUUGCUUUCAGACCAUUGGGACUUGUUAGGGUUCAAAGUCAAAAAUAGGACUAAUAAUAUUUAGUAAUAUCAUCUCAAGCCUAUUCCAAAAUAUGGCAACAUGGUAAAAUUAAAAAUUAACAUAAUGCUUAAUAAUAAUAAUAAUAAAAAACCUUAUUGGUUUUUUUUUUUAAAAAAAUCACUAGAUAUUGUAUAAUUUUUCUAAAAUGAAUGAGAAAAGUUAUAAUUAUGAAUCUCUUGAAGAAAAACCUUUCAAUUGCAAUCGCACUCCCUUAAAAAAAAAAAAAAAAACUUAAACAUAAAAGGGUUAAAUAUAUAAUAUGAGUAAAUUCGUUAAUCAUCACAUAAAAAACAAUUUUUCCAGACCCCCUCGAUCAACCCCAUGAGCUAACCCAAGCAACUCAAUGUUGACAUCCUAAGCUAAAUGGUAUUAUCUGAUUAAUUAUUUUACAAAAUAUACAUAUGUUAUAUCUUAAAAUUGGUUACUAAAUUAUAUUACAGUUAUCAAAUAUAUUACCAUAUAUAAAAUACAACUUAAUAAAUCUUAAGCAUAAUACAAAGCACAAUAACAAGAUAUGUUAAUUUAAGUUAUUAAGAGCUUAUUUAGUUGUGUGAUUUAAAAAUAGUUUUUUGUUUUUAAAAAACAAAAAUUAUCUUUAAAAUUUUCUAACACUAUUUACCGUUGCUUUUUGGAAACACUUUUUUAAAACAAAGUAAAAUAAAGAACAAUUUUUAAAAAACAAGUUGAAGUUGUUUUUACCAGUUUUUAAAAAACAAAAAAUAUAUAAACUCAUUUCACUAUGUUUUUUGAAACUUGUUUUUAAAUUAAAGAAUAAAAAAUAAUUUUUCAAAAUAAGUUUCAAAAUAUCAUCUAUACACAUUCUUUUUGAAUGAUUAAGAAUCGAGAUUUCUAACCAGUCGGUUAUUAUUAUUUUUUUUUUAUAAAAAAUUGAAAUUUACUUUAUCAUUUAUUGUAUGAAUAUCAUAUGGAUUUAAAAAGAAUUUCACACUUAGACAUGUACCUCUCAGAACAUUUGAAGUGAAGAUGUUCUUGUCUUCUUCAAUUUGAAGGCUCAUUAUGACUUUGAGAUUCACAUUCCUUUAAUUGACAUGAAAUGUUUGACUUGCCUUGACUAAUAAGGACCUUCAUGGCUUACCUGAUAGAGGUUGGGCCUUUACCGUUAUCCACUCAGCAAUGAUGUAUUUUCUGCACUGAGUUAUUUAAUAAAAAUGGUUUUUGAGUAAAACAGAUUUGGAUUUUGACCUAUGGAGGCCUAUGGACUUUCAAAACAGGGGUUCACUAGGGAAAAAAAAAACAGAGAAGAAAAAGAAGAAAAAUGAGAUCAUUGGAAGAAUUUUCAGCCCCUUUCAAUCACUUAGCCAUAUAAUAGAAACUAAGAAGAAGAGAAAGGAUCGUAGCUCACAAAAAGCUUGAGAUAAAUGUUUAGCAUCUUCUGCAGCAUAUCCAUCCAACAAAUUUGCAAAGAAGCUCCAACCAGUCGUGCAUAUGAUCCUCUUCAUCAUCUUGGGCAUCAACAACAUUACUGUUAAUAAUCUGUGUCGUUGUAUCCAUGGGAGAAUCGCUAUGCUCAGUGCACUGUGUCCAGUCAUAGCUUGUUUGUGCAUUAGAAUUAGUAUCUUCUGCUGCUGAUCUGGUAUCACAACUUCUCUGCUCAUCACUAUACUCCAUCAUUGUCUGAUGGUCGCGCUUGGUGGCUUCUGUGUUGUCACAGCUUCUCUGACAAUCAGUACUGGUAUCUUCUGGGAUGUUGCUGUUGAUAACAUCACGUGUAUAUAUAAGAUAGUACCCACACUCUUUCACUUCGACUGGUGCAUCCAAGCUAUGAAAUGAAGCCUUCAAACGUCUCCAUUCGUUUGACCAAUACUGCUUGUCAAUAGCAACCUUGGGAUAAUAAGUCACACACAUUUGACUUGAUUCAUCGCAAAUUGGGCAGCAAUAAAACUGGACAUCAUCCACGUGACAGCAUUCAGAUUGAUCACCACAGAUACUGAGUUCGCAAUUCAACUCAUCACAAGCCAUAGAAAUAAAAAUAGAGUAUAAAGCAAAUCCUAAGAAGUCAUCUUUUCUGUACCAAUCCAUAGGAAGCUCUAUUGUUAUUUGAGAUCCUUUUUUUGGCUGGCUUAUCCACUCUGGAAUUCCAUUAUUUCCCAAAAUAACAACUCUGAUUGCCUUGUUCCAAUAGGAGUCGCAUUCAAAUUCCUGCACAGAAGUACAGUGUUAAUACUCUGUUCAUAAGGAAAAAGGGCUGAAUGUUAUGAAAAUCAUACCUCAAUCAUUGAUUUGAAGCAUUUGAACAGAGAAAAACCAAGUUCACUUGAUGGACUUGAUGAAGUUUCCAAGCAUGUGCAACUGUGGACAUCUAAAUAUCGUAAACUUGGCCGAAGCUCUGGAACUUGUCGACGCCCCUGGCAGUGACUCAAUUGAAGGACUCUCAGUUUAGACAGUUGAAUGAUGCCUGCAAGUAUGCUACUAAAACAGUCCAUGCUUAGAUUUAGACCUGAAGCACGCAAAUCCUCUAAACAUUGCAAACUCCUCAGGUUCUCAGGAAAUUUCUCAAGUUUUGUACAGAAACUGACAUCUAGAGUUUUGAGAGAACUCAAAUUACAAAUGCUUUCUGGAAGACUCACAAGGUUGGUGCAAUCUGAAAGAUUCAAAUAUUGAAGCCCUCUUAAAUAUUGAAUUGAUGCUGGUAGUUCUUCUAUAGCAGUUCCAUCUAAAUGAAGCACUCUUAAAUUUUCCACAUCCUCAACGAUUUCCGGAAAGCUCCUUAAUCGUGAACAGCCUGAGCAGAAGAGAGUUGUAAGGGAUUUCAACUCACAUAUGCUACUGGGAAGAUGCUCAAGGUUUUUGCAUUCCCGCAAACAUAAGCUAUCAAGUUCUAAGGGACACUCAAUAGUGGGUAGUUCAUUGAUGGCAUUUCCCUUUAAACAAAGCUUUCGUCGGGAUUGCACAUCCCCUUGACAUUCCCGGCAAACGGUGGAUAUCAUUGCUUUACCAUGGUUCUGUUCAUGAUCAUGGGCAUAUAUAAGAUGGAUCCCACACUCUUCUACUUUCACUGCUUUACCUCUCAAGUAGCCACAAAAUGAAGCCGUCAACUCCCUGCAUUUAUUUGAGUGGUACUUCUUCUCAAUCAAAAGCUUAGGAUAAUAAAUCAUCCACAUUUGUGGUACAACAUAGCAUUGAAAUGAGGGAAAAAACUGGAGUUCAUCCACAAACUGAAUUUCACGACCACGCAAAGUCAAACCAUACUCGAAGUAAGUUGCAUCAUUAUCCAGUGUCUCCUCAGAUUCAUUAUCAAGUGGAUAAUAGACACAGUACAAAACAAAACCCAACAAGUCGUCAUUUUUAUACCAAUUUUGAGGAAGCUUUGCUACUACUUCAGCUCCCUUUUUGUGAUGGCUUAUCCAAUUUGGAAUUCCACUACCGUCUGAAAUAAGAUUUACUUGGGCAAAAGAUUUUUCUGUAGGAUAAAUCUCGCAUUCCAAAUCCUGCAGAAAAUUUAAUUAACACGUAAAUCCCCAUGUCUCCACAAAAAAAGUUGUGUUCUAUGAAUAUCAUACCUGAAUCAAUGAUUUGAAGCAGUUGAAUAGAGAAGACCAGAGUAGACCUGAAGAAGUUUCCAGCCGUUUGCACCCAUGUACAUCUAAGACACGCAAACUGGAUGGAAGCGCUGGAAUUUGUCGAAGCUCUUCACAGUAACCCAAAUCAAGGAGUCUCAGCCUAGAAAGUUGAUUGAUCCCAGCAGGUAUGCUCCUAAAAGGAUUCCCGAUUAGAAGUAAUUCUUGCAGAGAUGAUAGCUGGCAAAAUUCAGUGGGGAUUCCUCCUUCAUCUAUACAGCAGACAGAUAGAUCUAACACUUGCAAGGAGUACAAGCCGCAAAUAUCACUCAGGACUACUCCUUGCAUUAGCCCUGAGCAAGUUAGAUUUAACACCUUUAAGGAGCAUAAACCUGACAAAGAAAGCAAUUGGCAACAUCUUGAAUUUAAGCCCCUAGCACAGAGACGCUUCAAGCUUUGCAGCCUCCCCAGGUUUUGUGGCAAUUUGUGGAGUUCGAAACAGAAAUUGACAUUGAGAUCUUCAAGAAAGCGUAAAUUACAAAUGCUUUCUGGAAGAGUCACAAGGUUUUUGCAACUUUCCAGAUUCAAAACCUGAAGCCUAUUCAAAUGUUCGAUUGAAGAUGGUAGCUCUUUUAUAGCCGUUCCGUUCAAGUGAAGCUGCCAUAAGUUUUCCAUAUUCUCCAAGAUUUCUGGGAAGUACUGUAAUUGUGAACAGUCAGAGCAAAAGAGAGAUUUUAGGGAUUUGAACUCCCAAAUGCUUGUUGGUAGACUCUCAAGGUUUUUGCACUCUCGCAAACACAAGGUAUCAAAUUCAGAGGCACACUCAAUGGGUAGUAGGUUGAUUGUCUGACCCUUUAAACAAAGCUUUCGGUGUUCCACGUUCCUCUGACAUUCCAAGCAGCUAGCAUCCACAUCCUCA
rnacentral:lncRNA from 1 species